UUAGAUUAGUAGCUAAUACAUCACACAUAUUAUUGAGACCAACUAGCAACAUAGAAAGCACAAUAGUGUACCAACAAUGGCAGCCAAAAUAUUUUGCUUCCUUAUGCUCCUUGGUCUUUCUGCAAGUGCUGCUACCGCAACCAUUUUCCCACAAUGCUCACAAGCUCCUAUAGCUUCCUUUCUUCCCCCAUACCUCUCACCAGCGGUGUCUUCAGUAUGUGAAAACCCAAUUCUUCAACCCUACAGGAUCCAACAGGCAAUCGCAGCAGGCAUCUUACCUUUAUCACCCUUGUUCCUCCAACAACCGUCAGCCCUAUUACAGCAGUUACCUUUGGUGCAUUUGUUGGCACAAAACAUCAAGGCACAACAACUACAACAACUUGUGCUAGGAAACCUUGCUGCCUACUCUCAGCAACAGCAGUUUCUUCCAUUCAACCAACUGGCUGCAUUGAACUCUGCUGCUUAUUUGCAACAACAACUACCAUUCAGUCAGCUAGCUGCUGCCUACCCCCAGCAAUUUCUUCCAUUCAACCAACUGGCAGCAUUGAACUCUGCUGCUUAUUUACAACAGCAACAGCUACCACCAUUCAGCCAGCUAGCUGAUGUGAGCCCUGUUGCCUUCUUGACACAACAACAGUUGUUGCCGUUCUACCUGCACGCUGCGCCUAACGCUGGCACCCUCUUACAACUGCAACAAUUGCUGCCAUUCAACCAACUUGCUUUGACAAACCCAACAACGUUCUACCAACAACCCAUCAUUGGCGGUGCCCUCUUUUAGAUUGCUUAUGAGUUAUAGUUCAAUAAUGAAGUUUUUUGGAUGAUGUUUGUGGCUUCCCAGAAAUAAGAAAGUACAUUUCUAGAUUCUUAUGUGCUUCUAGCCUCCAAAUGUGGUUGAUAGUUAUUUUGCUCUAAGAUCGGGAGUAAUGAGGUAUAAAUCAUCGUUGUGGUGUGCUACUCGGUUAAUUAAGCAUUAACACACACAAACAUGACGAGGAUGGUAUGACCUCCAGGGCCAGUAACACGCCGGCACCAGCAAGAUAUCGUGUGAUGGUUAUUGGCGCGUGUUGUUUGUUCGACCCAUUGCUGCAACGCAGACCGCCGCUAACUACCAUCUCCAAGAGACUCCUUCAAUUAAGUCCUAAAAAUCAAAAUAGGACAUGGUUUAAAUUAUUUAAAACCCACCAAUUCGUUUUACUCCAACCGUGAGUCUGAGAGCACCUAGAGGGGGGGGGUCGAAUAGGUGAUCCUGUAAAACUUGAAAUUUAACUCACAAAACUUGAUUAGGAGUUAGCACAAAUAAUGCCAAGUGGCUAGAGAGGAGUCUCAACAAAACACAAUAACCACAAGAGAUCAAUCACAGAGAUGGCACAGUGGUUUAUCCCGUGGUUCGGCCAAGACCAACGCUUGCCUACUCCACGUUGUGGCGUCCCAACGGACGAGGGUUGCAAUCAACCCCUCUCAAGCGGUCCAAAGACCCACUUGAAUACCACGGUGUUUUGCUUGCUUUACUAUAUCCCGUUUGCGAGGAAUCUCCACACUUUGGAGCCUCUCGCCCUUACACUUAGAUGAUCACAAAGAAGCACAGAGUAAGGGAGGGAUAAGCAACUCACUCAAGACAAGAAAUCACAGCAACACCACGCACACAAGUCGCAACAAGAGCUCACAACACAACUCAAUGAGUUCACAACUCAACUAGAGCUCUAACUGCUAUCGCAAGGAAUCAAAAGCGCGGAAUCGAUGUCUUAGUGCUUAGGAAUGCUUAGAGAAUGCUUGGUGUAGUCCUCCAUGCGCCUAGGGGUCCCUUUUAUAGCCCCAAGGCAGCUAGGAGCCGUUGAGAGCAAUCCGGGAAGGCAAUUCUUGCCUUCUGUCGCCUGGCGCACCGGACAGUCCGGUGCACCACCGGACACUGUCCGGUGCGGAUUUCCUUCCUUAUUUGGCGAAGCCGACCGUUGGCAGCCUUGGAGCCGUUGGCGCACCGGACACUGUCCGGUGCACACCGGACAGUCUGGUGCCCCCUCCCGACCGUUGGCUCGGCCACGUGUCUCGCGCAGCCGACCGUUGGCCCGGCCGACCGUUGGCUCACCGGACAGUCCGGUGCACACCGGACAGUCCGAUGAAUUAUAGUCGUACGUCGUUAAUUUAUUCCCGAGAGUGACAAGUUCGCCUGUGCCAGCCUGGCACACCGGACACUGUCCGGUGCACCACCGGACAGUCUGGUGCACCCAGACAGAGCUGGCUUUGGCUGAACAAGGCUAUCUCUUUUCCAAUUCGAUUUCUCCUGUUUCCAGCACUUAGACACAAUAAAUUAGUCACUAAAACAAUGUACUAAGUCUAAGAAACAUACCUUUAUACUUGAUUUGUACUUUGUCCACCAUUUGACACUUAGGCACUUGUGUUGGACACUAGAUCACCAAAACACUUAGAAAUGGCCCAAGGGCACAUUUCCCUUUCAAUCUCCCCCUUUUUGGUGAUUAAUGCCAACACAACAUAAGGCAAGUAGAACAAGUACGAAAUCAAUUCAAAUAAGAACUCAAAUUUGUUUUGAAUCAAAUUUGGCAUAUAUGGAUCAUUCUUUGCCACCACUUGGUUUGUUUUUGCAAAUCAACCUCAAAUUCCUAUCUCUAAGUCAAAAACACUUGUUGAGACAUAACAAGAGUUGUUCCAAGAGAAAUUGAUCAGAGAUUUCAAAAACUCCCCCUUUUUCCCAUAAUUAAGCCUUCUCCCCACAAGAGACCAACUUUUGACAAUAAGAGGCAAACAAGAGUAUUUUGACAAACAAAAACUCUAACUCUAUUUUUUUAAAAUUCUCAAGUGGUAGCUGAUCUAUUUAUUGCUUUGGCCUUAUUUUCUCCCCCUUUGGCAUCAAGCACCAAAACGAGAUCAAUCUUGGCCCUCGAACCCCAUUGCCUCACCAAAAUCUUCAACUAAGAGUUAAAAAAAGGCAAUAAGAGUACAAAGAUGAACUUGGAAUAAGUUACUCGUUCAUCGGAGUGCAGUGGAAGUCUUGCAUAGUCCAAGUCCACCUUUUCCCUUUCAAUCCUCCUUUGAGACUAAAAUAAGCAAACUCACGCACAUGGUUAGUCUCAAAGGGUCAAGUUGUAGCACAUCUCCCCCUAAAUUUGUGCAUCACUUGCAAAUGAACUUGUAAGGUCCGGGGAGUGCUUGUACAACUUGAGCACCAUAAGUAAACAACAAAAUGCAUAAGGAACAUGAUCAAAGGCAUAAACACAUGUAUGCUAUAAAUCAAUCCAAGUUCCGCGAAUCUAAGACAUUUAGCUCACUACGCAACUUGCAAAAUGUCUGCUCAUCUAAAGGCUUGGUAAAGAUAUCGGCUAGCUGGUUCUCAGAGCUAACAUGAAACACUUCGAUAUCUCCCUUUUGCUGGUGGUCUCUCAAAAAGUGAUGCCAGAUGUCUAUGUGCUUUGUGCGGCUGUGUUCAACAGGAUUAUCCGCCAUGCGGAUAGCACUCUCAUUAUCACAUAGGAGUGGGACUUUGCUCAGAUUGUAGCCAAAGUCCCUGAGGGUUUGCCUCAUCCAAAGUAGUUGUGCGCAGCACUGUCCUGCAGCAACGUACUCGGCCUCAGCGGUGGAUAGGGCAACAGAGGUUUGUUUCUUAGAACUCCAUGACACCAGGGACCUUCCUAAGAAUUGGCACAUCCCCGAUGUACUCUUCCUAUCGACCUUACAUCCAGCAUAGUCGGAGUCUGAAUAUCCAAUCAAGUCAAAGGUAGACCCCUUUGGAUACCAAAUCCUGAAACAAGGUGUAGCGACUAAAUAUCUAAGAAUUCGCUUCACAGCCACUAAGUGACACUCCUUAGGAUCGGAUUGAAAUCUAGCACACAUGCAUACACUAAGCAUAAUAUUCGGUCUACUAGCACAUAAAUAAAGUAAAGACCCUAUCAUAGACCGGUAUGCCUUUUGAUCAACGAACUCACCUCCUUUGUUGAGGUCGGUGUGUCCGUCGGUUCCCAUUGGAGUCUUUGCGGGCUUGGCGUCCUUCAUCCCAAACCGCUUGAUCAAGUCUUGCUUGUACUUGGUUUGAGAGAUGAAGGUUCCAUCCUUGAGUUGCCUCACUUGGAAGCCAAGGAAGUAGAUUAACUCGCCCAUCAUCGACAUCUCGAAUUUCUGAGUCAUCACCCUGCUAAACUCUUCACAAGACUUUUGGUUAGUAGAACCAAAUAAUAUGUCAUCGACAUAAAUUUGGCACACAAAGAGAUCACCAUCACAAGUCUUAGUAAAAAGAGUUGGAUCGGCUUUCCCAACCUUGAAAGCAUUAGCAAUUAAAAAGUCUCUAAGGCAUUCAUACCAUGCUCUUGGGGCUUGCUUAAGUCCAUAGAGCGCCUUAGAGAGCUUACACACGUGGUCGGGGUACCGUUCAUCCUCGAAGCCAGGGGGUUGCUCCACGUACACCUCCUCCUUGAUUGGCCCGUUGAGGAAAGCACUCUUCACAUCCAUUUGGAACAACCUGAAAGAAUGGUGAGCGGCAUAUACUAGCAAAAUGCGAAUGGACUCUAGCCUAGCCACAGGAGCAAAAGUCUCCUCAAAGUCCAAACCUGCGACUUGGGCAUAACCUUUUGCCACAAGUCGUGCCUUGUUCCUUGUCACCACCCCGUGCUCGUCUUGUUUGUUGCGGAACACCCACUUGGUUCCCACAACAUUUUUCUUGGGACGAGGCACCAGUGUCCAAACUUCAUUUCUUUUGAAGUUGUUGAGCUCCUCCUACAUGGCCAACACCCAGUCCGGAUCUAGCAAGGCCUCUUCUACCCUGAAAGGCUCAAUAGAAGAGACAAAGGAGUAAUGCUCACAAAAAAUUAACUAAUCGAGAUCGAGUAGUUACUCCCUUGCUAAUAUCACCCAAAAUUUGGUCGACGGGAUGAUCCCUUUGAAUCAUCGCUCGAACUUGGGUUGGAGGUGCCGGUUGCGCUUCUUCCUCCAUUGCAAGAUCAUCUUGUGCUCCCCCUUGAUCACACGCCUCCUGCUCAUCAUCUUGAGUUGGGGGAUGCACCAUUGUUGAGGAAGAAGGUUGAUCUCGUUCAUCUUGUUCCUGUGGCCGCACAUCUCCAAUCGCCAUGGUGCGUAUUGCGGCCGUUGGAACUUCUUCUUCAUCUACAUCAUCAAAAUCAACAACUUGCUCUCUUGGAGAGCCAUUAGUCUCAUCAAAUACAACGUCGCUAGAGACUUCAACCAAACCCGAUGAUUUGUUGAAGACUCUAUACGCCUUUGUAUUUGAGUCAUAACCUAACAAAAAUCCUUCUACAGCUUUGGGAGCAAAUUUGGAAUUCCUACCCUUCUUCACUAGAAUGUAGCAUUUACUCCCAAAAACUCGAAAAUACGAAACAUUGGGUUUGUUACCGGUUAGUAGCUCAUAUGACGUCUUCUUGAGGAGGCGAUGAAGGUAGACCCUGUUGAUGGCGUGGCAAGCCGUGUUCACAGCUUUCGACCAAAAGCGCUCGGGGGUCUUAAACUCUCCAAGCAUCGUCCUCACCAUGUCUAUAAGCGUCUUGUUCUUCCUCUCUACCACACCAUUUUGCUGUGGUGUGUAGGGAGCGGAGAACCCAUGCUUGAUCCCUUCCUCCUCAAGGUACUCCUCCACUUGAAGGUUCUUGAACUCGGACCCAUUGUCGCUCCUUAUCUUUUUCACCUUGAGCUUAAACUCGUUUUGAGCUCUCCUUAGGAAGCGCUUGAGGGUCCCUUGGGUUUCAGAUUUAUCCUGCAAAAAGAAUACCCAAGUGAAGCGGGAAAAGUCAUCAACUAUAACAAGACCAUACUUACUUCCUCCUAUACUUAGAUAAGCGACGGGUCCAAAGAGGUCCAUGUGAAGCAUCUCCAAAGGUCUUGAUGUGGUCAUCACAUUUUUGGUGUGAUGAGAGCUUCCCACCUGUUUGCCUGCUUGACAAGCUGCACAAGGUCUAUCUUUUUCGAAUUGUACAUUAGUUAAACCUAUCACGUGUUCUCCCUUUAGAAGCUUGUGAAGGUUCUUCAUCCCCACAUGUGCUAAGCGGCGAUGCCACAGCCAGCCCAUGCUAGUCUUAGCAAUUAAGCAUGCAUCUAGACCGGCCUCCUCUUUUGCAAAAUCAACUAAGUAAAGUUUGUCGUCUAAUACACCCUUAAAAGCUAGUGAACCAUCACUUCUUCUAAAGACAGACACAUCUACAUUUGUGAAUAGACAAUUAUAUCCCAUAUUGCAUAAUUGACUAACAGAUAACAAAUUAUAUCCAAGAGACUCAACUAAAAACACAUUAGAUAUAGAGUGCUCGGAUGAAAUAGCAAUUUUACCUAACCCUUUUACCUUGCCUUGAUUCCCAUCACCGAAUAUUAUUGAAUCUUGGGAAUCCUUGUUUUUGACGUAGGAGGUGAACAUCUUUUUCUCCCCCGUCAUAUGGUUUGUGCAUCCGUUGUCGAUAAUCCAGCUUGAACCCCCGGAUGCAUAAACCUGCAUGGCAAAUUUAGGCUUGGGUCUUAGGUACCCAACUCAUGUUGGGUCCUACAAGGUUAGCACAAAUAUCCUUAGGGACCCAAAUGCAAGUUUUGUCUCCCUUGCAUUUUGCCCCUAAUUUUCUAGCAACUAUCUUCCUAUCCUUUCUACAAAUAGCAAAGGAAGCAUUUAAAGCAUGAUAUAUUGUAGAGGGUUCAUUAACUUUCCUAGGAACAUUAACAACAUUUCUCCUAGACAUAUGAACAAAAUAUCUCCUAGACAUAUCUCUACCAUGCAUAUAGGAAGAACUAGAAGCAAACAUGGCAUGAGAGUUAAAAGCAUCAUAAGCAUUACAACUCCUAUAAGACUGUCUUCUAUCAUGGUACAUAAAAGCAUGGUUCGUUUUAGCACUAUUUGCCAUAGGGGCCUUCCCUUUCUCCAUGAUGGAGAUGGGUGCCUUAUGGCUCGUUAAGUCCUUGGCUUCCCUCUUGAAGCCAAGUCCAUCCUUAAUUGAGGGGUGUCUACCAAUCAUGUAGGCAUCCCUUGCAAAUUUUAGUUUAUCAAAAUCACUCUUGCUAGUCUUAAGUUGGGCAUUAAGACUAGCCAAUUCAUCAUUCAGUUUGGAAAUUGAAACUAGGUGUUCACUACAAGCAUCAAUGUCAAAAUCUUUACACCUAUUGCAAAUCAUAACAUGUUCUACACAAGAGUUAGAUUUACUAGCUAUUUCUAACUUAGCAUUCAAACCAUCAUUUAUGCUCCUUAAGCUAGAAAUUGUCUCAUGGCAAGAAGAUAGUUCACAAGAAAGCAUUUCAUUUCUUUUAACUUCUAAAGCAUGAGAUUUUUGUGCCUCUACAAAUUUGUCAUGCUCUUCAUAUAAAAGGUCCUCUUGUUUUUCUAAAAGUCUAUCCUUUUCAUUCAAGGCAUCAAUCAAUUCAUUAAUCUUAUCUACUUUAGUUCUAUCCAAUCCCUUGAACAAACUAGAGUAAUCUAUUUCUUCAUCACUAGACUCAUCAUCACUAGAAGAAUCAUAAGUGGCAUUGUUUCGAUUACAUACCUUCUUCUCCUUCGCCAUGAGGCAUGUAUGACGCUCGUUGGGGAAGAGGGAUGACUUGUUGAAGGCGGUGGCGGCGAGUCCUUCAUUGUCGGAGUCGAAUGACGAACAAUCCGAGUCCCACUCCUUGCCAAGGUGUGCCUCGCCCUUAGCCUUUUUAUAUGCCUUCUUCUUCUCCCUCUUAUUCCCCUGUUCCUGGUCAGUAUCAUUAUUGGGGCAGUUAGCGAUAAAAUGACCAAUCUUACCACACUUGAAGCAUGAGCGCUUCCCCUUUGUCUUGGUCUUGCUUGGCUGCCCCUUGUGACCCUUUAGCGCUGUCUUGAAGCGCUUGAUGAUGAGAGCCAUCUCUUCAUCAUUUAGCCCUGCCGCCUCAACUUGUGCCACCUUGAUAGGUAGCGCCUCUUUGCUUCUUGUUGCCUUGAGAGCAAAGGGUUGAUGCUCAUUGAUUGGACCAUUCAAUGCGUCGUCCACGUAUCUCGCCUCCUUGAUCAUCAUUCGCCCGCUCACGAAUUUCCCAAGAACUUCCUCGGGCGACAUCUUGGUGUACCUAGGAUUUUCACGAAUAUUGUUCACCAGAUGUGGAUCAAGUACAGUAAAGGACCUUAGCAUUAGGCGAACGACGUCGUGGUCCGUCCAUCGCGUGCUUCCGUAGCUCCUUAUUUUGUUGAUGAGGGUCUUGAGCCGGUUGUAUGUUUGGGUUGGCUCCUCGCCCCUUAUCAUUGCAAAUCUCCCGAGCUCGCCCUCUACCAACUCCAUCUUGGUGAGCAAGGUGACGUCAUUCCCCUCAUGAGAGAUCUUGAGGGUGUCCCAGAUCUGCUUGGCAUUGUCCAAGCCGCUCACCUUAUGGUACUCGUCCCUGCACAAAGAGGCUAACAACACAGUAGUAGCUUGUGCAUUCUUAUGAAUCUGUUCAUUAAUGAAUAUAGGACUAUCCGAGCUAUCAAAUUUCAUUCCAUUCUCAACAAUCUCCCAUAUACUUGGAUGGAGAGAGAACAGAUGACUACGCAUUUUGUGACUCCAAAAUCCGUAGUCCUCCACAUCAAAGUGUGGAGGUUUGCCAAGAGGGAUGGAAAGCAAAUGUGCAUUUGAGCUAUGCGGAAUACGGGAGUAAUCGAAAGAAAAGUUCGAAUUAACCGUCUUUCGUUUGUCGUAGUCGUUGUCGUCGUUGUCCUUUUGGGAAGAAGUGGACUCAUCGCUGUCGUCGUAGUAGACAAUCUCCUUGAUGCGUCUUGUCUUCUUCUUCUUCCCAUCUUUGCAUUUGUGGCCCGAGCCCGAGUCGGUAGGCUUGUCAUCCUUGGGCUCAUUGACGAAGGACUCCUUCUCCUUAUCAUUGAUCACAAUCCCCUUGCCCUUAGGAUCCAUCUCUUCGGGCGGUUAGUCCUUUUCUUGAAGAGAACGGCUCCGAUACCAAUUGAGAGCACCUAGAGGGGGGUGAAUAGGUGAUCCUAUAAAACUUGAAAUUUAACUCACAAAACUUGAUUAGGAGUUAGCACAAAUAAUGCCAAGUGGCUAGAGAGGAGUCUCAACAAAACAUAAUAACCACAAGAGAUCAAUCACAGAGAUGGCACAGUGGUUUAUCCCGUGGUUCGGCCAAGACCAACGCUUGCCUACUCCACAUUGUGGCGUCCCAACGGACGAGGGUUGCAAUCAACCCCUCUCAAGCGGUCCAAAGACCCACUUGAAUACCACGGUGUUUUGCUUGCUUUACUAUAUCCCGUUUGCGAGGAAUCUCCACACUUUGGAGCCUCUCGCCCUUACACUUAGAUGAUCACAAAGAAGCACGAAGUAAGGGAAGGAUAAGCAACACACUCAAGACAAGAAAUCACAGCAACACCACGCACACAAGUCGCAACAAGAGCUCACAACACAACUCAAUGAGUUCACAACUCAACUAGAGCUCUAACUGCUAUCGCAAGGAAUCAAAAGCGCGGAAUCGAUGUCUUAGUGCUUAGGAAUGCUUAGAGAAUGCUUGGUGUAGUCCUCCAUGUGCCUAGGGGUCCCUUUUAUAGCCCCAAGGCAGCUAGGAGCCAUUGAGAGCAAUCCGGGAAGGCAAUUCUUGCCUUCUGUCGCCUGGCGCACCGGACAGUCCGGUGCACCACCGGACACUGUCCGGUGCGGAUUUCCUUCCUUAUUUGGCGAAGCCGACCGUUGGCAGCCUUGGAGCCGUUGGCGCACCGGACACUGUCCGGUGCACACCGGACAGUCCGGUGCCCCCUCCCGACCGUUGGCUCAGCCACGUGUCUCGCGCAGAUCGCGCAGCCGACCGUUGGCCCGGUUGACCGUUGGCUCACCGAACAGUCCGAUGAAUUAUAGUCGUACGCCGUUAAUUUAUUCCCAAGAGCGGCAAGUUCGCCUGUGCCAGCCUGGCACACCGGACACAGUCGGGUGCACCCAGACAGAGCUGACUUUGGCUGAACAAGGCCAUCUCUUUUCCAAUUCGAUUUCUCCUGUUUCCAGCACUAAGACACAAUACAUUAGUCACUAAAACAAUGUACUAAGUCUGAGAAACAUACCUUUAUACUUGAUUUGUACUUUGUCCACCAUUUGACACUUAGGCACUUGUGUUGGACACUAGAUCACCAAAACACUUAGAAAUGGCCCAACAACACAUUUCCCUUUCAGAGUCAUAUAAUCAUGUUACUUAGUUAAUUCUUCGCUUCACCGCAACAAUGUCGUCGUCGCUCUAUCAUCGUCCAUGUUCGGUCAGGUGAGGUGAGGUGAGGUGUAGUCUCUAAUAUACUUAAAGCACCAGUUUCAACGGUCGUCCUACGCCAUCUUUUUACAAAAAGUCCCUACAUUUCUUUUAAAUCAAUUCAGCGUAAAAUGUUAAAAAGCGGCGCCAGAGACAAUCUUUCACAUGAUCAUGUUGUCCUGCAGAUGGAGUAGUAGGCCUUCACGUGAUCAUGUUGUCCGAUAGAUAGGGUAGCGGGCCAGCGGUUGUUGGUUACUCUCCACCAACAAGAGAGAUAGGAAUCUAUUAGAAGCCAGAGCUCCAGCUUGCUAGUUCGAUUUGAUGGCAGCAACUAACAAGACAAUGACGCUCAGCAUGAUAUGAAGAUUGCCAUCGAUAGGAAGGAUCAUCACCUGCUGUUCGCGGAGGCGAGAAAGGAUGUGGUCGACUUCUUCUCCCUACUCGUCCUACUCGUCGGCGCGACCGUCAAACUGCUGGGGAAUAAGGGCAUGGCCGACAACACCUGACCAUUGAUCUCACAUGCCAUUUUAGCUCUCUCAUUCUCUAGUCUCACCCUGACUAUUUAGGUCUCCUGACUCGCUAAUAUAAACACCAUCCUAUCAUUUGAUCUCGAAUACUUCUUUGUCACAACUCAACUGUCAGAUGAGUACUCCAUUACAACACUUACGUACAAGAGUUCUAUGAGAGCAGGCCUCCGAAAUGAAUGUCGACUAAGUGUUUAUCUACUCAGAUGAAGGACGACAAUCGUGUUCUUCGAAAAUAUCAGCGACAUAACUCCUUACUUCCUCCGCUUCUUUCUAGUGUUUUUUGUUGUGAUUGAGUCGACACAACAACAACAUUGCACUAUUACAACCAGUACGACUAUAUCAACUAACAAUGUCUUCCUUAUAUGUUACUAUUUAUUUUGCUCAUAUUCAUUAUGUUUAAAUCACAUGUGCACCUUUCUAUUGACAUCAAAAAAAUAGUAUCAACUUUCUAGAUUAAAAUGCAACUAAAAGUACCUAAAUUUCUAUCGGUGGGGAUUGAGUGAUUCUUUAAACCGAUUAUUACAUAAGUUAACCACACUAAAAUUAACAUUGGUGAAUUGUGCCAUGAUUUUUUUCUAGUGCAAAAUAGCCAAACCAAGCAACACAUAUGUGGCUAUCGUUACACAUGUGUAAAGGUAUUGCAUCACACCAUUGUCACCCAUGUAUUUGGACAAUACCGAGAGGAAAACCCACUUAUUUAUUGUAUUUUAUCAAGUUUGUCUUGCUUACGUAUAAAUUAUAACCCAACAAAGUAGUCACUAAAUGUCAAAACCAACUAGAUACCAUGUCAUCUCUACCUUAUCUUACUAAUGUUCUUUUUGCAAAAUCCAAAAUUAAUCUUGCACAAGCACAAGGACUGAUAUGUGUAUAAAUAUCUCUUAGAUUAGUAGUUAAUACAUCGCACAUAUUAUUGAGACCAACUAGCAACAUAGAAAGCACAAUAGUGUACCAACAAUGGCAGCCAAAAUAUUUUGCUUCCUUAUGCUCCUUGGUCUUUCUGCAAGUGUUGCUACCGCAACCAUUUUCCCACAAUGCUCACAAGCUCCUAUAGCUUCCCUUCUUCCCCCAUACCUCUCACCAGCGGUGUCUUCAAUGUGUGAAAACCCAAUUGUUCAACCCUACAGGAUCCAACAGGCAAUCGCAACAGGCAUCUUACCAUUAUCACCCUUGUUCCUCCAACAACCGUCAGCCCUAUUACAGCAGUUACCUUUGGUCCAUUUGGUGGCACAAAACAUCAGGGCACAACAACUACAACAACUUGUGCUAGCAAACCUUGCUGCAUACUCUCAGCAACAUCAGUUUCUUCCAUUCAACCAACUGGCUGCAUUGAACUCUGCUGCUUAUUUGCAACAACAAUUACCAUUCAGCCAGCUAGUUGCUGCCUACCCCCAGCAAUUUCUUCCAUUCAACCAACUAGCAGCAUUGAACUCUGCUGCUUAUUUACAGCAGCAACAACUACUACCAUUCAGCCAGCUAGCUGAUGUGAGCCCUGCUGCCUUCUUGACACAACAACAGUUGUUGCCGUUCUACCUGCACGCUAUGCCUAACGCUGGCACCCUCUUACAACUGCAACAAUUGCUGCCAUUCAACCAACUUGCUUUGACAAACUCAACAGUGUUCUACCAACAACCCAUCAUUGGUGGUGCCCUCUUUUAGAUUGCUUAUGAGUUAUAGUUCAAUAAUGAAGUUUUUUGGAUGAUGUUUGUGGCGUCCCAGAAAUAAGAAAGUACAUUUCUAGAUUCUUAUGUGCUUCUAGUCUCCAAAUGUGGUCGAUAGUUAUUUUGCUCUAAGAUCGGGAGUAAUGAGGUAUAAAUCAUCGUUGUGGUGUGCUACUCGGUUAAUUAAGCAUUAACACACACAAACAUGACGAGGAUGGUAUAAUCUCCAAAAAUAUGUACUUUGUUAGGUGGGACCCUAUAGCCAUGCAGAAUGUGCUAUGUUAGGCUUGCCGAUGGAAACGUGUGACGCAUACGUUUUGUGAACCUGUUGAUAUUAUAUGUGCUUUUAUAUUAUCAUAUUUUAUUAAAAUAUUAAUAUUUAUUACUAGUAAGAUAUAACAUUCUAUCUAACUUAAAACUUACCAUAAAUAUUCCAUCAUAACUAGAUUUACCAAACUAAUAAACUAAAUAUACAUAAUAAAUACAAAAUUAACAAGACAUUAAUCAAUAUUUACGAGCUUAAUAAAUUUAAACAUUAUGGUUUGUCGACGAUAAUCAUACUAACUUUCUGUAAUUGCUUGAUUGUAAAUAUGCUUAGACUAAUGCCUCUUUGUUCUACAUGGCAAAUAGGGACCGCUCUAGAAGACUAGGAUGUCCCUUGAGACGAAAAUGUUAUCAUUGGUGUAGACUAAUUUCUAUCGGUCGCUGACUUCACUAUUGUAACCAUUAUCUCUUGGGUAAAUCAUAUACGAUUAUCCAGCCAAAGGGCCCAGAUGAUAAAAAACAAUUUUAAUUGCUAUUUCAGGACAAAUGAAUUAGCAUGGUUCGAAGGAUUAUGACCUUCCCCCAUGACCUUUGUCAUACUGCUUUAGUCUAAUCGACAAAACCAAGAUUAGAUUUCAUCGAAGAAGUUGAUAAGCGAAGCUGUGACGAUGAAAGGAACAUGGUGGCAAUAGGACGAACGACAAUUCCUUUGUCUAAGAAUGACAUCUAGAAGAAAUCUCAGACAAAAUAGAACAUGAAUGGCUUGUCAGUACAACGAAAAUACUGAAACAUGCACCCUUGAAUAUGAAACAUUUAUAUGUAAGAGGAAGGGCUAAAAAACUAAUUUCUCGUGCCUAAUGAUUUUAUUGAGAAUUUUAAGGCGAGACUUAUGGAAAAGGGUUAUACCCAAAAAAAGGAGAGAUUAUUUCGAUACUUAUUAACUUGUUGCCCUUCUAAUGACCAUACAUGUGUUACUUUUUUGGUUGCCUCGCAUGGUCUUAUCGUUCAUCUGAUGAAUGUUAAGACUUCUUUCCUAAAUGGAGAGCUUAAGGAACAGAUCUACAUUGACUAGCUUGGUGGUUUUAUAUCAAAUGAUAAAGAGAAAAAGGUGUUUAAAAUAUUACAAUUGUUUGGUUUAAAACAAGCACUAAAGCACAUAAGAAAUUUGGUAAAGUUCUGACUUUGGCUAAAUUUGUUGUAAAUGAAACUGAUAAAUGUGUCCAUUACCGAUUUGACAGGGGCGAAGGUAUGACCCUUUUUAUAUGUGGACAAAAUAUUAACCUUUUGUAACGAUGUUAAUAUGAUCGAGGAAGUAAAGUACUUUUUGUCUAGUAACUUUGAAAUAAACAAUCUGGGAGAGGCUAAUGUUGUUCUUAACAAAGAGAUAUUGAGAGAAGAAGGAAAUACGGAGUUACUCUUGUGCAAUCCUAUUAGGUUGAAAAGUCGCCGAGUCACUUUGGAUAUAGUGAUUACACGUCUCGUCCAACAACUUAUGAUCCAAGCGUGCUAUUAUGGAAAAAUCAUAUUAUCGCAUAUGAUCAAUUGAGAUACUGUCAAAUCAUGGUCUUCUCAUAUAUUUGGCUAGCCCAGCGAUGUCUGAUAUCUCAUUUGUUAUGAGCAAACUCAGUCAGUUUGUAUCCAAUCUAGGGGAGGAUCAUGGUAUGCCCUAGAGAGGGUAUUGCACUUUCUCAAAGGGACUAUGAGUAAUGGCAUUUAUUACACUAGGCACCUAAGAGUACUAGAGUGUUAUAGUGAUGCAAAUAGGAUAUCUGAUGUUGAUUAGGUUUAAGCCACAAGUAGACUUGUGUGCUUUCUUGGAGGUGUGAUUGUUUCAUGGAAGUCUUGUAAGUAGACCAUCUUAACAAGGUCAACAAUAGAAGUAGAACUCACAAUAUUAGAUACUACCAAAGUUGAAGUUGAGUGGCUCCAUGAACUCCUUAUGGAUUUAGCAGUAGUUGAAAAAUCAAUACUGGUUAUCUCUAUGAGAUACAAUAAUCAAACAUUUGUAAUCAAAGUAAAUAGUCCUAAAGUUAACAUGAUGUCUACAAAGCACGUAAAAUGGUUGAAACUGUUAAAACACUAAGAAACUCUAGAUUAAUUAUGUUGGACUAUAUCCAUACAUCUAAGAAUUUGGUAUGCCACUUUAUAGAAGAUUUGUCACAUAAUAUGAUUCAAGGUGCAUCGAGGAAUAUAGGCUUGAGACCCACUUAAUGUCAAUCCAUAGUGGUAGCAUUUUCUAUGUGAUUGGAGAUCUCAUGAAGUAGAAUGGUGAAACAAGGUAGAGAAUGACUGAUGGAGAGACUCCUUAAAUAAAAUCUUGGUAAUUUGAGAUGCACAUUUCUCAUUUGAUGUAUUGUAGGCGAACUAAAAUCUUAAUAUAAUUUGAGUGACUUAUCUAAGUAGGGAUGUUAUCUUACAGAACAUCCUAGAAAGAACACACCUAUAUGAGUUUGAAUGUUAGUCAUAGUCUAUCAUGUGUGGGUAAUCUUUAUAUACUCAUGAAAGGCCUCGAAGUUUGACUUAUACAGUUCAAACCAAGGGGGUGCUUGUAACAGUCUAGUACCAGAUAAGAACUUUGGUGAUACUCACUUAACACAAAAAUGUCAAUUCAAGGCAUAGUUCAUUGUUUAGAUGUGAAUGUGUAAUCCCUAUUUUAGAUGGAUGGUCAACUUAACAGCCUCCACCAAAACCCUGAUAUCUCAAAGAGUAGUGGAUUUGAGUUUGUCUAAUAUGUGGCUUAGAAUUUGGUGGGGAUUGUUAAUAUUUUAUGGGCUUGGCCCAUUUAAAGUAUUUAAUACUUUUGAAAGCCAAGAUUAAACAAACUAUGUAUGAUCCUUUAUCACUGUAUAGAUGGUUGAUGGGAUGGUUACAUUGUUUAUAUAGAUGGACCUAUCUGUAUUCAUUGAGUGGUUGAGAAAAAGGUAAAGGCGCGUCACACCCACGUGUGUGCCACCUCCACCGAGACGAUGUGUGGCGUGGCAAGGUGAGGCAUGGCAUGGUGCAGCACGGUUGCAGUCAUGGUCGUGGCGCGGUGUAGCGUUGUUGUGGAUAGAUAGAUAAACUAUUGUUGUAGUUAGAGCACAUGAGUUUUUGAAUGUAACACUAGAAUCUUCGCAUGUUAACUUAAUUAAGAACUUAUAUCUUGAUGACAUAGAGUUACCUGACCAUUGAUCUCACAUGCCCGUUUAGCUCUCUCGUUCUCUGGUAUCACCCUGUCUAUUUAGGUCUCCUUACUCGCCAAUAUAAACAUCAUCCUAUCAUUUGCUCUCGAUUCACUUCUGUCACUACUCAACUGUCAGAUGUGUGGCAGAACCUCCCAAGUUAUUGGGCCCACAUGCACCUGCCCUUGUCUCAAAGACCUCAGACGACUAUGCAUGUGCACCAGAUAACUUAACAGGAUCCGUCUGAGUGUCCCAAGGACCCCGGAUAAACCACUUACAACCAGGACCACAAGAUUAAGUAAACACAAAUCACACACUAACGUUUAGCAGCGGAAUUUCUUUAUUACAAAAAACUUACAAGUUACACCAAAUUUACAUUAUGUUUAUCGGAGUGGUUACAAAAGUGUUUCAAAGGAAUAAACUUUGAAGUGUUAUAAAUUAUUUAUAAGUUUGAAAUAUAUGCUAGCUUAGUGACAAUCCUCAACAAGAAGUAUAAUAGAGGUACUUAGACUUAUAAGAAGGUCGUGCCCACCGGCGGUUAACACCAUCCAUAGCAGCACAAACCUAGUACCUGCAACAACAUGGGUUCGAAAACCCUUAGUACGAAGUGUACGUUCGCAAGUCUUACCCGUCUAAGGAAAAAGACUCUCAAGGAUAUGCUGGCUAUUGGGAAUCAAGGUAAAGCUUAUCAAGAAUCAAAGAUUGUUUGCAGAAAAGCUUACUAUAAGUGAAUCCUUAAAAAAUCAUUUUACUUGUCAGGUUAAGUAAAGUUACCUGCAUCUAGAGUUCUUUCUAUCCUAGUUCAAUCACUUGGCCUAUACUAGCUGUCUUUUUAUCAUCCCAUCAGUUCACUGGAUUGCUACGUGUAAGUCAGUGACCAAGUCUUCAUGUCCGAGAAGUAACGGCGAUCCGAAUCGAUUAAUACUCAGCUAAGGAUCUCUAAUCACACGACAUAUGUAGCACUUAACCCUUGCAUAUGUCAACUCGCCACUGGGUUUCUCAAGACCAGACCGGGUUCACGCUAACCGAGAGCACAGAUACACCACCGUCCAGCCUCUUGCCACGGAGGAUACACACUACUCUCGCCAUCUCUCCACUCCCAUUGCGUGUUGGCCUUUCUGGUAUUGGUCUGCCCGAGGCAAAGCUUACCCAUGACGAGGCAUGUGACUAGUUAAAGGGUCCUCGGUCAGCAGACCCACAUCGGUACGGUCCUUAAUCGACUCAGAUGGAGACACUACACCGAGACUCCCUUCUUGUGCAAGUCAACUGCCCGGUCUCAGCUUUAUUAUUUAAAACCCAAAGUUUGGUACUUGGCAGAAGUACAUCUUUUCAGAUGUUGAACCCAUCAAGGCCCUGAUGGAUCCACCAUCAUAAGUUUUUCUUUGUAAAAAUUCCCAUCCAAUCUGAAGCAUCACCUUUUUUUGUAAAACAAAACAUUUUGUUUCUCUAAAGCAAUGCUAAGCAUCAUAAAAUCCUUUUCAUAAAAGGGAUAUCAAGGGUAAUCAAUUUUUCAAGGAAGAAAAUGCAUCAAUUGUUUAGCACACAACUUCUAUCACCUAAUGCAUCAAACAAGGCGAUAAAGAUUUUAAAACAGCAAGGAGGUGGCAAAUGCACUGGGACUUGCCUAGAUAACACUAGGUUAGUGUUGUUAGGUGGCAACCAGCCUUUUGUGUUGGCACUUAUUCAGUCUGCCAUCUUCAGGUUGAUCCCCCAGCAUCACCUUGGGGAGAAGCCCACGCUUAACAUCAUCUUGUGGUCGACUCAGCUCUGGUCCUCCAUAUCACGUGAUCAACUAGCGUACCUCAUAAGAUGCACGAUGCACAUGUAUGAGUAUCAAGACGAAUAUCGCAAGAUAAUAUUACGAUUUUACAGAAUGAAGAAUUAAACACUUAAUGGUAAAGCAUCACGACAUUUCAUAGGCAACCCGCAUGGAUCUAACGAUAUCACACAACGUAAUAUAACUAAACAAUUCAAAUCCGCGAGGACGACGACGAAUCCAGUCCGAGCAAUCCACCGAAUACUCGAUGAACGUCGCAUGGAUCUUACUUCAUCAAAGCAAAGGUCACCACAAAAACAUAACCUUAACAGUCUAACGUAUUUAUACAAUCUUAGUACAUAGUUUCUUAGAUUUCGAUUAAAAUCGGCUCACCGACACUACUCGUUUCCAAAUAAUUUUAAGCUACGACCCACAUUUAUCCCCCGAAUAUCGACUUAAGUGAUCAGCAUUCGUCUAUGACACCUAGCCGAUUAACAACAUAAUACGGCACUAUUAAAGCAAAUCACUACUUCACCACUACUAUUCAAGUAGAAACUAUUGGCUGGCUGAUUAAAAUCCCAAACCUAUUUUACAUGUUAUGAACUAGCCAAAAUAUAACAUAUAUAUCUAUCAAUAUCUUCAACAUAAUUAACACCCCAAGCCUAUGCUUCAUCACACAAAGACGAAGUGUCAACUCUACAUUUAUGAGCAUCGCCACAUACUACAUGUGAUACAUUUUAACAAUCAUUUAAUAUAACCACACGCACCUGUGCAACUAACAAAAGAAUUCGUCGUGACCAACAAACUAACUCAAUCUACUCCAUGAGUCGGCUAGCGGGAGUAGUGAAAUAGCUCACCACACCAUAAACGACUCGGAUCUGCGAAAUCGACGAUGAAUCCUAGCUCAAGCAUUUCAUUAGACAUUUGGCAAGUGUUGCGUUGAACUACGGUUUCUUUUCCGCACAAAACCCUGGGAUUGCUUUCCUUAAAUCAGGCGCCCAAACUCACGACAUCGACCAAUUCACGGGUACGCAUGGAACAGUGGCGACAACGAGUCAAUGAUAGUUGACCAAACUUUACAUUACCUCGAGCAGUUGGCGAAUGCUGCGGCACGGAAGCAGUAGCGUGCGCAUAAAGGCAGUGAAUGUGGCGAGGGCCCGGUUUGGACAUUUCGUUGAGCGCCUAGCUUGUACCGACGGCGCAGGUGCUGGGCCGAGAGACAACGACAAAAUCCGAUUAUCUAUACUACCUAUUAAGGCUCUAAGGGGUAGGCUGCCUCUGCUUGUUCUGCCUUCCGACGAUCUCAACCGUCCAAUACGCUCUAGAGUCUCUCAGCCGUCCGAUGCGCGCACUCUCACCCCCCACGCAUCGCCCCGCCCCCACCCGAUCGUCCAACCGUGCGCUACCCUAGCUUUGCCUCUACACUCCUCCCGCCGCCUCCUACCCUCCUCCGCGCGACGGCGCGAGCCGCAGCCGGCCCCCGCUCGAGUUGUCCACGAAUCCCACCGCUUGACGCCGUCCAUGCCGCGCCGCACGCCCGCAACCGCCCGCGAAUCCCGCCGCGACCCGCACGCCGUCCCUACGCCCGCCGCUAAACCCCCGUCGUGAAAUGCCCGCACGCACACCUGCUAGCCGCUGCGCACGCCCGCCGCGCGAUGCCGUCCAUGCCGCACCGCACGCCCGCAACGGCCGCCUCCCUACGCGCUUGGGAACCGCCCGCACAGCCCGCCGCGACCCGCACGCCCACGCGCCCAAAUCCCGUCAUGGUCUAGGGCUUCCCCACAACGCCCUCCUUCCCUGCGGCCGUAGAGGCUCCCGCGGCCCCCGUGGCGUGCGCCAGGUGCGGCGCGGACGGGUGCACGGCGGCCGGCUGCUGCGAGCUCGUCGCCGGGUCCAGCAGCGACAGCGACGACGCAGGGUGCUUCGGGACCCGCACCAACGGCGGCGGCCUAGGCCUAGGCCUAGGCGCGGGCAAGCGGAGAGGGAGGGGAGGGGGAGGAAGGUGAGCCAGUACAGGGGCGUGCGGUCCAAUUUUUGGGUAAAUUUCUGGGUCUUCAUCGUGUAUUUUAUGGUUCGUUGAUGGGUUUCCUGAUGGUUGAUGCACGCCUGCUUGGUGGAGGCGGGAAUGGUGAUCGAUGAUUCGUUGGGUGGGUGGGGGGACUGGCUGACAGCUGACAGCUGACUGUGUAUUGUGGUUUGGAUGGCAGGUUUAGCGUCAGUAAUAGCUAGGAUUAGGGUUCAGGCGAUGCUAAGAUUUUGGGGCGCCAAUUGCAGAAUCACUGGAUUGAUUCAUCUUUUAGGGGUUUCCUCGUACUCGGAGUACGAGGGCACCGUUUUAGUUGAAUGUUGCUCUGGUGUCUAAGCGCCAGGUAGUCAAUUUUGCAGUUUCAGUUGGGGAUUGUACGCUGGCAUCAGUUUUUACCUUCUACUCGUUUCAUCUCUUAACAACUUUGUGGUUUGCAGUGGGCACAACAAUUUGUUGCUGCAAACUCUUGUGCUCCGUGGGGCGUGGGCUGUGCAGCAGUUGUGCAGUUUAAUUGUUCUGUUUAUCAUAAUACACAAGGAGUUAGUGUUUGAGCAGAUGUCAAGAUGUUAAUUGUUUAGCAGAUCUCUAGAGGUAAGGGGUUUAUUUAUUUGUUUUUGUUGAACAUAGGGUUUAAGCAGGUCUAAGACUUCAGAUUUUGUGUGGUGACAGUCUUAGGGAUUGCUAAUUUGCUACUAAGAUCGGGAUGCCCACAAUUGUAAUUGUUUUUCGAUCAGAUACUGUUGGUUUUGCAUGGUCCUUGUAUGAGGAUUACUUCUCUAUGACAUUUUUUCUUCUGCAGAAUAAUCUGUCCUUGAAAUAGUGGUGAUAUGUAUUUCUUUUCAGUGCUGUUUUUGUAACUGUGUGAUGGUUAAUCCAUUGGAUUCAUAUGUUCUUGUGUGUCAUAUUUAGGUUGUGUUGGAGGAAUUUAAAACCCUAGCCUAUUGAGUGAGCUGAGUCCUGAGUGUUACAUGUAUUAGAAUUAGGCUCAUAACACUUGUCAUGGCUAGAAAAUUUAGAUCCAGUCUAAAGUUUUUAUUACGGAUCUCACUACUCUAGCAUGGGAAUCGUUCUUCAUUACAUGCUUAGGCUCGAGCCAUUUACAUCUCUGUAUCUAAAUUUUCAGGUUGUCAUUUUGCUCAUAGCUAUCACUGUUUCCUUAAAAUUCGAGCACAUAGCUAUUAUUUUCAAAACAUUAUUCAUGAAUUUGUCAAAACAUAAUUUCUCUUGUUGUAUUUCACCACAGUUCAAAAUAAGGGAUCUUAUCAUAUUAUUUACAUUUAUGUCUGUCUGACACUUGUGCAGGGUGGCAAGUUUGACCAUGCAGAUCAUUUGUUCCAAAGCAUUGAGAGCGCUUACAUAAAUAGCUUAUCAAAUACAAGUGACGUCAAAGAGCUUAUUCCAGAAUUCUUUUACAUGCCCGAGUUUCUUGAAAAUUCAAAUUCAUAUCAUCUUGGUGUCAAGCAGGAUGGGGAACCUAUAGGCGAUGUUGCUCUCCCUCCAUGGGCAAAGGUAACAGUUCCUCUUGAUGUUAGUUAUAUUUGUAAUAAUAGUUUUCUUGAGGAUGGAUUGUUUGUCUACCAGGAUAGUUCUGUUGCUUUUCUAAUGACAGUUAAUUUAGCUUUACAACUGUGUUAGUAAAAACCUUACUAUUCUCAGAUACACAGGGUAUAUCUAGCUUUCACAUACAUGUUACAUUUCCUAUCCCAUCUAUCAACUACAGACGGCAAGAAGUUUGUUGACUGCUUGAAGGAUCAGAAUAUCAUGCCUGGCAUCAAGGUUGACAAGGUAUGCAUGCCAUGAUCUUAUAACAUCAUGUUAGCCCACAAUUUGCUUCUAUCAUUAUGAUUCUCACUGCCUGAUUGCUUUGGUUUCAUGAAUCAGGGUUUGGUUCCAUUGCCUGGAUCCAACAAUGAAUCAUGGUGCCAAGGUCUUGAUGGUUUGGCUUCAAGGUGUGCUGAGUACUAUAAGCAGGGGGCGCGCUUCGCAAAGUGGUCUGUUCAUACUUCCCUUAUUCAUGUGUCAACUAAUCUUAUUUGUGCUUCCUUUCUAAAGUUGCUAUGAUUAUCGAUCUUCUCUAGGAGGACUGUUGCUAGCAUCCCUUGUGGUCCAUCUUCAUUAGCAGUCAAGGAAGCAGCAUGGGGACUUGCUCGAUAUGCUGCUAUUGCUCAGGUAACAAAAUAAACUGCAACUGUGGAAACAUCUUGCAAUAAUUUUUUGAUGACUCAUGGAGCUUUGGUGAAGAACCUAUCUGCAUUCGUAUGGGCACGCAUUAGUCGUGCUGCAGUUACUGUGGAUAGAAAGACGUAUUUUAAUGGGGCUCAGGAUUUGUUUGUUGUUCAACCUGAGGUGUUUAUAAACAUCUAAUACCCCCUGUUCCAAACUAUACUAUGUUUUGACUUUUAUAGAUUCAUAGCUUUGUUGUGUUCUUAGAUAUACACUAUGUCUAUAAUAGUAUAAUCUAUAUAUAUAUCUAUACUACCUAUUAAGGCUCUAAGGGGUAGGCUGCCUCUGUUUGGUUCUGCCUUCCGACGAUCUCAACCGUCCAAUACACUUUAGAGUCUCUCAGCCGUCCGAUGCGCACGCUCUCACCCCCACGCAUCGCCCCGCCCCCAGAUCCCGCAUCCCCCACGGAUCCCGCAGCCGCGCCGCUGUCGCUCCCUCCCGUGCUCCCUUCGCGCCCGCCCAUGGAUCUCCGACAUCGAGCGCUGCCGCCGCUGCCUCGCCUCGGCAAACCCGGCUCCAGGGCGACAGCUCCCGCCGGUGGGACCUCGUGUUCAGCGUCGUGAAGCCGUCCGUGAUCCAGCUGCGGGGGCCCACCAAGGUCAGUGUCUUCAUCGCCAGCAACGACGGCAGCGCUCGCUCCCUCCGUACCAUCCAAUGGCCCGCGUUCGUCCCCUGCCCCGGCAACCCAGCUUAACCCUAGCUCGCUCCCUCCGUAGCCGCCUCUUCCUGCUUCGCUCCUCUCGCGUAGCAACCGCUCCCUCCACUCCCGAGAUCGUGGCCCGACGCCAUGCCGCUCCCGAGACCGCGCCACAAAGCCGCGGAACGUCCUCACCGAUGCACCGACGCGCCCCCGAGCCUGCUUCCCGACGCCACCCUCACACAACCUGCCCCCUGUCACCCUCUGGACGGGACGACACAGGUCUGGAGAAGGGUCCAGAAACCGGCGCGAGUCCACCGCGAAUCCACACGAUCGAUGUCGUCCUCCCGCUCGUUUCGCCGUCGACCUUUCUCCAGUGGUUGAGUGCGACAGGGUUGGUGGCUAGGUCGUGCGAUGGCGAAAUCGAGUCCAGAGUAGCAGAGCAAGGCUGGUCCCAGCGGGCUGCCGGUGUUGUGACCUGCGUGCGUGGUCGUACGCCUGGCCGUUGUGCCGCUAGCUGCGGCGGGCGGGUGGCUGGCGGCGUCGCAUGGCGGACCCAACGCCCAUACAACCUCCAGGGAUUGCUUCCUCCCCAUGGCGUGGAUCUAGAUGGUCUUCACGGCAGAGGAGGAAGAGGUGUCACAGCAGCUUCCGAAGACAUCGUCGACGUCCCUUACCACCUCGAUUGGCGAUGGCAUCGACAGCCCCCAGCCACUGCCCGCGCUAACGGUGGCGUGGACCUCACUGUCUUCAAGCAGUUCGAGCGGAUGGUGUGUUGGCUUCUGCAUGCUUCGUGUUUUCGAAUACGUUGCUAAGCUCAGCAUUGGUUGGUGAUGGUUUUGGUUUGCCAUCUUAAAGAAUCCUGAGCCUGCCAAUGGCGACGACGAUGGAGCUUUGUCACUGCCAGAGACAGGAUUGGGGCUUAGCUUGAAUACUGACGGGGUGCUCAAGGCGUGGUGUGCAGAGGCUCUGCGUUUGCUGAUGGCAAUGGGCCUGACUUGCCAUUGUCCCCUGCUCAUGUGGUAGUAAGUAUUUCCAGCUUAUCUAAAAAUUAUAAAAGAUCUUACAUUUCCAGUUAACAAUUAAAGAUGGCUAGAGCUCUUGGAACCCUGAGUUAUACCUGCUAUUAGUUCAUAUCGUCUGGUAAGUAGAAUCUAUUUCACUUCAGUAGAAGUACAGAUCGUCUGUUGUUUUCUAUCAGCAGUGAUCAGAAAAACUUGGCAUGCAUUACUUUGUUUCGGUCCCUUCGCAUUUCUUGUCAAUGGCAGAUUUCUCCCAGAAGAAAAUCUGUGUCUGAAAUUUGCUAAUAUGAAAUAGUACAGUAUGCCCACCAGUACUUGACUUUACUGACUCAAUGGGCCAGGCAGAAGGAAAUUCCAAUUGGUUGUUUUCUUUGAGUUGAAUCAUUAUAACAAACUUAGCCCUCAUUAUGAUGUAUCUGCAGUUUUUGAAUUCAAUUGAAGUAAAAGGAAAUAUCAUAGUUUGGUCCUUUCGUGAAAUUUUUUUGUCCAAUUUUUUGUCCUUGUAGGUUUUUACGUUGCAUUAGAAAACAUUGUAGGCAACUGAUUUUCUAACAUGUCCCUAUCAGAACUUCCUCCGAGACCAUUUCUUGAGAUCUUGGCACGAGAACUACGACGACGACGACUGGUAAUGUGAUUCUUGCGCCUUCGUUUUUCCCCUGUUUAGACUUUAGAGUGAAUUAGUAUCAUUUUGCUUUUUCCUUUCACCUGAUUGGCAGGGUCUUAGAUUAUUCAACAUUGAUAUGAUUAGGGAGCACCCCCCUUGUCAAGCAACUCACACCAUUACAAGAUCUACACGACAUGGCAUCUGCAUCGCCAAGGCCUCGCUCAACUCAGCGCGGUGAGUAGCACAUGAACAAAAGUGCCCUUUUACCAGUUUUUUAUCAGGGUGCAAUUCUGGAAGCUCAUUGUUUCUAUAAAGAAUUCAAGCUCACUGCAGUUUACUUUGUGUAACAGGAAAGGUGCAUCGAUGACAACCCGGUUCUAUUGUAACAAGAUCAGUGUGGUCCUGGUUGCUUGAUGCUUGUUUGGUUUAAUUGUAUAGCAAAAUUAGGUGUUGACUGCCGAUACCUGGAGAUGUGACACCGCCAGAUGUGUCGCUCAGGCCAGUCACACUGCUCUGCUGUUUUUCAAAGAACAACCUCUUGCUGCGUCAUCAAGGGGUAGACCAGUCUCUGAUGAUUCGUGUAAGAAUCCUUGGGAGAAAGCAAGUGGUCCUGGAAAUGUUACCAGGACAUCUCUGGCCCCACAAGGGCUGCAAGCACAAGUAGGUAUUUAUGUGUUUCACUGAGGAGUGCUACUCAUACCCACGAUGGGAUUUUUUAACCUUAGUCUAAAAUUCGCUCCCAUGGGCAGUCGAACUCAGGACACUGAGGAGUGCUACUCAUACCACAACCAAAACCAAGUCAGCCCUUUCGCUAUACUCUUAAAGGGUUUCUUCAUUUUUUGUUUUCAAUGUUGAUUAUCAUACCUAAAAUGAAAAGAAUGUAGAUUAUGGUCGUAUGGCUGAAAUACUCGUUCGGAGGGCAGGCUCUACUGAUGAAUUCACUCGGUUGACAUCUAUCACAUGGGUAAUUUGUCUUUCAUGUUUUCCUGUGAUCUUAAAACCUAGAAUCUAGACUGCAGAAGCUGGUUUAGUAUUUGUAAGAAUGCUUGACUUAUGACUUAUCCUUUGAAGUGUAGAUCAACGAGUUUGUGAAGCUUGGUGGGGAACAACUUGUUCCCUACUAUGCAGAUAUAUUGGGCGCUGUCUUACCAUGCAUAUCUGACGAGGAGGAGAAAAUCCGAGUGGUACUUUCCCAUCAUGAUUCAUACACUUACUGCAAUGUGAACUGCGUGGUGUGUGCAUGUUCAGGAAUAGCAUUUACUUUAGUUACUGAUUUGUUUGCAAGGUUGCACGCGAAACAAAUGAGGAACUCCGUGCUAUAAAAGCUGAUCCAGCUGAGGGAUUUGAUAUCGGAGCAAUUCUUUCAAUCGCAAAAAGGUUCUCUAUAAAGUCCCUUGGAAAUGAAACUAUGUAGAACUGUUAGGCAUCUAUCUGUAUGCUCUGCCUAUGCUGGUAUUUGAUAAUUAUAUCAACAUGAAAUUUGUGACAAGGCAUUGACCUUUUGUCCUUCAUUUCCAGAGAAUUGAACAGUGAACAUGAGGCCACUCGAAUCGAAGCAUUGCAUUGGUUCUUCACUUUGCUGGAUCGAUAUUGUGCUGAGGUACUAAAAGAGCGAUGGUUUUUGGGCUGCAUUUUGAUAAAUUUCAACAUGUAUCUAAAUGUUUUUAAGCUUUUACAUUGCUGUGAUUUUAUUUUGUCAACUUAGAGUUGGACAUAUGAGAGUUGCAAUUCAUUUAGAUUAACACAAGUCUAUUUGGACCUAUGGUUUAUUUACAUAUUUUCUGGAACAGUUCUUGGCUUACCUGAACGAUAUUUUUGAUCCACUCCUAAAUGCACUUUCUGAUCCUUCGGACGCGGUGAGUUUUCUUUGAAAAGCCUUCCAAACUGCUCUGCUUGUUUCUAGAAUUUGAAACUACAUCCUGUUGUGGGCUGUGAUUAGCUGAUAUUAUAUUGUGCUAUUUGUAUGCGAUGACUUAUAAAGUUAUAGUUUAGUACCAUUUCACAACUCAAUCAAGGUUUGGAUCUAUUUGGAGGGCACAAGCUGCAACUGUUGGGCCUGGUACUGUAGAACCACACCCCAGCACCAUUGGAGUAAUAAUCUUAGAUGAUAAGUUAGAUUCACAUAAUCUCUACUAUAUUUAAAUGGGAAUAAUCUCUCUUCGUGCGUCGCCACGCGUCUCCGCUCCUCCCGCCUGCCUAGCUGAAUUAAUCAAAAAAGGAGAAAAGGAAGAUGGCUCCAGGAUUCAAACCUGGACUGCAAGGACCAAAGCCACGCCCCUUAACCACUGCAUAUAAUGUUCCUUUGUGUUACAGAAGGAUAGAUAUUAUAAUUAAAAGGUAGAUAUUAUCACUACACCUUUAAAGCUUGUGCAAAAAAGAUGCGGGAUGAAAGAUUCGAACCCUGGUCUCUCAAGAAGGGUACAAAGACUUCGCCUGCUAACCAAUACACCUCAUGUUCUGUUAUGUUUUACAAAGGAUCAAUAAUUUUAAUAUAAUAAUACGUAUAAACAGCGCCUGCCCAGGGUGGGUGGUUGCCAUGCUCGUAGCGAUCGGCAGACUGGAUGUUCGCUGUACGUGCAAGGAACAACCUCCAACCUGACCAGUCACAGCAUUGAAGAGAACUGUGACUAUUUCUGCUGGCCCUUGAUGACAGUUCCCCCCCCAGUUAUUUGCUACAAGAAAACCUUUUUUCAGCAGAGUAGCUUUUGGACACCUUGUAUAUGCCUUCAAUUAAAGCGUUUGAAACUCUUUGCAGCCUGCUCACGAGAAAAUCGGUGUCGUUGAUUCCCAAUGGAUUGUACACCAAGUGAUUCCUUCUCUCGGGAACCAGGUAAGGAAGAAAAAAAAGAAACAAAUGUGUACAAUCAGAUUCUACUGUAGCGCCUGAAUAGCAUCUUCCAAAUGCACAGGGGCAGUCGGAGAAUGGGAGGGCGCCAUGGGAAGGGGUAUGAAUCUGACGACUUUGAUAGAUAAUCUCAUGAUGUUUUGUGAGUGUGUGAGGUGCUGUGAAUGAUCUUUAUCUUGGUUGCUGUGUAUGCAGUUAAGAGAGCGUUGCCGGAAAGAGUGGGGGCUUUUCCAGACAAGAAUGGCAGAAGCUGAGAAAGCAUAUUACGAGAUGAUGGGGAUUACACCUCCGAAUGUAAUAUUUGUCUCCUAGGAUAAAAGUUUCAACCCACAUUUUUUUCCUUUGUGUCCAGCAGUGGCUCUUCGAAUAGAGUUAGAUAUUGAUGAAUGGUACAAGUAGAUCAUACGUGACGAUAUAUAUAUAUAUAUAUAUAUAUAGAUCCUUUGAUCCUUCUUCCUGUGUAUUUAUCGUGGGCUGUUCUCACUAGGGUUCUGGUGAAAUGAGAAUGAUAUGUCUGUUCAGUUUAGAGCUUAUAUUCUCUGAACAUGAACAUUCAGAAUCGACAGCAUUGUGCGCACACGAAAAUUCUGCAGAAAACAUUUCAGACGGACAAGGAUGGCCAAAGUAUGACACUUCAUUGUAUACUAGGUGAAUGCCCGUGCGUUGCUACAGAGCGAACAUGUUACAAUAAGAUACAUUAAAAUUCAAAAUACUAAUUACUAUUUUAUGUUCUUAUUAACAUAUUUUAAAAGUUAAGAUAUUUUACAUACCUUAAAAUUCCUACACAUCAAACAAAUCCAUCAUGUGCAGUAAAAUGCAAUAGAGAAGCAUGCAGAUACUGAUGAGGGACGCAGAUUUUUUGGGGACAAAAUGAGGGAGCUGUUGGAGCAUAGAUAAUCACUAGGUAGGGGCUCGUGCGAUGCCACGGAACAUAAAUCUCGAUUUGUAUAUCAGCUAUGCUUCCUGUGAAGCAAGGAAGCGAACGCAAGCCAGCCUUUUGUAUUAGUGCAUUAUGUUCAGUUCUUACUUGAUCAUCCCGUGUUCUCGUGUGUGCCAUUGCCGAGUGGCAAGCUCAACACUGGUAUUGUUGUCUUGUCUCAAAUGAAGUCCGCUUCCACAAGUUAAUCGGAAAUCUUCAUGGGUGAUAGCUGUGUCAGAUUCUUCCGCGCAUAGGGCAAGUAAUGCAAGUGAUAGCUGUGUCAGUUUACCCCCAUUUUUUGGGCAUCUCAAAUGAAGUCCAUUGGAGGUUCGCAAUUUAUGUUCCGUGGCAUCGCACGGGCACCUACCUAGUUAUUGUAGACGAGGAGGACAUGGAAAAUCCUGAGCGAGCACCAGCGUGGAGCUGGGGACCGAGCAGAGGAGGUCUAGGCUAGAGUGGCGCCCAAACACACGACCAUGCAAUCGGUAAGGACUGGGAGCUCAUUUUCGGAUCUGGGCGACAGCGCAGUCCAAGACGGCUAUGACCAGGAACCGAGCUGCAGGACGAGGUCAAACGGAGACCAGAGCUGGCUCACAACGAAGUUGGAGUCGACGACCGGCGACAAAGGAAAUAGGGGGGCGCUCCUCCGACAACUAAAGCCCACGCCGGACCGAGCAGAGAGCGCAGGACCACGGCAAAGUGAGCGCUCCCACGAAAGAACACAACCACACAGACGCGGCCACCGGUGAGGAACCUCGACGUUGAAGCUGGAGUAAGCGAGGGCGUCCGAUCUGCAGAAACUGAGAAGGGGAAAAAUGGAGAAGGGUCGACGGCGUCCUGCGCAGGGAGAAAGCGCGCGCGACCAGGGACUCGGGCAACGCAGUGACUGCGAUCUGUAGACCGGCCCAACAGCGAGGACAAGCAGAGAGGGGCGAGCUGGAGCAGAGGGCAGGGCCGAGCUCGGCGUUGGGGGCGAGUGCCGGCCAUGGAAGAUGAGCAGUCGGCGCUGGGGAGCAGGGAGAUGGGAACUCGAGCUGGGGAAAGGGACUCGGCGACCUCAAUCACCAGGAGGCGCGGCCAAGUGAAAUACGAGCAGGGGCCAGGAGCGCGCGGAGGGAGAGGAAGAAAGCUGAGCGCCAUGGAGACGGGCACGGCAGGGAGGAGCGCCGGCAGAGGAGGAGCUCGGCGCGCAGAGGGGCGAGCCAGGGAGCUCCGGCCGGGCGCAGUCCGAGCAGGGUCUAGGGGCGUGUGGAGGAGAAGCCGGGGAGGAGCGCCGGCGAGCUCGCGGCACCAGGGAGCAGGGCGCGCGGCGAGCAGCAGAUGAUGGAAGUUGCCGCAGGGAGAAGCCAAGGUGAGGGCGCGUGAGGAAGAAGGAAAUUGUGGCUGGGCGUCGAUGGUGAGAAGGGAGGAUAAGGACGGCUGAAGCCCAAGCGGUGGAGAGAUAUUUUUCCUUUUCUCCCUUUUCUUUCUUUUAAUUAGGGAAUACACUGCUAACCGAAUUUAAGAAUUAAACGAGACUAAAAUGGAUCAAUUUAUGAUUUUAGGAUUAAGAUUUUAGGGGGUCUAAAAGAUGUAUAAAAGGAUCAGCCAAAAACGAGAUCGACAACAAUAUUUAGACAGGUUUUGAUGUGGUGAAUACUCCCGGUGUCAAUGAAUUCUUACCCUUUAUUUAUAUUUGAAGAUUUAUAUCGAGACAAGAAACAAAUGGACCAAUCCAAAAUGAUAUGGACGACGAUAUUUGAGACUAUUUGAGACUGCAUUAAUUUAGUUGAAAUCGGAUAAAAAUUUAUCCGAUAUCUAAACAUGGUUGAUUUUAUUAUCUUACAGAGUGUGCUGAAUAAUAAAUUAGAUCAUAACCUCGCGCACGAUUUUUCUCGGACAAUGUGUGAUUCAGAUUAUUUUGCCCCGAACAUUUUUUUGUCGUCGAGUUCUACUUAAUCUGUUUGAGAGGAAAUCGGAGGACUGAACUAAAUUUCCAAAUUCGUAUUCGCUUACUGAUGAAUUUUAAAUAGGCACAUGACUCGCAAACUUUCAGAACAAUUACGUUCCGAAAUUCGCGAAAACUUUAGGAAGAGUCUAAAUAGACAGAAACAUAUACGAUAUUAAAGUCGCGAUAGACAAAAAUGAUUAAAAUUUAGCAUCUAUUUUAUCCAACGCUAUCACGUGUUAAAGUCCGCACUCGUGGUCGAGCAGACAAUAAACACCUGGGGUGUUACAAGAUGAGUACUCCUUUACAACACUUACGUACAUGAGUUCUAUGACAGCAGACCUCUGAAAUGAAUGCCAGCUACAUGUUUAUCUACUUAGAUGAAGGAAGACAAUCACUUUUUGUGAUGUCUCGGCGACAUUACUCCUUACUUCCUCCACUUCUUCCUAGUGUUUCUUUAUUGUGAUUGAGUCGACACAGCGACUACACUGCACUACAACAACCAGUACGACUAUAUCAAUUGGCAAUGUCUCCAUUAGGUUUGAGUCUUAUGAGGGGCUUAAAACUAUGUCACAAUUUAUUUUGUUCAUUUUUAUUAUGUUUAAAUUACAUGUGCACCUUUCUACUGACAUAAAAAAAUUAUCAACUUUCUAGAUUAAAAUGCAACUAAAAGUACCUAAAUUUCUGUCGAUGGGGAUCGAGUGACUCUUUAAACCGAUUAUUACACAAGUUAACCAAACUAAAAUUAACAUUGGUGAAUAGUGCCAUGAUUUUUUUUAGUGCAAAAUAGCACAACAAAGCAACACAUAUGUGGCUAUCGUUACACAUGUGUAAAGGUAAUGCAUCACACCAUUGUCACCCAUGUAUUUGGAAAAUACCAAGAAGAAAAAACAACUUGUUUAUUGUAUUUUAUGGAGAUUGUCUUACUUACAUACAAUUAUUACCCAACAAAGUGGUCACUAAAUGUCAAAACCAACUAGAUACCAGGUGACUUUAUACCUGAUCAAGGUCGGAGGUGACCAAGCGACGGGGAGAGACACCGAAACCGUGGAGACUUCGACUCGAUCUCCGAACGACCGCAGAAUCACAACCGGAGCUAAUUCACACAAUGCGAGGCAGCCGUACUGCAACUCACAAGGCACGAACUAGUGGAUCCCAGAGGAAUCUCUUCACAAGUCCAGGAGAACAAGGAAGAACAGGGGUAGAGUAAACACUCAGCAACUUGGCUGCGGUACUCACUUGGAUUAUCAAAUCAUCAAAUGUUAUCAAAAGUUGUUUUACAUCAUAGACAUAGGGGGUAUUUAUACUAGUGAAAGGGAAAUGUGCCCUUGGGCCAUUUCUAAGUAUUUUGGUGAUUGAGUGCCAACACAAGUGCUUAAAUGUGAAUCUAUGCUCUUGGAUGGACAAAGUGCAAAUCAAGAGUAAAGGUAUGUUUCUAAGCUUUAGUACAUUGGUUUUGUGUACUAAUAUACUUGUCUAAGUGUUAGAAACAGAAAGAAGAAGAAAAGAAAAGAGGUGAAAAAGGCUUGGCUGUGUACAGCCAAGACUGAGCUCAGUCUGGCACACCGGACUGUCCGGUGGUGCACCGGACAGUGUCCGGUGCGCCAGGCUGACUCGGCGUGAAGUGGCCGCUCUCGGGAAUUCGCCGACGGCGUACGGCUAAAAUUCACCGGACUGUCCGGUGUGCACCGGACUGUCCGGUGAACCAACGGUCGGCCGGGCCAACGGUCGGCAGCAGAAUCUGCGCGCGACACGUGGCCAGGCCAACGAUCGGAAGGGGGCACCGGACUGUCCGGUGUGCACCGGACAUGUCCGGUGCACCAACGGCUCCCAGAUCUGCAACGGUCGGCCGCGCCAUUUUAGGAAGGAAAUCGGGCACCGGACAGUGUCCGGUGUGCACCGGACUGUCCGGUGCACCCGACGACAGAAGGCAAGAUUGGCCUUGCAGAUUUUCUCUCAACGGCUCCUAGCUGCCUUGGGGCUAUAAAAGGGACCCCUAGGCGCAUGGAGGAGAGAACCAAGCAACCUUAGAGCAUUCUUGAUCAUCCACACUCAGUCUUUGCGCAUUCGUUUGUCAUUCUCAGUGAUUCGAGCUCCGUUCUAGUGAGAACUUUGAGAUAGUCUUUUGAGCUCGACUCUUGGCCGUGUGUGUGCGCAUUUUGCUGUGGAUUUGUGUGUGUUGCUUCCCCCCUUACUCCGUAUUUCUUUGUGAAUCUCAAGUGUAAGGGCGAGAGGCUCCAAGUUGUGGAGAUUCCUCGCAAACGGGAUAUUGAAAGGCAAAGCAAAACACCGUGGUAUUCAUGUUGGUCUUUGGACCACUUGAGAGGGGUUGAUUGCAACCCUCGUCCGUUGGGACGCCACAACGUGGAGUAGGCAAGCGUUGGUCUUGGCCGAACCACGGGAUAAACCACUGUGUCAUCUCUGUGUUUGAUCUCUUGUGGUAUUGUGUUUUGUUGAGACUCCACUCUAGCCACUUGGCGAUUAUUGUGCUAACACUUAACAAGUUUUUGUGGCUAUAAGUUUAAGUUUCACAGAAUCACCUAUUCACCCCCCCUCUAGGUGCUCUCAAUUGGUAUCGGAGUCGUUCUCUUCACAAAGGGACUAACCGCCCGAAGAGAUGGAUCCUAAAGGGAAGGGAAUCGUGAUCAACGACAAGGAGAAGGAGUCCUUCGUCAACGAGCCAAGGGAUGACAAGUCCAACGACUCGGGCUCGGGCCACAGACGCAAAGAUGGGAAGAAGAAGAAGACAAGACGCAUCAAGGAGAUCGUCUACUACGACAGCGAUGAGUCUACUUCCUCCCAUAAGGACGACGACCACAACGAAUACGAGAGAAAGAAACCGGUCAAUUCGAACUUUUCUUUUGAUUACUCUCGUAUUCCUCAAAGUACUAAUGCUCAUUUAUUAUCUAUUCCACUUGGUAAACCUCCCCAUUUUGAUGGAGAGGACUACGGAUUUUGGAGUCAUAAAAUGCGUAGUCACUUGUUCUCUCUCCAUCCUAGCAUAUGGGAGAUUGUAGAAAGUGGAAUGCACUUUGAUAGUACGGAUAGUCCCAUGUUUAUUAAUGAACAGAUUCAUAAAAAUGCACAAGCUACUACUGUGUUGCUAGCCUCUUUGUGCAGGGACGAGUACCAUAAGGUGAGCGGCUUGGACAAUGCCAAGCAGAUCUGGGACACCCUCAAGAUCUCUCAUGAGGGGAAUGAUGUCACCUUGCUCACCAAGAUGGAGUUGGUGGAGGGCGAGCUUGGACGGUUCGCAAUGAUAAGGGGCGAGGAGCCAACUCAAACAUACAACCGGCUCAAGACCCUUAUCAACAAAAUAAGGAGCUACGGAAGCACGCGAUGGACGGAUCACGACGUCGUCCGCCUAAUGCUAAGGUCCUUUACCGUUCUUGAUCCUCAUUUGGUGAACAAUAUUCGUGAAAAUCCUAGGUACACCAAGAUGUCGCCCGAAGAAGUUCUGGGGAAUUUCGUAAGCGGGCGAAUGAUGAUCAAGGAGGCAAGAUAUGUGGACGAUGCGUUGAACGGUCCUAUUCAUGAGCCUCAACCCAUUGCUCUCAAGGCAACGAGGAACAAGGAGGCGCUACCGAGCAAGGUUGCGCAAGUUGAGGCGACCGGGCUAAAUAAUGAGGAGAUGGCCCUCAUCAUUAAGCGCUUCAAGACGGCGCUUAAAGGUCGCAAGGGACAGCCAAGCAAGACCAAGACAAAGGAGAAGCGCUCGUGCUUCAAAUGUGGUAAGAUCGGUCAUUUCAUUGCUAACUGUCCCGAUAAUGAAAGUGACCAGGAAAAGGGGAACAAAAGGGAGAAGAAGCAUUACAAGAAGGCCAAGGGCGAGGCACAUAUCGGAAAGGAGUGGGAUUCGGAUUGCUCCUCAUCCGACUCCGACAAUGAAGGACUAGCCGCCACUGCCUUCAACAAGUCAUCCCUCUUCCCCAACGAGCGUCACACUUGCCUCAUGGCAAGGGAGAAGAAAGUAAGCACUCAUGAUACUAGUACUUAUGCUUCUUCAAGUGAGGAUGAGUCUAGUGAUGAUGAUGAGACAGAUUACUCAUGCUUAUUCAAGGGAUUAGAUAGAUCUAAAUUAAUAAGAUUAAUGAGUUGAUUGAUGCUUUGAAUGACAAGAAUAGAUUACUAGAAAAACAAGAAGAUCUUUUAUAUGAGGAGCAUGAUAAAUUUGUCAGUGCACAAAAUUCUCUUGCUCUAGAAAUUAAAAGGAAUGAAAUGCUCUCUGGUGAAUUAUCUACUUGUCAUGAAACCAUUUCUACUUUACAAGGUGUUAACAAUGAUUUAAAUGCUAAAUUAGAAGUAGCAAAUAAAUCUAAUUCUUGUGUAGAACAUGUUAUAAUUUGUACUAGGUGUAAAGAUUUUGACAUUGAUGCUUGUAGUGAACACCUAGUUUCAAUUUCCAAAAUUAAUGAUGAAUUAGCUAGUCUUAAUGCUCAACUUAAGACUAGCAAGAAUGAUUUCGAUAAGCUAAAAUUUGCAAGGGAUGCCUACACGAUUGGUAGACACCCCUCAAUUAAGGAUGGACUUGGCUUCAAGAGGGAAGCCAAGAACUUAACAAGCCAUAAGGCUCCCAUCUCCGCCAAGGAGAAAGGGAAGGCCCCUAUGGCAAGUAGUGCUAAAAAGAACCAUGCUUUUAUGUACCAUGAUAAGAGACAAACUAGAAAUGCUUACAGGAGUUACAAUGCUUAUGAUGAUUUUGAUUCUCAUGACAUGUUUGCUUCUAGUUCUUUCUAUGUGCAUGAUAGAAAUGUUGGUAGAAGAAAUGUUGUUCACAAUAUGCCUAGGAGAAAUCUUGUUAAUGUUCCUAGGAGAGUUAAUGAACCUUCUACAAUAUAUCAUGCUUUGAGUGCCUCCUUUGCAAUUUGUAGAAAGGAUAGAAAGGUGAUUGCUAGGAAAUUAGGGGCAAAAUGCAAGGGAGAUAAAACUUGCAUUUGGGUCCCUAAGACAAUUGUGACUAACCUUGUAGGACCCAACAAGAGUUGGGUACCUAAGUCCCAAGCCUAAAUUUGCCUUGCAGGUUUAUGCAUCCGGGGGUUCAAGCUGGAUUAUCGACAGCGGAUGCACAAACCAUAUGACGGGGGAGAAGAAGAUGUUCACCUCCUACGUCAAGAAUAAGGAUUCCCAAGAUUCAAUUAUAUUCGGUGAUGGGAAUCAAGGCAAGGUAAAAGGGUUAGGUAAAAUUGCAAUUUCUAAUGAGCACUCUAUCUCUAAUGUGUUUUUAGUAGAGUCUCUUGGAUAUAAUUUGCUAUCGGUUAGUCAAUUAUGCAAUAUGGGAUAUAACUGUCUAUUUACAAAUGUAGAUGUGUCUGUCUUUAGAAGAAGUGAUGGUUCACUAGCUUUUAAGGGUGUAUUAGACGACAAACUUUAUUUAGUUGAUUUUGCAAAAGAAGAGGCCGGUCUAGAUGCAUGCUUAAUAGCUAAGACUAGCAUGGGCUGGCUGUGGCAUCGCCACUUAGCACAUGUGGAGAUGAAGAACCUUCACAAGCUUCUAAAGGGAGAACACGUGAUAGGUUUGACUAACGUGCAAUUCGAAAAAAGAUAGACCUUGUGCAGCUUGUCAAGCAGGUAAACAAGUGGGAGGAGCACAUCACAGCAAGAAUGUGAUGACCACCUCAAGACCUCUGGAGCUGCUGCAUAUGGACCUGUUCGGACCCGUCGCCUAUCUGAGCAUAGGAGGAAGUAAGUAUGGUCUAGUUAUUGUUGAUGACUUUUCCCGCUUCACUUGGGUGUUCUUUUUGCAGGAUAAGUCUAAAACCCAAGGGACCCUCAAGCGCUUCCUAAAGAGAGCUCAAAAUGAGUUUGAGCUCAAAGUGAAGAAGAUAAGGAGCGACAACGGGUCCGAGUUCAAGAACCUUCAAGUGGAGGAGUUCCUUGAGGAGGAAGGGAUCAAGCACGAGUUCUCCGCUCCCUAUACACCACAACAAAAUGGUGUGGUAGAGAGGAAGAACAAGACGCUAAUCGAUAUGGCGAGGACGAUGCUUGGAGAAUUCAAGACCCCCGAGCGUUUUUGGUCGGAAGCCGUGAACACGGCUUGUCACGCCAUCAACAGGGUCUAUCUUCACCGCCUCCUCAAGAAGACUUCGUAUGAGCUACUAACCGGUAACAAACCCAAUGUAUCUUACUUUCGUGUAUUUGGGAGCAAGUGCUACAUUCUAGUGAAGAAGGGUAGAAAUUCUAAGUUUGCUCCCAAAGCUGUAGAAGGGUUUUUGUUAGGUUAUGACUCAAAUACAAAGGCGUAUAGAGUCUUCAACAAAUCAUCGGGUUUGGUUGAUGUCUCUAGCGACGUUGUAUUUGAUGAGACUAAUGGCUCUCCAAGAGAGCAAGUUGUUGAUCUUGAUGAUGUAGAUGAAGAAGAUGUUCCUACGGCCGCGAUACGCACCAUGACGAUUGGAGAUGUACGGCCUCGGGAACAAUUGGAGCAAGAUCAACCUUCUUCCUCAACAACGGUGCAUCCCCUAACUCAAGACGAUGAACAGGUUCAUCAACAGGAGGCAUGUGAUCAAGGGGGAGCACAAGAUGAUCAUGUGAUGGAGGAAGAAGCGGAACCGGCACCUCCAACCCAAGUUCGAGCAGUAAUUCAAAGGGAUCAUCCCGUCGACCAAAUUUUGGGUGACAUUAGCAAGGGAGUAACUACUCGAUCUCGAUUAGUUAAUUUUUGUGAGCAUUACUCCUUUGUCUCUUCUAUUGAGCCUUUCAGGGUAGAGGAGGCCUUGCUAGAUCCGGACUGGGUGUUGGCCAUGCAAGAGGAGCUCAACAACUUCAAGCGCAAUGAAGUUUGGACACUGGUGCCUCGUCCCAAGCAAAAUGUUGUGGGAACCAAGUGGGUGUUCCGCAACAAACAGGACGAGCACGGGGUGGUGACGAGGAACAAGGCUCGACUUGUGGCAAAAGGUUAUGCCCAAGUCGCAGGUUUGGACUUUGAGGAGACGUUCGCUCCUGUGGCUAGGCUAGAAUCAAUUCGUAUCUUGCUAGCAUAUGCCGCUCACCAUUCUUUCAGGUUGUACCAAAUGGAUGUGAAGAGCGCUUUCCUCAAUGGUCCAAUCAAGGAGGAGGUGUACGUGGAGCAACCCCCUGGCUUCGAGGAUGAACAGUACCCCGACCACGUGUGUAAGCUCUCUAAGGCACUCUAUGGACUUAAGCAAGCCCCAAGAGCAUGGUAUGAAUGCCUUAGAGACUUCUUAAUUGCUAAUGCUUUCAAGGUUGGGAAAGCCGAUCCAACUCUUUUUACUAAGACUUGCGACAGUGAUCUUUUUGUAUGCCAAAUUUAUGUCGAUGACAUAAUAUUUGGUUCUACUAAUAAAAAGUCUUGUGAAGAGUUUAGCAGGGUGAUGACGCAGAAAUUCGAGAUGUCAAUGAUGGGCGAGUUGAACUACUUCCUUGGGUUCCAAGUGAAGCAACUCAAGGACGGCACCUUCAUCUCCCAAACGAAGUACACGCAAGACUUGCUAAAGCGGUUUGGGAUGAAGGACGCCAAGCCCGCAAAGACUCCGAUGGGAACCGACGGACACACCGACCUCAACAAAGGAGGUAAGUCCGUUGAUCAAAAGGCAUACCGGUCAAUGAUAGGGUCAUUACUUUACUUAUGUGCUAGUAGACCGGAUAUUAUGCUUAGCGUAUGUAUGUGUGCUAGAUUUCAAUCCGAUCCUAAGGAGUGUCACUUAGUGGCAGUGAAGCGAAUUCUUAGAUAUUUAGUUGCUACGCCUUGCUUCGGGCUCUGGUAUCCAAAGGGGUCUACCUUUGACUUAAUUGGAUAUUCAGACUCCGACUAUGCUGGAUGUAAGGUCGAUAGGAAGAGUACAUCAGGGACGUGCCAAUUCUUAGGAAGGUCCCUGGUGUCAUGGAACUCUAAGAAACAAACCUCCGUUGCCCUAUCCACCGCUGAGGCAGAGUAUGUUGCCGCAGGACAGUGUUGCGCGCAACUACUUUGGAUGAGGCAAACCCUCCGGGACUUUGGCUACAAUCUGAGCAAAGUCCCACUCCUAUGUGACAAUGAGAGUGCUAUCCGCAUGGCAGAAAAUCCUGUUGAGCACAGCCGCACAAAGCACAUAGACAUCCGGCAUCACUUUCUGAGAGACCACCAGCAAAAGGGUGAUAUCGAAGUGUUUCAUGUUAGCACCGAGAACCAGCUAGCCGAUAUCUUUACCAAGCCUCUAGAUGAGAAGACCUUUUGCAGGCUGCGUAGUGAGCUAAAUGUCUUAGAUUCGCGGAACUUGGAUUGAAUUGUAGCAUACAUGUGCUUAUGCCUUUGAUCAUGUUCAUUCUGCAUUUUGUUGCUUAUUGUGGUGCUCAAGUUGUACAAACAUUCCCUGGACCUCACAAGUCCUUGUGUAAGUGAUGCACAUAUUUAGGGGGAGUUGUGUUACAACUUGACCCUUUGAGACUAACCAUAUGCUUGAGUUUGCUUGAUUUAGUCUCGAAGGAGAAUUGAAAGGGAAAAGGUGGACCUGGACCAUGAAAGACUUCCACUACACUCCGAUGAGAGGGUAACUUAUUCCAAGUUCAUCUCAUGAACUCUUAUUGCCAUUUGCUCUUAAUUGAAGAUUUUGGUGAGGCAAUGGGGUUAUAGGGCCAAGAUUGAUCCCGUUUUGGUGCUUGAUGCCAAAGGGGGAGAAAAUAAAGGCCAAAGCAAUAAAUGGAUCAGCUACCACUUGAGAAAUUUUGAAAAUAGUAAAAUAGAGCUUUUUGUUUUGUCAAAACUCUUGCAUUGUCUCUGUUGUCAAAAGUUGGCCUCUUGUGGGGAGAAGUGUUAAUUAUGGGAAAUAGGGGGAGUUUUUGAAAUCCUUGAUCAAUCUCUUUUGGAAUGACUCUCUUUAUGCUUCAACAUGUGUGUUUGACUUAGAGAUAGAGAUUUGAGUUUGGUUUGCAAAAACAAACCAAGUGGUGGCAAAGGAUGAUCCAUAUAUGCCAAAAUUGAAUCAAAAUAAAUUUGAGUUUUAUUUGAAGUGAUAUUGCACUUGUUCUAGUUGCUUUAUGUUGUGUUGGCAUAAAUCACCAAAAAGGGGGAGAUUGAAAGGGAAAUGUGCCCUUGGGCCAUUUCUAAGUAUUUUGGUGAUUGAGUGCCAACACAAGUGCUUAAAUGUGAAUCUAUGCUCUUGGAUGGACAAAGUGCAAAUCAAGAGUAAAGGUAUGUUUCUAAGCCUUAGUACAUUGGUUUUGUGUACUAAUAUACUUGUCUAAGUGUUAGAAACAGAAAGAAGAAGAAAAGAAAAGAGGUGAAAAAGGCUUGGCUGUGUACAGCCAAGACUGAGCUCAGUCUGGCACACCGGACUGUCCGGUGGUGCACCGGACAGUGUCCGGUGCGCCAGGCUGACUCGGCGUGAAGUGGCCGCUCUCGGGAAUUCGCCGACGGCGUACGGCUAAAAUUCACCGGACUGUCCGGUGUGCAACGGACUGUCCGGUGAACCAACGGUCGGCCGGGCCAACGGUCGGCAGCGGAAUCUGCGCGCGACACGUGGCCAGGCCAACGGUCGGAAGGGGGCACCGGACUGUCCGGUGUGCACCGGACAUGUCCGGUGCACCAACGGCUCCCAGAUCUGCAACGGUCGGCCGCGCCAUUUUAGGAAGGAAAUCGGGCACCGGACAGUGUCCGGUGUGCACCGGACUGUCCGGUGCACCCGACGACAGAAGGCAAGAUUGGCCUUCCAGAUUUGCUCUCAACGGCUCCUAGCUGCCUUGGGGCUAUAAAAGGGACCCCUAGGCGCAUGGAGGAGAGAACCAAGCAACCUUAGAGCAUUCUUGAUCAUCCACACUCAGUCUUUGCACAUUCGUUUGUCAUUCUCAGUGAUUCGAGCUCCGUUCUAGUGAGAACUUUGAGAUAGUCUUUUGAGCUCGACUCUUGGCCGUGUGUGUGCGCAUUUUGCUGUGGAUUUGUGUGUGUUGCUUCCCCCCUUACUCCGUAUUUCUUUGUGAAUCUCAAGUGUAAGGGCGAGAGGCUCCAAGUUGUGGAGAUUCCUCGCAAACGGGAUAUUGAAAGGCAAAGCAAAACACCGUGGUAUUCAAGUUGGUCUUUGGACCACUUGAGAGGGGUUGAUUGCAACCCUCGUCCGUUGGGACGCCACAACGUGGAGUAGGCAAGCGUUGGUCUUGGCCGAACCACGGGAUAAACCACUGUGUCAUCUCUGUGUUUGAUCUCUUGUGGUAUUGUGUUUUGUUGAGACUCCACUCUAGCCACUUGGCGAUUAUUGUGCUAACACUUAACAAGUUUUUGUGGCUAUAAGUUUAAGUUUCACAGGAUCACCUAUUCACCCCCCUCUAGGUGCUCUCAACUAGCUACAACCAGCCUUAGAUAGGUAUAAACACAAAAAUAAGUAUUUUAACGUGCUAAUGUGAAGGGGCCUCUUCGGAAGAUCUCCAGAGCUGAAUUCCGCGUGGCUGUUUGACUUCUUCACAACCUUUAGGGCAUGUACAACCUAGACACUGCUGCACGGUACUCCAAGUAUAAGACACAACUAAAACACAACAUAAUACAGUGGUCAUGUAUAAAACAUGUGUCUUACUAUAUUCAUUGUACCAAUCAGAGCAUUCAAUAAGUUAAAGUGACCAACCAGAUAGUCUCAUGUCUUGAAUAUAGAGCUAAGACACUGUGUCUUCGUUAAGAUACAUGUCUUGAGAUUUUUUACAUUCACCCCCCUAGACACACUCUAAGACACAACUUAAGACACCCAUUGUACAUGCCCUUAGUAUUUUGAUAAUAACUCCUCCUAGGAAUCUCCAAAUGGCGUGGGGCUGGAUGCGUUGGAAAGCUAACUUGAUUUGCUUUCUCACCAUGUAUAGCAUGCUUAAUGAAACUUUGUAGAAUGAUGCAGUUUAAUACUAAAACUUGGUCAUCAAGCAGACUGUUGACCUUAUGACAGUCAGAACUAAAGUAGGUCGGUUACCGUGUUGGGUGAUCCGAUUAAGUCGGUCCUAGAAGCAUUGGAAACUAGACUUCAAUAGCUUUCCAAAAUGUACUUAUUGGCCUUCAUAGCUUUUGGGAAUCAAAAGAUAUGAUUGUUUCUUCUGGAUGGUUCUAUCACGCUAGACUGACUCGAACAUAGUUCUCUCUGAUUCGCCCUUGAUAUGUUUUGUCCUUCCUCUUUGGUGGACCUAAGAAAAAUCAACAUACACAACUUAGGUAGAAUAAAGUUGUCAUUAGUGUUUAAUUUAAAUUCAUAAAGUAGCGCGUGCACCUCUUGUUGUAUCUGUUUCACCCGGCUUCGAGUGAUAGGUCCAGUAAGAAUGGUCGGCAAGGUUGACGAUGCUGGUAUGGUCACAUCACACUCCCCCCUUGAAAAAUGAGUCGUCCUCAACUCUUCCAAUCCAAAGCAAGGAGAGAGGUCGGCCACAUUAAAACUAGAACUCACACCAUAAGUAUCUGACAGAUUAAUUUCAUAAGCAUUUUCGUUGAUCUUGCAAAGCACUUUGAAUGGACCAUCAACUCGUUGUUGUAAUUUGCUUUUGCGUUGUUCAGGAAAUCUUUCUUUGCAUAGAUGUACCCAAACCAUGUCUCCUGGUUCGAACAACAUCUUUCUUCAACCCUUGUUGGCACACUAUUCAUAUUUCUUGGUCAUUUUCUCAAUAUUUGCUCGAGCUUUUUCAUGAAGGUUCUUGAUUAACUCGACUCGCUUGCUAGCGUCAAAGUUUACUCGUUCCUGCACAGGCAAUGACAAAAUAUCUAUGGGAGUUGUGGGUUUGAAGCCAUAUACAAUUUCAAAUGGACAAAAUUUAGUAGUCGAGUCUACAGCUCUGUUGUAUGCAAACUCGACAUGUGGUAGACUUUCUUCAGAGAGUUUUAAAUUUUUCUUGAGGAUAGCUCGCAGCAGCAUUGAUAAUGUUCGGUUUACAACUUCAGUCUAUCAAUCUUUUUGUGGAUGGCACGUUGUAGAGAAUAGUAGUCGUGUUCCAAGUUUUCCCCACAAAGUUUUCCAAAAGUAACUCAAAAAAUUAGUGUCACGAUCAGAAACAAUGGUUCGUGGAAUCCCAUGUAAACGAACAACUUCUUUGAAAAAUAAUUCAGCAAUAUGUGAAGCAUCAUCACUCUUGUGGCUUGGAAUAAAAUGUGCCAUUUUGCUAAAUCAAUCAACCACAACAAAAAUGGAAUCCCUUCCCUACUUUGUUCAUGGUAAACCAAGAACAAAAUCCAUGGAUAUGUCUUCUCAAGGCACACUAGGAAUAGGUAGUGGAGUGUAUAAGCCUAUGAGGGUUUAAACGAGACUUAGCUUUAUGACAUGAUUCACAUCGAAGGACAUGUCGCUCCACAUCCCUUUUCAUUUUAGGCCAAAAGAAAUGAUCGGCAAGCACUUGCUCCGUCUUCUUGGCGCCAAAAUGGCCCAUAAGUCCUCCUGCAUGAGCUUCCUGCAAUAUUAAAAUUCGAACAGAACAUUCUGGAAUGCACAUUUUGUUAGCUCGGAAUAAAAAACCAUCAUUAACAUGAAAUUUUACCCAUCCUCUGCCAUCACAACACUUAGAAUAUGGUUCAACAAAGUUUAAGUCAGUCGGUUAUAAUUCCUUUAUACUUUCUAAUCCAAGAAUUUUAGCAUCGAGUUGUGUUAGCAAAGCAUGUCGUCGAGACAAAGCAUCUGCUACAACAUUAUCUUUUCCUUUCUUAUAUUUGACAAUAUAAGGAAAUGAUUCAAUAAAUUCACACCAUUUUGCAUGCCUUCUAUUUAGUUUUAGAUGUCCUUUAAGAUGUUUUAAUGAUUCAUGGUCUGAAUGUAUCACAAAUUCCUUAGGAAAAAGAUAGUGUCGCCAAGUUUCCAAACUCCGAACAAGAGCAUAUAAUUCUUUAUCAUAAACUGAAUAAUUUAGAGUAAGACCACUUAGCUUUUCACUGAAGUAGCCAAUUGGUCUUUGUUCUUGCAUGAGCAUGCCUCUAAUCCCAAUUCCACUGGCAUCACAUUCUAUUUUAAAUGUCUUACCGAAGUCUGGGAGUGCAAGAACUUGGGCUGUUGUUAACUUCGUCUUUAAUUCUUCAAAUGCCUUCUGUUGUGAUUCUCCCCAUUUGAAAGGUACUUCUUUUUUGGUCAAUUCAUUGAUGGGAGCAGCAACAGUACUGAAGUCUUUUUCAAACCGCUGGUAGAACCCAGCGAGCCCAAGGAAACUUCUCACUUGGCUCACAUUCUGUGGAGGCAUCCAGUCGCGUACAACUUUGAUAUUUUCUUCAUCUACCUCCACACCUUGUCCUGAUACAACAAAUCCAAGAAACACUACCUUGUCGGUGCAAAAGGUGCACUUCUCAAGGUUAGCAUACAAGUUUUGUUCUCGAAGGACAACAAGUACAUAUCAGAUAUGUUCAACAUGUUCAUCAAGGCAUUUACUAUAAAUUAGUAUGUCAUCAAAAUAGACAACAACAAAUUUGCCAAUGAAAGUUCUAAGAACAUGAUUCAUUAUCUCAUAAAUGUACUUGGUGCAUGUUAACUCGAAGGGCAUCACCAACCAUUCAUACAACUCAAAUUUUGUUUUAAAGGUUGUUUUCCAUUCAUCUCCCUCUUUCAUACGAAUAUGAUGAUAGCCACUUCUUAAGUCAAUUUUAGUGAAAAUUAAAGCUGUUGGGUCUAUGCUUCGUCGCCGAAGGUCUUCAAGGGAGAAGCGGCUUUAUAAUGAGUGAGCAGGUAUCUUCGGACUUGUAUCAGAAAGGGAGAAGCUCAAAAGAUACAAAGGUUGACACAGCGCCGAAGCUGUGAAGCAGGAAAGCUUCGGCAUGUUCGCAGAAAAGGGAACCGACUUAAAGAUGAAAAGGCCAUUUAGACCUCGAUAGAGUGCUAUAGAAUUAUCACCAAAUGUAAAGGGCAUGUAUGUAAUUUUGUAUGGGUUGUACCCCGUGCCUAUAAAUAGGUGAACAGUACCCCCGUACUGUUCACGCUGACUUGGCAUUUGCUUUUGCGUCACACUUGUAUUUUCAUCUCCUUCCAAGCCGAAGGUACAUUUAUAAUUCAAUAUUGUUUCUAUUUUUCUAUGAUGAUAUAAUAAAGUGAAAUAAAUGAUGUUAUAUGAUUAUUUGUGUUAUCCUUUAACUUUCAUAUACUUCGUCUUUCAUUAAUGUAUACUGUAAUGAUGAAGGUUUGUCCUUCAUAACCUUCGUCCGGAGAUCGUUAUAUCCUAAGGGAAAUAAUGCCUCAAAGGACGAAGGACUUUAUCGUUUAACAUUUUCUAUGUUGCCUUGUUCUUAACUCAUAGCACUUGAGAACAAGUCCCCAACAUUGGCGCCCACCUCCGGUGAACUCACUUCCACUUUUUUGAGCUGAUGGCUUCGUUCAACGAUCAAGCUGGAGCUGCUUCGGACCCGAAGCUGGUGCUCCCGAUCACAGGUGGCUCGUCCUCAGAGCCAGCUAACAAGAAACAGAAGAAGGAAGCACAGAGAAGGGUACAGCAUGUUGGGGUGCAAGGACCCUUCAUCAAGACAAGAUGGUCUCACAUUCCUAUUACCUUCUCCCAAGAGGACCUUCAGCUCAAAGAUUACCCACACAACGAUGCCAUGGUUAUCUCUUGUGUUAUCAAAGGAUUUCUGGUCCACAAUGUCUUGGUUGACACAGGCAGUGCAGCUGACAUCAUAUUUGCUAAAGCCUUCAGACAAAUGCAAGAGCCAGAAGAUAAGAUUCAUGAUGCUACACAUCCUCUCUGUGGCUUCGGAGGAAGACAGAUUGUAGCACUGGGCAAGAUCACCAUGUUAGUGACCUUCGGAUUCAUCAACAACACUAGAACUGAGCAAGUUGUGUUUGACAUUGUUGACAUGGAAUAUCCUUACAAUGCAAUUAUUGGUCGUGGUACUCUUAAUGCCUUCGAAGCAAUCCUUCAUCCUGCUUAUCUUUGCAUGAAGAUACCUUCGGAUCAGGGACCCGUUGCUAUCCAUGGAAGUCAGGAAGCCGCAAGAAGGGCCGAAGGUAACUGGACUGACUCAAAAGCAAUCCAUAAUAUAGAUGGAGCCGAAGCUUGUGCACAGUACAAAUUCAGAAGGGAGAAAGCAGCUUCAGCAGAUCAGCCGAAGCCUAUGCUCUUAUGUGAGGACAUAGCAGAGCAGAAGGUGCUGUUAGGCUCUCAACUAUCCGAAGAGCAGGAAAAAACCUUGAUAAGAUUUUUGUUCAAUAACAAAGAUGUUUUUGCAUGGUCAGCCAAUGAUCUAUGCGGAGUUAAUAGGGAUGUUAUUGAGCACUCGCUCAAUGUCGAUCCAUCCUUCAGACCCAGAAAGCAAAGGCUUCGGAAAAUGUCAGAUGAUAAGGCCGAAGGUGCUCGCAACGAAGUCAAAAGACUCCUCAGUGCAGGAGUUAUUAGAGAAGUGAAGUACCCAGAAUGGCUGGCUAACACUGUUAUGGUAAAAAAGGCCAAUGGUAAGUGGCGAAUGUGCAUCGAUUUUACAGAUCUUAACAAGGCUUGUCCGAAGGAUGAAUUCCCACUACCAAGGAUAGACUCUUUAGUUGAUGCAGCAGCUUCGUCAGAGCUCAUGAGUCUGUUAGACUGCUAUUCAGGCUAUCACCAAAUUUGGAUGAAGAAGGAAGAUGAGCCGAAGACUAGCUUCAUUACUCCAAGUGGCACAUGUUGCUAUCUUCGGAUGCCUGAGGGGCUCAAAAACGCUGGAGGAAGUUUCAGCCGAAUGACUGUGAAGGUUCUUCAAUCUCAAAUAGGCAGAAAUGUGUUAACUUAUGUUGAUGACAUCAUUGUCAAAAGCACGAAGCAGGAGAAUCAUAUUGCUGAUCUGCAGGAGACCUUCGCCAGUUUCAGGCAAGCUGGCUUGAAGUUAAAUCCAGAAAAAUGUGUCUUCGGAGUGAAGAAGGGGAAAUUUCUUGGAUGCUUGGUUUCAACAAAGGGAAUUGAAGCCAAUCCAAGUAAAAUUGAAGCUAUACUUCGGAUGGAGCCACCAACUACAAAGAAGGGGGCUCAAAGAUUGACAGGAAGGUUGGCAUCUCUCAAUAGAUUCAUAUCCAGAUCAGCAGAGAGAAAUUUACCAUUCUUCGAAGUGCUGAAGUCGGCCGAAGUCUUUCAAUGGGGACCAAUCCAACAGAAGGCUUUCGAAGAACUGAAACAAUAUUUGAUAGAUCUAACAACAUUGACUCCACCAAUGCAAGGGGCUCCUUUAUUGUUAUAUGUGGCAGCUUCGCACUCAGCGGUAAGUGCAGCGCUUGUUCAGGAGAAGCUUGAUGGUCAAGUCAAAAGGCAGGCCCCAAUAUAUUUUGUUUCCGAGGUCCUUAGUUUAUCAAAGAAAAAUUAUACAGAGUUGGAGAAGAUACUGUAUGCUGUCUUGAUGGCCUCCAGGAAGCUUCGGCACUAUUUCCAAGCUUACAACAUAAUUGUUCCUUCGUCACAACCUCUGAAGGAUAUUAUGAGGAACAGAGAAGCUACUGGAAGGAUUGGAAAAUGGGCUGCAGAGCUCAAUGAAUUUUGUAUUGAAUAUGUUCAUAGAUCUUCGAUUCAGUCGCAGGCACUGGCAGACUUUAUUGCUGAUUGGACACCAGGGGCUCAGGAGGAGGAAACAAAUAAAGAUAACGAAGCCUGGAUAGUGUUUUGUGAUGGAUCUUGGGGAACCUUCGGAGCAGGAGCGGCUGCUGUGUUGGUUUCACCUUCCAAAGUCAAAACCUGUUAUGCGACAAAACUUGAUUUUAAUUGCACAAAUAACAUUGCUGAGUACGAAGCAUUGAUUUUAGGUCUUCGGAAAUUAAAAGCAAUGGGAAUCAGAAGGGCCAUACUUAAAACUGAUUCCCAGGUUGUUUCGGGUCAUAUUGACAAAAGUUGUAAGGCUAAGGAUCCGAAGCUUGAAAAAUAUCUGGAUAUGGUUCGAAGAGUCGAAGCCUCCUUCGAAGGGUUUUCUGUCAAGAAUAUCCCUCGAGGACAAAAUGAGCAUGCUGAUCUGCUAGCUAAGUCAGCAGCACAGGGGCUGCCUCUACCUUCGGAUGUAUUCUUUGAAACAAUAAAAGCACCUUCGGUGGAACUCCUUGAAAGAGCAGUUCUUAAUAUAUCUCCUGUUUUUAGUGAAGAUUGGAGAACUGAGAUCAUCUCUUACCUUCAGGGUAAAUUUCUUUCAGAUGACGAAGCUUAUAACAAGAGAAUAGAGGCAAGAGCUCGUCCAUAUGUCAUGAUAGAGGGGGAGUUGUACAAACAUGGAGUUUGUGCUCCGUUGCUCAAAUGCUUAUCCAGAACCGAAGGUAUAGAGUUAAUGAAAGAAAUACAUGCAGGCCUGUGUGGAUCUCACAUCGGAUCUAGGCCGUUACUUGGAAAAAUUUUCCGUCAAGGAUUUUAUUGGCCGAAGGCAGCUUCGGAUGCAGCAGAAUUGGUUCAAAAGUGCGAAGGUUGUCAGAAAUGUGCAAGAGAUCAAAAACGACCUUCGUCCUUGACACAGCUCAUACAACCCACUUGGCCAUUGCAAAGGUGGGGCCUUGACUUGUUAGGUCCGUUACCACCGGCCCAAGGGAACUUGAGAUAUGUUGUGGUAGCUGUGGAAUAUUUUUCUAAAUGGAUUGAGGCGAAGCCUUUAGCCACAAUAACUUCGGCUACCGUCCAAAAGUUUUUCUGGCAGAAUAUUGUUUGUCGUUUCGGGGUGCCAAAGGUUAUCACUGUGGACAAUGGAACACAGUUUGACUCCGAAGCUUUCAGGGAUUUCUGUGACCAAAUUGGUACGAAGAUCCAUUUUGCAUCAGUCAGGCACCCGGAGUCAAAUGGACUCGUUGAAAGAGCCAACGGCAUUAUAAUGACAGGAAUAAUGAAGCUAAUCUUCAAUCAGCCUAGAGGAAAAUGGCCAGAUCAGCUAACCAAAGUGGUGUGGAGCCACAACACGACAACAUCAAGGUCCACAGGCUUCACUCCAUUUAAGUUAUUAUUCGGUGACGAAGCAAUAACUCCAGAGGAAGCUAAAGCCGGAUCAAUAAGGAUAGUAGCUUCGGCAGAAUCAGAUUCCGAAGCUGCUUAUUCUAUAGAAAAAGAUGCUUUAGAAGGGAUCAGACUGCAAGCCGUGGAGAAUAUUAAUAAAUAUCAAGCUGAAACAGUCAAAUGGCGGGAUAGAAAGGUUCGGCUAAAAAAUAUUGAGCCAGGGCACUUGGUACUUCGGAGGGUGGCCAACCCGGAAACAGUGGGCAAAUUGCAGUUGAAAUGGGACGGGCCUUUCUUAGUAGCAUCUUCGUCAAGGCCCGGGUCAUACAGAUUGAAAGAUAUGGACGGCAAUGACAUUCCUAGGUCCUGGAAUGCGGAUGAGCUUCGGCGAUAUUAUGUAUAAUUCGAUGUAAUUUUUCACAUUUUUAUUUUUUCUUUCAUGGCACCCUUUUCCUUUCCAAAGGGGGAGAAAGGUUUUUAAUGGGGCCAGCAUAUGUAAUUUCCUUUUUUAGUCUUAUAAGAGCAAAAUCCCCCAAAGAAUGUAAAUGUAAAAGCUGAGAGUGCACCAUCGAGUGCCGAAAAGUAAAAACGACGAAGCUCCAAAGACGUUCCUAAGGGAAUGCAGAGCUUAUACCGCCUAAGUAAAAGGCGAAGAAGCUCCAAAGACGUUCCUAAGGGAAUGCAGAGCUUAUACCGCCUAAGUAAAAGGCGAAGAAGCUCCAAAGUCGUUCCUAAGGGAAUGCAGAGCUUACAGCGAAAAGUCAACGCUGAUUCCGCCAAAAGUAAAGGCGAAGAAGCUCCAAAGUCGUUCCUAAGGGAAUGCAGAGCUAAGGUGUGAUUGUUUUUAAGAGAAUAAUGGCUAUAAAUAUAGCUUCGGAUACGUGUUUGGCCAUUCAUUUGCACAACACAUUACAUCAUAGCAUUUGCAUUCAUAAACAUUCAUCUAGGCAUAUGUAGGAUAAUCAUCUUCAUCGCAUAAAAUGAUUGCUUCGGCAAGAAGAGAAAAAAGAAAGGGAAAAGAGCUUCGUGCACAAAAAAGAGGGGAAACUGUUGUUUUUAUGAAGGAGAGCUUCGGGAAAAAGGAAAAUGUUGUUUUCUAUGCUUCGUUGCGUACGAAAAGAAGGGAAGGUGUUUUUUUUUGCCUUCGGCUCAAAAAAAAGAAAUUUCGUCCACAUCAAAGCAUUUCUCAUAAAUCAGUGAAAGGUUAAGGAUAUAUUACAAGGUAUGAACAGUAUACAUGGAAGUUUUGUUUACAUUUACAAGAGUUAUCUCAAAAGUUUUUCAAGUACUGUCUGCAGUCUACUAUCUAAAUCUCCAAGGAGCUUCGGCUUCGGUAUUAUUUUGGAUCAUCAGCUUCGGCUUCGUCAUCCUACAUGAAUAAGGUCAUUGGAAGUCAGAAUCAAGUUUAUAGAAAAAGGUAAGCACAAGGUAUGAUUUCUUACUGGAUCAAGGUGGCUACGAGCUUCGUCUCCAGCUUUUUCUCGACCACCUUUUGUCCAUAUCAUUUUUACAAAUCGAUUCGAGAUGCUUCGGGCGAGAUCAGGGAUGUCAUCCAGGAUUGAUGGUGACAAAGUAAAAUUUGGCCUAUUGACAAUUUUCCCAUGAUCACAGCCAGCCUUCAUGAAGGCUGCAGCGGUCCCUCGAGAAGCCACCCAGGCACAGAAGUCACCAUGCCCAGCUAUGACUUCGUCGAGCUCGUCAAUCUCCCCCUCAAUGUGUUCGAAGGUUUUUGGUAGAUCUUCAGCUGAGGGGGUAAAUUUUUCGCUGCUAGCUCCAACCGAGUAAAAAAUCUUUCUUAAUCGUUGAAUGCACUUGUUGCUAAAUUCCAGGCAUUUUUCUUGAAGAUUUGUCAGUAGUUUUCUCAAAUCCGAAUUCUGCUGAGCUUCGGCUUCAAGUUUUUCAUUGAGAUCUUGUUUUUCUCGUUCGAACUGCUCAGACUGGCGGAGAAGCUUCGAGUUUAGUUCUGAUAUUUUUGCUUCAGCUUCCGCCAGUAAGCCUUCGGCUGCCUGGAGCUCAAAGUUCUUUUUCUCAAAAGCAUCUGAUUGCUCUUUUAUUUUGUUUUCCAAAUUUCCGAUUAUAAUUUCAUGCUUUUUAUCUUCAAGAUCUUGCUGCAUUUGCAAGGCUUUGCUCAAUAGCAUGCUCUACAUAAACACAACCUUCGUCAGACAUGUUUUAUUAGAAACAAUAAAAGUUAAGGGACAAGUCAUUUACCUUGAAGUUGGAGUAAAACAAACUACCAACGACAUGUUGUCGUCGAUAGCGGCUGAUAUCUGCUUCUAGCUUCGGGAAUCCAAUACUUUUGGACAGAGUACUAAUAACUUUGGCCCCUGUUUGGUCCCGGAUACACUCUAAUUUCUCGUCAUCAACGCCUCCGAAGAGGAGUGCCCCAGGUUUAUAUCCACAGGAUUGGGCAUACUCUUUAAGCUCUUCUAUUUCAGCUUUUGUUAGAUGUUCUCCAACUAAGUUUUGGAAUGCGAAAGCUUCGUCUUCUGAAGCUUCAUCAGCAAUUUCUUUUCCUUUCUUUGACGCUGCGGUCACAGUCUCUUCGGCAGCAGCGGCAGCUUCUUCUGCAGCCAUGUCUAGCAGCAUUUGGUCAAUAUGUUCAAUUGUGCUCUCUAAAUUCAAAUCUUCAGCUGAGGUAACUUCGGCGACUGCGGCCUCCGAAGGUGCAAUUUCAAUAUCUGCUUCCUCUAAAGCUGCUCGUGUCUUUUGGGCCGAAGCUCUUGGCGGCGUUUUGUCAAUUACCUCUGUCACGGUAAUGAUUCUUUGUUUCCUUGCCUUGAUUGUUUUCUUCGAUUUCUCGGGCUCCUUGUCCUUCUGAAAAAACUUUGUCAGUUGUGGACCCAGUGGACUUAGCUUCGCAGGUAAGGAUUCAGUCAUUACCUUCAGAAUUUCCUCAACAACGGCAGCAGAAGGCGAUGCGGGGGUUUCUUCUGCUUCGGAUAUUUGUUGCUUCGGAGAAGAAGUUUUCCUUUUCUUUGGAAUUUUCUUCUUUAUUGGCUCUUUUUCACCUUCAUCUAAGGCUUCAGUCCCCCUUUUCCUUUUUUGGCCUCCGGCACCUUUGUUCAGAUCUUCGUAGUCUGGGUACUCGAAACCCAAGGCGUCCAAUACUCGAUUUAGCCUUCGUUUCGGUCGAGUGCCGAAGGCUGCGGUCAUCAAUUGAUCUUCUUUUUUCGAAUAAUUGCCAAGUAUCUCGUUGCACAUCACUUCGAUCAUAUCCAGCCACUCUUGGCAAGGAGCUUUAAAGUAUUUCUUAAAUUUGAAGCAGUAAGGCAAACGUACAAGUUCACCUUUUUUCUUUUCCCCCUCCAGUUUCGGCAUUUCCCACUCUUUUACACUAGGGAAAACCUUGAAAGCCAAGAAUUCCUGGACUAGGUCCCUUGUACUGAUAUUCUCUGCAAUUAUUUUGAAUUCAUACAUUGCUUUUUGGGUCGGACCCUCUGGUAACAUGUGGCACUGGGGGCGGGUUUCUCCGAAGGUCAAUUCAAGUGGACUCUGUACAAGCUUUUCCUUAUCGUCAUCAACCUUGACAUAGAACCAUUCCGAUUUCCAUCCUGCUGCCCAUUUGCUUCGGUAGCUGAUCACAGGAUACUUCGUAGUUUUCCGAUAAGCAAAAUUAUAGCAACCAAAAUUCUCAUGUAAUCCAUCUUUUCUAGCCUUUGUCUGAUAGUGCAAUUCGUGAACCCGGCAAAAGCUGUCCGCAAACGGUUCCACCGCCUGGCUUCAAAGUGCCCAGAUAUAAACAUUAAGCCUAACGAUAGCGUUGGGGGUCAGCUGGUGAAAAUAGAUUCCAAAAUUCUUUAAUAUCUCUGCAAUAAUCCCAUGAAGGGGAAUCUUAAUCCAGCCUUUAGGAAACUCUUAAAAAUAACAAUUUCAUCUUUUUCCGGCUUUGGGGUAGUCUCUUCUCCCCCGAAGCGUAAUAGCUUCUUUUGAUUUUCAGUAAAAUAUCCUGACUUUACCAUCUUGGACAAAUCAGCCUUCGAAACAGUAGAUUUCCCGAAGUCCAAAUGACUGGGUUUGCUUGGUGUGGCAAGGUGAUAAUCAUCUUCGGAGUCAGUUUCCUCAGCAUCUUCUCCUUCUGCUUCAGCGAUUGCUUGUUCUGCAUCAUCAAUAGGAGCCUUCUCCGAAGUCACUAGCCCGGAUCAUCGCAUGGCUUCGGAGAUAGGGACAGUCUCCGAAGCAUCAGUUUCGUCCCCCUCACGUUCAACCCUAGCGGUAGAACGGACUCUGGCCAUUUAACUAUGAACUUGUGAAACUUUAAUACUUUUUUCUCCGAAGCAGGCUUCAAGAUGGAGCUUCGUUCAAUUCUGACAAACAAGCUUCGGCGAUGGUUAAGAAUUUUGGCAGCAAAACAGUGCAAAUAGCAGUAAAUGCUGUGGUAACUUCACACCUACUCGUCUGUUUAUAUAGUGCCGCAGGUAAGAAGGCGAAGCGCCAGAAGUUUUACACCAGGCGGGCACCCGCUCGCACUCGCUGAACGGUGGACCACAGAGACCGAACAGUAAUUCUGCAAGGUGGGGCCGCUACGCGCAGGGAGAGUGAAUCGUUUCUCGGCAACGAGCUCAGGGAAGGUGUUUUUUGGACCUUCGGCUCCCCGAAGCUUAAGAGACUUUUUUCACGGAUCAAGCUCGUUACGAAAAACGAUCUAGCACCGCGAAAGGGGCUACUGUUGGGUCUAUGCUUCGUCGCCGAAGGUCUUCAAGGGAGAAGCGGCUUUAUAAUGAGUGAGCAGGUAUCUUCGGACUUGUAUCAGAAAGGGAGAAGCUCAAAAGAUACAAAGGUUGACACAGCGCCGAAGCUGUGAAGCAGGAAAGCUUCGGCAUGUUCGCAGAAAAGGGAACCGACUUAAAGAUGAAAAGGCCAUUUAGACCUCGAUAGAGUGCUAUAGAAUUAUCACCAAAUGUAAAGGGCAUGUAUGUAAUUUUGUAUGGGUUGUACCCCGUGCCUAUAAAUAGGUGAACAGUACCCCCGUACUGUUCACGCUGACUUGGCAUUUGCUUUUGCGUCACACUUGUAUUUUCAUCUCCUUCCAAGCCGAAGGUACAUUUAUAAUUCAAUAUUGUUUCUAUUUUUCUAUGAUGAUAUAAUAAAGUGAAAUAAAUGAUGUUAUAUGAUUAUUUGUGUUAUCCUUUAACUUUCAUAUACUUCGUCUUUCAUUAAUGUAUACUGUAAUGAUGAAGGUUUGUCCUUCAUAACCUUCGUCCGGAGAUCGUUAUAUCCUAAGGGAAAUAAUGCCUCAAAGGACGAAUGACUUUAUCGUUUAACAUUUUCUAUGUUGCCUUGUUCUUAACUCAUAGCACUUGAGAACAAGUCCCCAACAAAAGCAACACUAAGUUCAUCAAGCAUAUCACCUAAUCUAGGAAUUGGAUGUCUAUACCUUACGGUGAUGUUAUUGAUAGCUCGACAAUCCACACACAUUCUCUAAGAUCCAUCUUUCUUAGGAACUAGAAGGACAUAGACAACACAAGGGGAAAGACUUUCUUGUACGUACGCUUUUUUAAUCAAUUCUUCCACUUGUUGCUGAAUCUCCUUUGUUUCUUCUGGGUUGGUGCUAUAGGCAGCACGAUUUGGGAGGGAAGCACCAGACACAAGGUCUAUUUGAUGUUCAAUCCCUCUCUUAGGUGGUAGCCCUAGUGGCACUUCAUCAGGAAGCACAUCCUCAUAUUCCUGUAAUGCAUCAAAGACAAUACUUGGCAAAGUAGAGGGUAAGUUGUUAGUAGAAAGAAGGUUGUCCUUGUACAGGAGCACAAAGAACAUGGCAUUAGGUUCACUCAAUUCUUUUAGAUCCCCCUUCCUAGUCAUCAUGACUAAUCCCUCUUUUCCCGGUGUCUUGGUUAUUGGAGGCUGUGGAGUUUUAUUUGGCUUUGAAAACUCUUCCUUACUAUUUUUGUGGAUCACUCUCAAGUGCUUCUCGCUCUCUCGCUGUUUCUUCUUUAGAUCAUCCUUCAUAAUUUCCUCCGGUGUCAAAGGAAGCAAAGAGAUUCGCUCUCCUUUGUACAAGAAAGACAACUUGUUGGUUCUUCCAAAAAUCUGGACAUCACGAUCAUAUAACCAAGGUCAACCUAGCAGCAAUUGACAUGCUUGCAUAGGGACCACAUCACAUUCCACAUGAUCAUUCUACUUCCCAACAGAAAAAGGAAUAUUCACCACAUGGCUAACACGCAACGCUCCACAAACAUUAAGCCGCUGCAUCUUAUAUGGACUAGGACGACACCUUGAUUUUAAUUCCAAUCUGUCCACCAAUUCUUGACUAGCAAUGUUGUUGCAGCUACCAUUAUCAACAAUGAUGCGACAUAGCUUAUCUUUGACCAUACCUUGGGUAUGGAAAACAUUAUGGCGCUGUCCAUUUUCUUCUCUUUCAGCAGUCACACUUACCACUCGAAGAGAGAUAAAACAGUUAUGAUCUACUUCUGGCUAGAUCUCAUUCUCUUCAUGUUGAAUUUCUUCAUCAAACUUCAGUCCAUCGUCUUCUGGAACACUAUCUGAUUUCCAUUCACCUUUUUAAUUCAACAACAUUGUUCUUCUACUUGGACAUCGAGCAGCAAUGUGCCCACGACCAUGACACUUAUGGCACACAAUUUCUCUUGUAUGGGUAGAAGAAGUAGCGACUAAAGCUUCAGUCGGGUCUGAUGUACUAGCAGCAGGCCGAUGCUUAUUUGCAGGGAAUGAACCUAUAGAAGCCACCAUCUUUGAUGUACUAUUGGAUGGAGAAGACCUAGCUACAUUUCCUUGGGAUGGUCCUCCACCAAAAGAAGCACUGGAUUGUUGUUUGUGCCAUUGGACAACAUUAUAAUGACUUGCAUAAGAUUUUCCACGUGACUCUUGUUGAAAUUUUCUCUCUGUACGCAUUGCUUGAUCAACUAGAUCUUGCAAGGUACGGUAUGGGAACAUCUCGACAAAUCCAGAAAUCUCUUCAUUGAUUCCGCCUAGAAAUCUUGCCAUGGUUGACUCAGGAUCUUCUCUAAUUCGAGUUCGUACUAACAACAACUACAUCUCCUUAAAAUAUUCAUCAACAGAUUUCUUUCCUUGCUUCAAUAAUUGCAAUCGAUUUCGAAGAUCGCGUUGAUAGUUGGAAGGAACAAAUCGCCUCUUCAUCACUCGCUUCAUCUCUUCCCAUGUAUUAAUAUGUCUUAGUCCCAAUCUAAGUUGAUGUUCUUGCAGUUGAUUCCACCAAGUAAGAGCAUAACCAAAAAACUCAACUGGGGACAUGUUCACUCGUUGUUGAUCUAAAAAAUUGUGAAUUCUGAAAAUUUGAUCACACUGCUCAGCCCAAUUAAGAUAUUCAUCUGCACUUUCUUUCCCAGUAAAUUUAGGAAUAUCCAACUUGACUCGGGCAAUAUGGUCUCGGUCAUUUCUAUGACGACGUCCAUGAUAAUGGUCUCUAUUUUCAAAAUUAGCAUGUCGGUGAUGAUGACGCCGACCAAACAUUCCAUCAUUUGCAAAAGGAUUUUCAUCAGAUCCUUCCUCACGAUCAUGGUCUUCAGACUCCUUGUCUUCAAAUCUUACUCGACGUUCGUGUGCAUGACGCCUUCCACACAAAUUAUCGAAAUUAGCGCGGCGACCAUCACCAACCUCUACGGCCAUCGCCGAAGGGAUCGAAUUCAUGGUCAAAACCAGAAUUCUCAUCUCCGGAUUCUUCACGGUUAAAUUCUUCUGGAUCAUGAUGAUGUAGCCUUUGACCUCCUGUCGCAGUCAGACGUUCUUUUGACAUCCUUUCCAUGGCUCCCACGAGUGAGUCGGCCAUCUGAUGCAAUUCAGCCCGAGAGACAGGGGGCUCUCCAUCUCCAUGGUUUCCACCAUGAACACUUGAAUUGGAUCCUACCAUGUUAGAGGGAAGCAAGAGAAAGUAGAAUAUGAAAGUAUUUGUGGAACACUCGAUCUCACCUCUUACUUACUGUUGGGGACUUGUUCUCAAAUGCUAUGAAUUAAGAACAAGGCAACAUAAAAUGUUAAAUAUUAAUGCCCUUCGUCCACUGAAGCAUUAUCUCCCCAAGGAUUUAAUGAACUUCGGACGAAGGCCAUGAGCAAGAUAUCACGAAGAUCAUACCUUCGUGAUUAGAGUUAUAAAACAAUGUAGGAUGAAAUAUAAAAAUAUGAAACAUAAGGGAAUGAUAUAUCAAAAACACAUAAGAUUAUUCACACAUUUUAUUAUACAAACCUAAAUAUUAAAACAUAAUAUUUAGGUACAUUUAUACCUUCGCCUUGGCAGAAAGCAAUAAUUCCAGCGUAAUGUGCCAGCGAUUACAAGAUUGCGUGAACAGUGCAGGGGUACUGUUCACCUAUUUAUAGGCACAAGACGCAGCCUGUGUAUAAUUACAUUUAUACCCUUUACAAUCAACUACAAUAAUGACACAGAAUAUCAUGGGUCUUUAGGUCAUUUCAUCUUUAAGUCGGUUCACCCCUUCGUCUUGAGACAUGUCACUGUGCCGAAGCUUUAUAGGCAAUAGCUUCGGCACUGCUUUUGAGAGGAUCUGCCGAAGGUGUUUCUUUCUUUAGGAUCUUCGGCUAUGAAGCAUACCCCCAACAGUAGCCCUUCGCGGUGCUAGAUCUUUUUUCGUAACGAGCUUGAUCCGUGAAAAAAUCUUUUAGGCUUCGGGAUGCCGAAGAUCCGAAAAACACCUUCCCUGAGCUCGUUGGCGAGAAAUGAUUAAAAUAAUCCAUGCGCGAGGUGGCCCCAUCUUGCAGCAGUUACGCGCACCCUGGUGAUUCACCUUCUCGGACUCUGUGGCCCACCGUUCGGUGAGUGCGGGUGGUUGUUUGUCCGGUGCGGAAGACCUUGACGAUUCACCUUUCCACCUGUGGCACUAUAUAAACAGACGAGUAGGUGUGAAGUUACCACAACAUUCAUUGCUAUUGCGCUGUUUUGCUGCCAAAAUAUUGACUAAAGCCGAAGCUUGCUUACUGCAUCCUCAUCUGAAGCUAUUUGUUUUACUCAAGCUUCGUAACAAGAAAGAGCUUCAACAAAGUUAAAAAUUUCAACUUCAUUCAAAAAACAAGAAAUUCAAUCAUCAGAUGGCCAAAGUACGUUCAACAGCUAGAGUUACUCGCGACGGAGAGGAAGCCGAAGGUGCCAAAAUUGCUCCAAUCUCUAAAGUAAUGAAGCGUUCAGGGCUGGUAGUAUCGGAGGAUGCACCUGCCGCUGAAGCUGAGCAGGCUGAUGCUGAGGAAGUUGAGUCAGAAGAUGAUUACAGCGCAGUGCCAACUAAACCCAGCCACCUGGAGUUUGGGAAAUCCACCAUUUUCGAAGGUGACAUGCCGAAGCUGAUGAAUUUGGGCUAUUUCAGUGAAGCGAAGAAGGAGCUGGUUCAUUUCGGCGGGGAGGAGAUUACUCCGAAGCCAGGAAAGGAUGAAGUAGUGGUCUUCAAAAGCUUCUUUAAAGUUGGUUUAAGAUUUCCUUUAAACAAGAUGAUUGCUGAUGUUUUGAAGAAGUUUGGGAUCUAUCUUCAUCAACUAACUCCUAACACUAUCGUUAGGCUUAGCGUUUAUAUCUGGGCUCUCCGAAGCCAAGGGGUGGAACCAUUUGCCGAAGGCUUCUGCCGACUGCACGAGCUUCAUUAUCAGACCAAGGCUAGAGGAGAUGGGCUGCAUGAAAACUUUGGCUGCUACAAUUUUGCCUAUCGCAAGAGUACAAAAUUUCCAGUGAUCAGCUAUCGUAGCAAGUGGCGAGCUAGCUGGAAGUCUGAGUGGUUUUACGUCAAAGUUGACAAAGAAAAGGAGAAGUUGGUCCAGAAUCUGCUAGAAUUAAUCUUCGGAGAGACCAGACCCCAGUGCAACAUGACACCAGGGAGUCCAAGCCAAAUUGCUCUGGCUGAACUUAGAGUUAUUGUGGAGCAUAUCGGCACUAGGGACUUAGUGCAAGAAUUCUUGGCUUUCAGAGUGUUCCCAACUUUGAAAGAGUGGGACAUGCCGAAGCUUAAGGGAGAAAAGAAGAAGGGGGAACUUAUUCAGUUGCCUUAUCAUUAUAAAUUCAAGAAACAUUUCAAAGUGCCUUGCCAAGAGUGGCUGGACACGAUUGAAGUAAUGUGCAAUGAAAUUCUCGGCAAUUACUCUAAAAAAGAAGAUCAACUAAUGACUGCAUCCUUCGGCACCCACGGUGGGCGCCAAUGUUGGGGACUUGUUCUCAAAUGCUAUGAAUUAAGAACAAGGCAACAUAAAAUGUUAAAUAUUAAUGCCUUUCGUCCACUGAAGCAUUAUCUCCCCAAGGAUUUAAUGAACUUCGGACGAAGGCCAUGAGCAAGAUAUCACGAAGAUCAUACCUUCGUGAUUAGAGUUAUAAAACAAUGUAGGAUGAAAUAUAAAAAAUAUGAAACAUAAGGGAAUGAUAUAUCAAAAACACAUAAGAUUAUUCACAUAUUUUAUUAUACAAACCUAAAUAUUAAAACAUAAUAUUUAGGUACAUUUAUACCUUCGCCUUGGCAGAAAGCAAUAAUUCCAGUGUAAUGUGCCAGCGAUUACAAGAUUGCGUGAACAGUACAGGGGUACUGUUCACCUAUUUAUAGGCACAGGGCGCAGCCUGUGUAUAAUUACAUUUAUACCCUUUACAAUGAACUACAAUAAUGACACAGAAUAUCAUGGGUCUUUAGGUCAUUUCAUCUUCAAGUCGGUUCACCCCUUCGUCUUGAGACAUGUCACUGUGCCGAAGCUUUAUAGGCGAUAGCUUCGGCACUGCUUUUGAGAGGAUCUACCGAAGGUGUUUCUUUCUUUAGGAUCUUCGGCUACGAAGCAUACCCUCAACACUUACCCAAGCUCUUUCCUAAUCUCUAGGGCCGUGAUGGUGCCGGUGUGGCAGCUUCGACAGAGGUGGUAGAGCAGUCGAAAGGAUAACAAGUCAAACGUCCUGGUUCAGGUUUUUUAGUGGAGCUAUAGGAGGCUGAUCAAGGUGGGCUAUGGUACUAUCAACCAAGUGUGUUGAUGUGCUAAAAAGAUAUGAAAUUGUUGCUGGAAAGAUUCUCAUCAAAUCAAUGUAAACUAAAAUUUUCAGCAACACACCGCAACACAAUCCCCUUUCACAAAUUUUUUCACUUCUUCUUUUUUUGACUUCUUUCUCUUCUUCUUUUUUUCUUUCUCUCUUUUUUAUAACACUAAUGGAGUGUCGAGAUCAAAUGCAAUGACACAAUAUGAAUACGACGGUGGUAACUAGCAACUUGAGGAACUUUAAACAACACAAGGUAACAAUACCGCCAAAGGGUUAUAGGUUUUUUGUGUGGCUUUGGACUAUAGGACAAAACAAAAUAUAAGAUGGAUGAAGACUGUGAUAAAUAAGUGGAUGACAGUAAGACCUACCAUGACAACGAAAGCUCUGAUACUAGAUGAUAUGUACCGAGUUAUAUUCGGUACUAGGGUGCCCCAAUCUUCACGACAAUAGGUUGAUAAAUAAGAUGGUUGGGUAUAAAAGUAAUGGAAUAACAAGGUAAAUUUGUUGUAGAACAUCGGGUAACUGACUUUAUACCUGAUCAAGGUCGGAGGUGACCAAGCGACGGGGAGAGAGACACCGAAACCGUGGAGACUUUGACUCGAUCUCUGAACGACCAUAGAAUCACAACCGGAGCUAAUCCACACAAUGCGAGGCAGCCGUACUGGAACUCACAAGGCAUGAACUAGUGGAUCCCAGAGGAGUCUCUUCACAAGUCUAGGAGAACAAGGAAGAACAGGGGUAGAGUAAACACUCAGCAGCUUGGCUGCGGUAAUCACUUGGAUUAUCAAAUCAUCAAAGGUUAUCAAAAGUUGUUUUACAUCAUAGACAUAGGGGGGUAUUUAUACUAGCUACAACCAGCCUUAGAUAGGUAUAAACACGAAAAGAAAGUAUUUUAACGUGCUAAUGUGAAGUGGCCUCUUCGGGAGAUCUCCAGAGCUGAAUUCUGCGUGGCUGUUUGACUUCUACGUAGCCUUCAAUAUUUUGAUAAUAACUUCUCCUAGGAAUCUCUAAAUGGCGUGGGGCUAGAUGCGCUUGAAAGCUAACUUCAUAAGCUUUCUCACCAUAUAUAACAUGCUUAGUGAAACUUCGUAGAAUGAUACAGUUUAAUACUAAAACUUGGUCAUCAAGCAGACUGUUGACUGUCACACCCGGGUUUUAGGGGGCACCAAAACCCGGACGCGAGAUAAUCACCAAGUGUGCUGGGACCAAGUCUCACACAUAUGAUGACUCAUGGUACAUAAACGAAUGUCACAUCUUUAGUAUAUAAUAGGAUUUCUAUACAAAAUAAAUAAAUAAUUACAUCAUAUGGAGACAACUAUCCAACAACCCAAAGUUGAAUGUGAGACGACGGCUUAGACCUCUUACGAAUUCAUCACAACAUCCUCCAUGUGCCUCCUCCUGCGGUAACUGUUCUUGACCUGUGGGGGGUGUGAGACAGCAAGGGUGAGCUCACAUACGUUCAUCGCUCAAUAAGUUGUGGGGAAUAAUGUGCAUGAACUCACCAAAGGUGGGAGCUCAUGUAAAGUGUAAGGCUUACCAAAGAAGAUGGCUAAAGCUGAGCAUUGCUUUUAAAUUUGGUCAAAUUUUAUUACAGUUACUAAGUAUAAGUAGAUACCAACCCAAAUAAGUAAUAGAUCAAAAUUGAUAACAACACCCACGAUGCAAUGCAUAUGACAAAUUAAGUUUAGUUCCAUAAAUUAAUCAUGUGAGUUUCGAGCCGCUCAUGACCGUAAGCACGACUGAUACACCAAUUUUACACUCUGCAGAGGUUGUGCAUAUUUACCCACAAGUUGUGUUAUCCAUCUGUCAAGGGGUUAUGAAUCCCAUACACCUCUACCAAGGAAGUGAGGUAGGGUAACAAUACGAGGCCUUUACAAAGUUCCACUAACUUCAGAAAACCCGCUACAGUUUCUAGGAAGCUCCAAUGCAGGGAUCCCUCACUUGACCAUCAUCGCAGCAAAAUCAACCCAAGGACCUCCCUACACUGACCACUCCCCUACUGCCCUUGCCCCUUUCGGGUAAGAUAGUCCUCCACUAGCUUUCCUAAUUAGUCAGCCAAGGGCGUCCCAUACCACCCUUGUGGUAGCACUGUUUUCCCGGGUGGUUCUCCAUGUUCCAAUUAACAAUAUGAUCUUAUCAUGAACAAUAAUUAAACAACAACAUAAUUGGAACAUGAUUAUAAUGAAACAUUAGUUUCCCAAAACCAAAUAGAGCAAUAGCAAAGAUACCCAAUAAUUCAUCUGUCUACAAGGUGAGGAAUAAACAAUGCUAGGGAAACCUAUUAGGUCCCAUCAAAUUAACCCGAUGCCUGUCACAGUGAUUAGCAAUGAACAUUAUUAGGUAAAAAGGAGUGAUCGAGGGCACAACUUGCCUGGGACUCGAGAUUCCAGGUACCAGGAUGAUCUUCAGAUGACUCGCAACCUCGCGCUAGUCGUAGCAAUACAAACAAACAUAGCAUAGGCAAAAUUAACAUCACACCAAACAUAAUCACAAAUUAAAUAAUAAUGAUCUACACGUCGUAACGAGAUCGUAGGUUCGAGAAUUACUAAAAUCGGAGCUACGGUUUUAAAGAUACGAUUUUCUAAAGAUUUAGGAGUCGGGUACAAAAGAAAUUAAGUACAUGAUUGUAAUUUAUGUUUCAUAACAAAAUAAAGUUACCAGGGGAUAAACAAUAUUAUUAUGGAACUAAUGCAACUGGAAUAAAUCAAAAAGGAGUUAAAAUGCGCAAGUUAUGAAUUUUCUAAGUUUAUUCUAUAUUAUAAAUCAUUUUCUAGAUUUGUAUUUGCUUAAAACAAAAACUAUGGCUGCAGUUACUAAAUCUGAAGUGUACAGGGGCUAUCCCAUAAAUGUCCAGGGCACAAAUAGAAUUAUUUAGCACUGGUAGGGGAUGGCAGGUUAGUUUCAAGAUUUUCCGAGGACUCUUUAGCAAAAGACCCACGACGAAGGGGUAAGAUCACACCUGAGCCGCACGAUCUGAAGUCUAUGGCCCAGAUUAGAUCGCCUACAACUGAAUGGGUAUAGAGCUGUAGCCCUUGGAUCCACGAUCAACGCUCUGGAUUUUAAAGACUUGAAUGGGUUCUCACGCGUCAGAUUUAGAUCGGACGGUGCGCAGCUAUCCAUGAAGGGGUAUCAAGCUUUUCUGACCGCGUGAUCACAAAUUGAUGGUCCAGAUUUAAAGGCACAUACGAUUAUGCAUCUUCUAAUAUGAAUCAUUGAUCAAGCAGUCAACGACUCAGAUCCCAAUCCCUGAAGUUGUACCCGAAGUUCUAAUCCUAGCCCUCCAAAAUGGAUCGCAUGACUCAAUUACCAUCUUCUUCCCUCAAACUACACACACAGCGGCGCACGCCGGUGAACCACCCCAUCACGGCGCAUGGGUACACGAUUCCCAAAUCAAUCUGGUGCUACACGAUGUAGGCCCAUGGGCGAAUCGGUAUAGGGAGUUCUUAUCGUGUCUCGACGCAACAGAGGACGUGACCACGACGCACAGGGGUGUGGUGGCAGCACAAGAGCUCCUAUGAGCAAUCACCACACCAACGCAGCCACCGAGUACCAAAUACCCCACGUGUGUGAUCUUUACCUUCAAGCGAACCUCCCCACCCAAUUGAUCGACACCGAGUUGCAGUGGCGGUGAGAGUAUGCUGCGGCAGCGCUCAUGUUUUCUUCCCCUGUCAAUGGUGUUCGGCGCGGUGACCCAAGCUUUAUAGACACGCAGAGUCUGUGCCAAGACCAGCUACCCACCUAGCGCCAGUUGUGUGGGUGUUGCGCCAAACCCCGAAGAUCGUGGACGGCGGGCGAGAAGGAUCUCGCGGUCUUUUUUGGGAUGCGGCAGUCGUGGCUCUUGAUAGAGGGAAGAAAGACCUGGCGGACGGGGCCCACGCGACAGAUAGAUAGAUCAGGUGCGUGCAUAUGGGUGGCCUACAAGCGGGCCCCGCAGGUAAGUGUGAGGUCCAGAACGGAAGCGCGCGUGUGAGUAGAGUGGGUUGGUGGAAUGGUGAGCCGGAUGGGCCGAGGGGAGAGGAAAUGGGCCCAUGCGUGGUUCUCUGUUUUUCUUUUUCUUUUUAUUCUGUUUUGAAUUUCUUUCUCAAUUUCAAAUUUCAAUACUUAACUUCGAGUUUAAAUUUCCUGCCUUGAAUUUUUAGACUUCCAAUUAUCUAAUACCAUUCUAAUUGUGAAUAUAAACUUGUACAAAAUUUUAAUAUUAUUAUUAUUAAUUCUCCCUCUAUUUUACAAUUCUAAUAGCAACAAAUUACUAUUACUAUUUCUUCUCUCAUCUUCUAUUUUAUAUUUUCAUUGAUAAUUUGAGGUCAAUUUUAUGUUUAAAAUAAAAUGCAUCACAACAAUAUCAUCAACAAGAGAUGUACCUUUCUUUGUUUACUUAUUGGUUACUUAACUAAUUUGGUACCAUUAAUUGUUUAGGAAAGAAGGAAAUGUCCUAAUGAAUUCCAAAGGUUUCAGAAACUCUAGAAACACUAUUAUAGAUAUUUUAUUUCUUUAUUUUAUUAUUUUAUUAUAUUUUUUUCUUCUACCAAUUUUAGGCUUUACAAAUCCUACCCCCUUAACAGAAAUCUCGUCCUCGAGAUUAGUAAGAAAAAGGAUGUAUAACCAUAUUGUCUCAGAACAUAUGCACAAACAAGAAUCUCAGCAUGAUGCAUAGCUUAUUAGCAACACAUAGGGUCAAAUAGACCUUAUUAUUAUUAUUCCUAAAAUAGUAAAAUACUAGCUACUAACUAAAGUAAUAUUUAGGUCUUACAAAUAGUACUCUAAAAGUAUGUAGAUAUAUAUAUUUAUAUAUAUAUAUUUAUUCUAAUCGUGUUGUUCAUUGCCUUCUUCAUCAAUUUCUUCACCUCAACCACCAAUUUCUGCAUGGUUGACCUGCCCCCGAUUGACGGAUAAGGGCUGACUCUUGCCUGCUGAGGCUUGACCCUGCUUCAUCGAAGUCGGAGUAGUAUAAGAAGCCCUGUUGGGACAGUAGUUGGCAUAGUGUCCAAACUGUCCACACUUGAAGCAUGACAUGUUCAGUAUAACACCAGUGUAAAGGAAAAGUGCAAUAUAGAUCAACUCAUGGCACAGUGUGUCCAGAAGAAGGAUAGUGUUGGGGACUUGUUCUCAAAUGCUAUGAAUUAAGAACAAGGCAACAUAAAAUGUUAAAUGUUAAUGUCCUUCGUCCACGAAGCAUUAUUCCCUUGAGGAUAAUGAACCUUGGACGAAGGUUGAUAGCAAUACAAUUACGAAGGUUAAGUCUUCGUAAUUGAAUUUUAAUAGAUUGUAUAAGAUAACAUAAAAUAAAGAAUAUCAAAGGUAAAUGAAUUAUAAACGGAACAUAUUGUAUUUACUUAAUAUAUUGAAUUUUUGAAUACAAUUAUACCUCUGCCUUGGCAAAGAUUGGUUCCUGAAUGAUGUGAUUGCCAAAACCGGAAUCCGUGAACAGUAAGGGAAUACUGUUCACUAUUUAUAGGCACAGGACACAGCCUGUGAGAAAUUACAAUUAUGCCCCUCACAAAGGAUUACAACAGCGACCUAGGCACUUAUGGACUAGAGGGUCAUUCUACUUUUAAGUCGGUUUGUAAUACCGAAGCUUCAUGAAGAGGAACCUUCGGUCAUCUCAUACGAAUAGCUUCAGCCGCAAGCUGCUUCUUCCUACAAGACCUUCGGCGACGAAGCAUAGUCCCAACAGUAGCCCCUUUCGCGGUGCUAGAUCGUUUUUCGUAACGAGCUUGAUCCGUGAAAAAAGUCCCUUAAGCUUCGGGAAGCCGAAGGUCCAAAAAACACCUUCCCUGAGCUCGUUGUCGAGAAACGAUUUAGUUUCCCAGCGCGUAGCAGUCCCACCUUGCAGAGUUACUGUUUGGUCUCUGCGGUCCACCACGCAGCGAGUGUAAGCGGGUGUCCGCCUGGUGUAAAAAUCCUGGCGCUUCGCCUUCUUACCUGCAGUACUAUAUAAACAGACGAGUAGGUGUGAAGUUACCACAGCAUUCAUUGCUAUUUGCACUGUUUUGCUGCCAAAAUUUUUAACCAUAGCCGAAGCUUGACUCUCGGAAUCGAACAAAGCUCCAGCUUGAAGCCUGCUUCGUCAGAAGGAAAAAACUUCGGAAGUAAAAGUAUUUAAUUGCCACAAAUUCAGAAUUAAAUGGCCAGAGUGCGUUCUGCCGCUAGGGUUGAGCGUGAGGGGGUGAAGCUAAAGGUUCAGAGAAUGUUCCCAUCUCCGAAGCGAUGCAACGAUCUGGGCUGGUAAAUUCGGAAAAAAUCCCCAGUGCUGAUGUAGAACAAGCAGAACAAACAACUGCCGAAGCAGAAGAAGAAAACAUUGAGGAAACUGAUCCUGAAGAUGAUUAUCGUAUUGCUAUGCCAAGUAAGCCCAGCCACUUGGACUUCGGAAAGUCUACUGUUUCGAAGGCUGAUCUCUCCAAGAUGGUAAAGUCGGGCUUUUUCAGUGAAAGUCAGAAGAAGCUACUACGCUUCGGGGGGGAAGAAACUACCCCAAAGCCGGAGAAGGAUGAAAUUAUCAUUUUCAAGAGCUUUCUAAAGGCUGGAUUAAGAUUCCCCCUGCAUGGAAUUAUCGCAGAGGUAUUGAAGAGGUUUGGUAUCUACUUUCAUCAGUCGACUCCUAACGCUAUCGUUAGGCUUAGCGUUUAUAUCUGGGCCCUCCGAAGCCAAGCGGUGGAGCCGUUUGCGGACAGCUUUUGUCGAGUUCACGAGCUGCACUAUCAGACGAAGGCUAGAAAAGAUGGAUUGCAUGACAAUUUUGGUUGCUAUAAUUUUGCUUAUCGGAAAACCACAAAGUUUCCUGUAAUCAGCUACCGAAGCAAAUGGGCAGCAGGCUGGAAGUCGGAGUGGUUCUAUGUCAAGGUUGAUGACGACAAGGAGAAGCUUGUGCAAAGUCCACUUGAACUAAUCUUCGGAGAAACCCGACCUCGUUGCAACAUGACACCAGAAGGUCCAGCCCAACAAGCGUUGGAUGAAUUCAGAAUUAUUGCAGAGCAUAUCAGUACAAGAGACCUGGUUCAGGAGUUUUUGGCUUUCAAGGUUUUUCCUAGUUUAAAAGAAUGGGAAAUGUUGAAGCUAAAGGGGGAGAAGAAAAAAGGUGAACUUGUGCGGUUACCUUACUAUUUCAAGUUUAAGAAAUACUUUAAAACACCUUGCCAAGAGUGGCUGGAUACAAUUGAAGUAAUGUGCAAUGAAAUACUCGACAAUUAUUCCAAAAAAGAAGAUCAACUGAUGACCGCGGCCUUCGGCACCCGUCCGAAGCGAAGACUAAAUCGAGUGCUGGACGCCUUGGGUUUUGAAUAUCCUAACUACGAAAAUCUGAAUAAAGGUGUCGGAGGCCAGAAAAGGAAAAGGAUAACCGAAGCCUUAAAUGAAGAUGAGAAAGAACCAUCAAAGAAGAAAAUUCCGAAGAAGAGGAAAGCGUCUUCUCCGAAGCAAAAAGUAUCCGACGAAGAAGAAACCCCCGCAUCACACUCUGCCACUGACGUGGAGGAAAUUUUAAAGGUAAUGACUGAAUCCCUGCCUGCGAAGCUAAGUCCAUUGGGGCCUCAACUGACAAAGUUUUUUCAGAAGGAAAAGGAGCCCGAAAAAACGAAGAAAACGACUAAAGCAAAAAGACAAAGAAUCAUCGGUGUAACAGAGGUCAUUGACAAGACACCACCGAGAGCUUCAGCUCAGAAGAUACCAGCGGCUGAGGGAAUGACAAAUAUUGAAAUCACACCUUCGGAGGUCGCGGCUGCCGAAGCUACCUCAAUUGAAGAUUUGAACUUGGAAAGCACAAUUGAACACAUCGACAAAAUGCUGCUAGACAUGGCCGCAGAAGAAGCUACUACUGCCGCCGAAGAGGUCGUAGCCGCAGCGUCGGGGAAAGAAAAGGAAAUUGCUGACGAAGCUUCAGAGGACGAGGCCUUCGUAUUUCAAAAUUUAGUUGGAGAAAAAUUGUCAAAAACCGAAAUAGAAGAGCUUAAAGAGUACGCCAAAUCUUGCGGAUAUAAACCAGGAGCACUCCUCUUCGGAGGUAUUGAUGAUGAAAAAUUGGACUCUAUCCGGAAUCAAACUGGAGCUAAGGUUAUCGGUACUCUGUCAAAGAGUAUCGGUUUUCCGAAGCUAGAAAUGGACAUUAGCCGCUACCGACGACAACAUAUCGUUGGUAGUUUAUUUUAUUCCAAUUUCAAGGUGAACUAUUUUUCCCCUGACUUUUAUUGUUUUGGAUAAUGAAGACAUGUCUAACGAAGGUUGUUUUCGUGUAGAGUAUGCUGUUGAGCAAAGCUUUGAAAAUGCAACAAGAUCUGGAAGACAAGAAACACGAAGUUAUAAUUGAAAAUUUAGAAGGCAAAAUAAAAGAGCAAUCAGCUACUAUUGAAAAGAAGAACUUCGAGCUUCAAGCGACUGAAGGCUUAUUGGCGGAAGCCGAAGCUAAAAUGACAGAACUGAACACGAAGCUUCUGUGCCAAUCUGAACAGUUUGAACGAGAAAAGCAAGAACUUAAUGCAAAACUUGAAGUCGAAGUCCAACAAAAUUCAGUUUUGAAAGAACUAUUGGCGGGCCUUCAAGACAAAUGUUUAGAAUUUAGCAACAAAUGUAUUCAACGAUUGAGAAAAAUUUUCCAUUCGGUCGGAGCUAGCAGUGAGAAGUUCACCCCGUCAGCUGAAGAUUUACCAAAGACCUUCGAACAUAUUGAGGGUGAAAUUGAUGAGCUUGACGAAGUUAUAGCCGGGCACGGUGACUUCUGCGCCUGGGUAGCUUCUCGGGGCACUGCUGCAGCUUUCCUAAAAGCUGGCUGCGAUCAUGGAAAGAUUGUCAAUAGGCCCAAUUUCACUUUAUCGCCAUCAAUUCUAGAUGACAUUCCUGAUCUCGCCCGAAGCAUUUCCAAUAGAUUUGUAAAGAUGAUAUGGACAAAAGGCGGGCGAGAAAAGGCAGGAGACGAAGCUCGGAGUCAUCUUGAACCAGUAAGAAAUCAUACCUUGUGCUUACCUCUUCCUUCAAGCUCGAUUUUGACUUACAACAACUUAAUUCAUGUAGGAGGACGAAGCCGAAGCCGAUGAUUAAAAAGAAUGACGCCGAAGCUGAGAUCCCUUGAAGAUUAAAUAGGAGUAGACUGUAGACAGACUCAAGAAACUUUUAAGAUAACUUUUGUAAAUGUAACUAAACUUGUCUUUAAUGAAUUCUGUUCAUACCUUGUAUUAUGCUCUUAUCCUUCCAUUAAUGUAUGAGAGGUGCUUUGAUGUGGACGAAAUUAUCUUUUUGAGUCGAAGGCGAAAAAACACCUUCCCUUCUUUUCGUACACAGUGAAGCAUAGAAAACAACAUUUCCCUUUCUUCCGAAGCUCUUCUUUUCGUACACGAAGAAGCUCUUCUCUCUUUUUUUUUCUUUUUGCCGAAGCAACCACUUAUGCUAUGAUGAUGAUUAUCCUACAUAUGCCUGGAUGAAUGUUUAUGAAUGCAAAUGCUAUGAUGUAAUGUGAUGUGCAAAUGAAUGUCCAAACACAUAUCCGAAGCCAUAAUCACAGCCAUUAUUUCCUUAGAAACAACCACAUAUCAGUGCUAACUUUUCGCUGUAAGCUCUGCAUUCCCUUAGGAACGACUUUGGAGCUUCUUUGUCUUUUACUUUCGGCGGAAUCAGCGUUGACUUUUCGCUGUAAGCUCUGCAUUCCCUUAGGACGACUUUGGAGCUUCUUCGCCUUUUACUUUCGGCGGAAUCAGCGUUGACUUUUCGCUGUAAGCUCUGCAUUCCCUUAGGAACGACUUUGGAGCUUCUUCGCUUUUUACUUUUCGGCACUCGAUGGUGCGUUCUCAGCUUUUACAUUUACAUUCCUUGGGGGAUUUUGCUCUUAUAGAACUAAAAAAGGAAAUUACAUAUGAUGGCCCCAUUAAAAACCUUUCUCCCCCUUCAGAAAGGAAAAGGGUGCCAUGAAAAAGAAAAAACAUAAAAAAUUACAUCAAGUUACACAUAAUAUCGCCGAAGCUCAUCCGCAUUCCAAGAUCUAGGAAUGUCGUUGCCGUCCAUAUCCUUCAAUCUGUAUGAACCGGGUCUUGACGAAGAUGCUACUAAGAAAGGUCCCUCCCAUUUCAACUGCAACUUGCCCACUGUAUCUGGGUUAGCCACUCGCCGAAGCACCAAAUGUCCUGGCUCAAUAUUCUUUAGCCGAACCUUUCUAUCACGCCAUUUGAUUGUUUCGGCUUGAUACUUAUUGAUGUUCUCCACAGCUUGAAGCCUGAUCCCUUCUACAACAUCUUUUUCCACAGAAUAAACAGCUUCAGAAUCUAACUCUGCCGAAGCUACUACUCUUAUUGAUCCAGUUUUGGCUUCCUCCGGAGUUAUUGCUUCGUCACCAAACAAUAGUUUGAAUGGAGUAAAGCCUGUUGACCUUGAUAUUGUUGUGUUGUGGCUCCAUACCACUUUGAUUAAUUGAUCUGGCCACUUUCCCCUAGGUUGAUUGAAGAUUAACUUCAUUAUUCCUGUCAUUAUAAUGCCAUUGGCUCUUUCAACGAGUCCAUUUGACUCCAGAUGCCUGACUGAUGCAAAAUGGAUCUUCGUACCAAUUUGAUCACAGAAAUCUCUGAAAGCUUCGGAGUCGAACUGUGUUCCAUUAUCUACUGUGAUGGCCUUUGGUACCCCGAAACGACAAACAAUAUUCUGCCAGAAAAACUUUUGGAUGGUGGCCGAAGUUAUUGUGGCUAAAGGCUUUGGCUCAAUCCAUUUAGAAAAAUAUUCCACAGCCACUACAACAUAUCUUAAGUUUCCUUGGGCCGGUGGUAACGGACCUAACAAGUCAAGGCCCCACCUUUGCAAUGGCCAAAUGGGUUGUAUGAGCUGGGUUAAAGACGAAGGUUGUUUUUUGAUCUCUUGCACAUUUCUGACAACCUUCGCACUUUUGAACUAAUUCCGCUGCAUCCGAAGCUGCCUUCGGCCAAUAAAACCCUUGACGGAAAACUUUUCCAAGUAACGGCCUAGAUCCAAUGUGAGAUCCGCACAGGCCUGCAUGUAUUUCUUUCAUCAAUUCUAUGCCUUCGGUUCUAGAUAAACACUUGAGUAGUGGAGCACAAACUCCAUGCUUGUACAACUCCCCUUCUAUCAUGACAUAUGGACGAGCUCUUGCCUCUAUCCUCCUGUUAUAAGUUUCGUCAUCUGAAAGGAAUUUACCCUGAAGGUAAGAGAUGAUUUCAGUUCUCCAAUCUUCGCUAUAAACAGGAGAUAUAUUGAGGACUGCCCUUUCAAGAAGUUCCACUGAAGGUGCUUUUAUUGUUUCGAAGAACACAUCCGAAGGUAAGGGCAGCCCCUGUGCUGCUGACUUAGCUAGCAAAUCAGCAUGCUCAUUUUGUCCUCGAGGGAUAUUUUUGACAGAAAAUCCUUCGAAGGAAGCUUCGACUCUUCGAACCAUGUCUAGAUAUUUUUCAAGCUUCGGAUCUUUAGCCUUGCAACUCUUGUCGAUAUGACCCGAAACAACCUGGGAAUCAGUUUUAAGAAUGGCCCUUCUGAUUCCCAUUGCUUUUAGCUUCCGAAGACCCAAAAGCAGGGCUUCGUACUCAGUAAUAUUGUUUGUACAACUGAAAUCGAGUCUUGCCGCAUAACAAGUUUUAACUUUGGAUGGCGAGACCAACACAGCAGCUGCUCCUGCCCCGAAGGUUCCCCAAGACCCAUCGCAAAACACUGUCCAUACUUCGGCAUCUUUAUUUGUUUCUUCAUCCUGAGCCCCUGGCGUCCAAUCGGCGAUAAAAUCUGCCAACGCUUGGGACUGGAUCGAAGAUCUAUGCACAUAAUCAAUGCAAAAUUCAUUGAGCUCUGCAACCCAUUUUCCAAUCCGCCCAGUAGCUUCUCUAUUUCUCAUAAUAUCCUUCAACGGCUGCGAAGAAGGAACAAUAAUAUUGUAUGCUUGAAAGUAAUGCCGAAGCUUCCUGGAUGCCAUCAAAACAGCAUAUAACACCUUCUCUAAUUCUGUAUAGUUUUUCUUUGAUAUACUGAGAACUUCAGAUACAAAAUACACUGGGACCUGUUUCUUGACUUGGCCAUCAAGCUUCUCCUGGACAAGUGCUGCACUUACCGCUGAGUGCGAAGCUGCCACAUAUAAUAACAAAGGAGCCCCUGGCGUUGGUGGAGUUAAUGUUGUUAAAUCUAUCAAAUAUUGCUUCAGUUCCUCGAAGGCUUUUUGUUGGCUUGGUCCCCAUUGAAAGACUUCGGCUGAUUUCAGGACUUCGAAGAAUGGUAAAUUUCUUUCUGCUGAUCUGGAUAUAAAUCUAUUAAGAGAUGCCAGCCUCCCCGUCAAUCUUUGGGCCCCCUUUUUUGUAGUUGGUGGCUCCAUUCGAAGUAUAGCUUCAAUUUUACUUGGAUUAGCUUCAAUUCCCUUUGUUGAAACCAAGCAUCCAAGAAAUUUCCCCUUCUUUACUCCAAAGACACAUUUUUCUGGAUUCAACUUCAGGCCAGCUUGUCUAAAACUGGCGAAGGUCUCCUGCAAAUCAGCAAUGUGAUUUUCCUGUUUCGUGCUUUUUACAAUGAUAUCAUCAACAUAAGUUAGCACAUUUCUGCCUAUCUGAGACUGGAGAACCCUCGCAGUCAUUCUGCUGAAACUUCCUCCAGCGUUCUUGAGCCCCUCAGGCAUCCGAAGGUAACAAUAUGUUCCACUAGGGGUUAUGAAACUGGUCUUUGGCUCAUCCUCCUUCUUCAUCCAAAUUUGAUGAUAGCCUGAAUAACAAUCGAGAAGACUCAUGAGCUCUGACGAAGCUGCUGCAUCAACUAAGGAGUCUAUCCUUGGCAAUGGGAAUUCGUCCUUCGGACAAGCCUUGUUGAGAUCUGUAAAAUCGAUACACAUUCGCCAUUUGCCAUUGGCCUUUUUUACCAUAACAGUGUUAGCUAGCCAUUCUGGGUACUUUACUUCUCUGAUAACUCCUGCACUGAGGAGUCUUUUGACUUCAUUACGAGCACCUUCGGCCUUAUCAUCAGACAUUUUCCGAAGCCUCUGCUUUCUGGGUCUGAAGGAUGGGUCAACAUUGAGCGAGUGUUCAAUAAUAUCUCUGUUAACUCCGCAAAGAUCAUUGGCUGACCAUGCAAAAACAUCUUUGUUGUUGAACAAAAACCUUAUCAAGGUUUUCUCCUGUUCUUCGGAUAAUUGAGAGCCCAACAGCACCCUCUGCUCUGCUAUGUCCUCACAUAAGAGCAUGGGCUUCGGCUGAUCUGCUGAAGCUGCUUUCUCCCUUCUGAAUUUGUACUGUUCACAAGCUUCAGCUCCAUCUAUGUUAUGGAUUGCUUUUGAGUCAGUCCAGUUUCCUUCGGCCCUUCUGGCAGCUUCCUGACUUCCAUGAAUAGCGAUGGGUCCUUGAUCCGAAGGUAUCUUCAUGCAAAGGUAAGCAGGAUGAAGAAUUGCUUCGAAAGCAUUGAGGGUGCCACGACCAAUAAUUGCAUUGUAAGGGUAUUCCAUGUCAACAAUGUCAAACACAACUUGCUCAGUUCUAGUGUUGUUGAUGAAUCCGAAGGUCACUGGCAUGGUGAUCUUGCCCAGUGCUACAAUUUGUCUUCCUCCGAAGCCACAGAGAGGGUGUGUAGCAUCAUGAAUCUUAUCUUCUGGCUCUUGCAUUUGUCUGAAGGCCUUAGCAAAUAUGAUAUCAGCUGCACUGCCUGUGUCAACCAAGACAUUGUGGACCAGAAACCCUUUGAUAACACAAGAAAUAAUCAUAGCAUCGUUAUGAGGAAAAUCCUUGAGCUGAAGGUCCUCCUGGGAGAAGGUGAUUGGAAUGUGAGACCACCUUGACUUGAUAAAGGGUCCCUGCACUCCAACAUGUUGUACCCUUCUCUGCGCCUCUUUCUUCUGCUUUUUAUUGGCUGGUUCUGAGCACGAACCACCUGUUAUCGGGAGCACCAGCUUCGGGUCUGAAGCAGCUCCAGCUCGAUCGUUGAACGAAGCCAUCAGCUCAAAAAAGUGGAAGUGAGUUCACCGGAGGUGGGCGCCAAUGUUGGGGACUUGUUCUCAAAUGCUAUGAAUUAAGAACAAGGCAACAUAAAAUGUUAAAUGUUAAUGUCCUUCGUCCACGAAGCAUUAUUCCCUUGAGGAUAAUGAACCUUGGACGAAGGUUGAUAGCAAUACAAUUACGAAGGUUAAGUCUUCGUAAUUGAAUUUUAAUAGAUUGUAUAAGAUAACAUAAAAUAAAGAAUAUCAAAGGUAAAUGAAUUAUAAACGGAACAUAUUGUAUUUACUUAAUAUAUUGAAUUGUUGAAUACAAUUAUACCUCUGCCUUGGCAAAGAUUGGUUCCUGAAUGAUGUGAUUGCCAAAACCGGAAUCCGUGAACAGUAAGGGAAUACUGUUCACUAUUUAUAGGCACAAGACACAGCCUGUGAGAAAUUACAAUUAUGCCCCUCACAAAGGAUUACAACAGCGACCUAGGCACUUAUGGACUAGAGGGUCAUUCUACUUUUAAGUCGGUUUGUAAUACCGAAGCUUCAUGAAGAGGAACUUUCAGUCAUCUCAUAUGAACAGCUUCAGUCGCAAGCUGCUUCUUCCUACAAGACCUUCGGCGACGAAGCAUAGUCCCAACAGAUAGGUUGAAGAGUCAAAUUGUGAUUCCAUCAACCUUCCCAAACUAUGUAUACCCAAAGAGAACAAGAACUCUAAGAAAGGUUCAAGAAUAAGAUCAAGCAUGAUCACCAGGCUUCUACAAAGCAACAGUCACACAUUUUCUCAGUUUCCCCACGACACCUGCCAUCUACUACAAAAGACAGGGCACUACAAUAGAAAGUGCCAGAAUUCCUGCACUAGCUGCUACCGAAUGCAAUUCCGUACAAACCUAAGGUUCCAGCGGGUCGAAUAAUAGUUAUAGUGGUUAACGAAAAGAAAGUAGACACUUAACUUCAGUUUCGUGAUUAGACAAUCAGCACAUCCACUAUCACUUCGGUGACAAAGAUUGUGUGUUAUUUAGCUUGAUAAUAAAGAUGUUGGUCUCGCCAUCCGACGAGACAUGAUUUAUUUAUCUUCGCACAGUGGCAUUGUUAAGGUCUUAGAUACACCAUAAAACAAUCCAUCCAAUAGUGGCAGGAAUAAAAAAAUAGAAGUGAUGGAGAAACCUCGUCGAAAUUAUGGCACUACCGUUUGGGCCAUAUUUCGAGCGAGGGAUAGAACGUCUCGUUAAGGGACAAAUUCUCCAUCCCCUAGACUUCACAAACUUACGAGAGUGUUAAAAUUAUUCAUACAGAUAUAUGUGGUCCUUUUUCAGUUAGUACAGUAGAUGGGUUUAACUAUUUGAUAACCUUCACAAAAGAUUACUCUCGCUAUGGUUAUAUUAAUCCCAAUAAGGAAAGAUCAGAAGCUUUAGACAAGUUUAAACAGCUCAAGGCUGAGGUAGAAAAUCAACAUGAUUUGAACAUAAAGAUUGUCGUAUCAGAUCAUGUGGGGAGUACUGUGGGCACCAUACUGAUUAUGGACAGGUCCCAGGAUCCUUUCGCGAGGUUCCUAAGUGAAAACCAUAUUGUUGCUCAGUAUUCAACACCUGGUGAACCGCAACAGAAUGGGGUUGCCGAAGGGCAUAACAAAAUGCUAAUGGAUAUGGUAAGGAGUACGCUUAGUUACUCUAACCUACCAUUGUGUCUAUGGAUGGAGGCUUUAAAAACCCGCUAUGCAUAUACUCAACAUAGUUCCUAGUAAAUCAGUGGCUAAAACUCCAUAUGAGUUGUGGACUGGCAGAAAGCCCACGCUCAACUAAUUCCACAUAUGAGGUUGUCCAACAGAAGCUACAAUAUUUAAUCCUAGACAGGAAAAGCUAGAUGAGAGAACCAUAAGCUGCCAUUUUAUUGGCUACCCUGAGAGAUCGAAGGGUUACAGAUUCUACUGCCCAGGCAGACAAACCAAGUUUAUAGAAACCAGACAUGCCAUUUUCCUAGAAAAUGAUAUGAUCAAGGGGAGUAAGGUACUCAGAGAGGUUGACCUUCAGGAAAAGAGGAUGUAUGUCCCGAUUCUGAUGGUUGAAGAACCAUACUUCUCGAUACCCACUGUGUUUCCACCAACGGUUGUAACGACUAGAGGUGAAACCCCUGUUGCAAAUGUUGCAUCACCCAAUGCAACUACUACAUAGCAAUUCACUUUACCUUCUGCACAGCCUGGCUCUUCUGAGUCGGUUGCACAGGAGAGUUCACAUGACAGUGGUAGUGUUGCGCCAAGUGACGCACCAUUGCAAGAGCCCCAAAACGAACCAAAACUAGAAACAAGUUUAAAAAGGUCUCAAAAGGUCUAGACGAUUUGUGAUUCCUAAUGAUUAUGGAGUUUACACAAGUGUAGACAAAGAAAGCGAUGGGAUUUAUAUGAGUGGGGACAUCGAUGCAGAAGGUGACCCCACUACAUAUGAAACAGCUAUGAGAAGCGUAAAUUAGUGGAUCUACAAGACCAAGCGUGAUUCCAAAGGGAAUAUCUAAAGAUACAAGGCUGGACUUGUGUCCAAAGGGUUCACACAGAGAGAAGGUAUUGACUACCAUAAAACCUUCUCACCUGUCUCAACAAAAGAUACAUUUCGGAUCAUUAUGGCAUUAGUGGCUCAUUUUGAUCUAGAGCCAUAAUAUGGAAGUAAUGACAUCAUCACUAAAUGGAGAGUUAAUAGAAAACGUGUUCAUGGCACAACCAAAGGGUUUUUGUUGUGAGUAGUAAAAGAAAAAACAUGGGUUUAAGGGAGUGCCUAUGAUCUUGAAUCACAGGGGCUACAUAUUGCAAUGCAACCAAAUAAAGUAUCUUUUCGUUCUAAAGCAGGCGAGCAUGGUGUAGUCAAUGAGUACGGUGAUACUUGAUCGGUCAUUGUCACGUAUUGGUCUCUAUGUGUAAACUUGUCGAGGGAUGAAAUCUAGAAAAGUUGAGUAUAAGGAAUGUAGAGAACAAAGGGGAGAUUGUUGGGUGUGCCCUCUACAGCUAGUCAUUGGUGAUCGGAUUGGGCUAAACCCAACUAUCCAUCUCCUUAAACGGGUCCUUGAUUGGGAGAACUCACGCUGACCUCGGUUGGAGCCCCCAGUCACACGACGCUAUAUAUAGGACUAAAGGGUCGCAGGAAAGACUAACGCUAGUACCUCGACCCAAAACCCUAAUCCCCACAGAGGCCCCCAUCGCCUAAGCGUCGGAGUGUCUAGAAGCGCGACAACCCACAGUGGCUCGGAUCCCGAUGCCUGCUGCUCCUCUGCAGACGACGACAACAACGACAACUCUCCAACAACAACAACAACGAAUGUGUGUUUUCCUAUUCCUCUUAGUAGAACAGAUCUACUUAUCAUCGAGGUUUUCCUUCCAGUUACGGAUUGGUAUUCUAGGGACGUAGGAAUAGAUCUUAGGUACCAUAGGAUCUAACACUAUGAAGAUUUUAUGACCACUUUGUAAUUUUAAGUUUUGCAUUUUUGCUUCCUGAUCAGAUGUCAUUCUCUGUACUUUCUGUGUAGGACACGGGGAAGUCCUGGAGACGCUAUCAGUGAGCUCCUUCUGCCACGUUUUGUGGACAUGGUAAUUUGGGGCCAUGAGCCUGAAUGUCUGAUUGAUCCACAGGUAACAAGACAUAUUAGUAUUUAAAAAGAGGGGAAGAGGUGCAAUUUAGCAUAUGUAUUUUUAGUCAAGUGUUCUGUCUUUCUGCUUUUGUAUUUAAUUUUAACUUUGUUUUCCUUCUAUCAACUACUCACAGGAGGUUCCUGGAUUGGGUUUCCAUAUCACCCAACCAGGUUCCUCAAUUGCUACCUCACUGAUCAAUACUGAAGCAAAUCCAAAACACGCGCUCUUUCUGGAAAUCAAGGUUAGUACUGGUGCAACGUGCUACGCUAACAUUCAAAUAUCUUCUUUUUUAAUUUAUUUAGUUUAUCAUGUUGCCCUUGAAUAGGGGAGAGAGUACAGGACAACCAAAAUACCACUGCAGUCUGUUAGACCUUUUGAGUAUGCAGAGGUAAUCCAGCUCUUACUUGUGUUUGCUCAAGUGAACUACAUCAAGAGAAUGUCAUGCAGGUUGUACUGGAGGACCAGGUUGAUGUUGAUCCUGGUGAUGAAGCAUCCAUUCAUGAGCAUUUGCACAAAGUUGUAAGUCCCCAACUAAUAACUUGUAUUUUUGUAAAAAAAAUCGUCUGUUUCCAAGGAUAUGUUCCCAUGACUGGUUAAAUUAAUUCCAGAACAGAACAAUCAGAUCUUUGAACAAUGAAGCUUCAGUUGUUGGAUAUUUGUUGUACUAAAUACUGACGGCAGAGUGGCUUUAUGUGAGCAACCUUAUUGAGAAGAGUAGGGAAGAAGCAUCCAGUAGUGGAUCAAAGCCCAAGCUUCCACUGGUUAGAAUAAAGGUAAAUCAGGAGCUCUUUAUGGCAGUUUUGUCCCACAAUGUUGUAAACAUAAAAGAGAUUGAAUUGUUCUUCAGGUGCAUCACACCGGACUUUCAACGAUAAAUUCAAAGCAAUUUGGUCAGCACUACGUGGGCAAGGUACCUCAUAAACUAAUUAAAAUGGAAUAAUUUAAAUGUGAUGUAAUCCUUUUAGUUACUACUGUUGCAUAGUGUUUCUGGUUACUAUCAAUGCUCUUGUAGGUUGUAAACCCACAAGACAUACUUCUUCUUACAAGAUCAAGGCAAAGGCAUCAAACUAUGCAAGGUAUGCCUAUUAUUGUUUCCUAUCACUACAGUAAACGAGGAAAUUUCCGAUGGCUAAAACCGUCGGACUUAAGGACUAAACCGUCGGAGAUAAGCUAUGUCCGACGGCAUUAACUUAUCUCCGACGGUUUUAAGCCGUCGUGGAUAAUGCGUCGGAAUAGCGUUAUGUCCGACGGCUGCCGUCGGACAUACGCUAUGUCCGACGGCCCUAUCCAACCGUCGGAGAUAAGGCGGCGUAACCGUUUUAACCGCUGCCUGGGCCCACAACUAUUAUGUCCGACGGUUUAAAGCCGUCGGACAUAACAUAUAGCAUAUGUCCGACGGCUUUAAGCCGUCGGACAUAACAUAAACCUUAUGUCCGACGGCCUACACUAGGCCGUCGGACAUAACGUUUUUCAGAAAUUGCACAAAAAUCUGAAAUUUAAAAAAUCUGACAUUUGCAAAUACAAAACAGAAUUCAUACACAUAUACACAUUCACAUUAACAAAUAUACUCACAUAAGUAUACACAUUCACAAAUAUAAUCACAUAAGCAUUCACAUUCACAAAAUUUAACAUAACAACAUAGUUCCAAAUGGUUGCAAUAAGUGUUUACAUAAACAUAGUUGUCCAAACUCCAAAAUGAACAUUAUUCGACGGGUAGGCUUUCACAUGAAAGGUUUCAACAAGUGUUUUACAUCAGUAUCACUCAUAUCCAUCGCCACCUCCUCCGGCUGGACUAUGCGUGCUGAAAAGAUUGUUCACCCACGAAUGUGUUGUGUCGUCCUGACCAGACCCAUCUCCAGGUGCGGCAACUGAAGCGGGUGGUGUCUGAAAUCCCUAUAACAUAAGCACAUGAAAUAGUAACCACUCAGUUGUUCAUUUAAACACAUAAGACAUCUAUGAACAUGUCACACACGCAUAUGUGUACAUACCAUAGGGAAUUGUGACGGAGGCGGAGGCGGUGGUGGAGGCGCCAACAUUGGCAUUGGCAGUGCAAAGUCCGGAGGCGGCAUCCCAUAUGUCGGCAUCGGGACGCCCGCUUGUUGGGCUAGUUGCUACAAAUUAUAUACAAGUCAUUGUUGAGCAAACAAGAUACACAUCAAGUGUUUUGCAAAAUAAGCUACAAAAUGUUAGUUCAACUUACCGAGAGAAGAGCUUGAUUUUGGGCCUGGAGGCUUACAUAAUACUCGUCCCUCUUCUUCUGGUACUCGGCUUGUUGUCUCUGGUAUUCAGAUUGUUGCCUCUGGUACUCCAAUUGAUCCCUCAAGACUGAUUGAUGGUACUCUGCCUGUUGACGCAACACCGCAAGCUCUAUCUCAUGGGCUGCUGAUCGUGAACGGGACGACUGUGAAGACGACGAUGUGGAUUGUCGUCCACGGCGUCUCAGCUCUCUGGAAUCAAUCGUAGAAUCAAAAAUACCCAACCUACAAGAGUGAACCAUGCACUUAGUAUAGUAACUCAUGCCUCAGUUGAAUCGCAAGCAUAUGAUGACAAUUUUGAAAACCAAAUCAAAUAAUCUCACCGUCCAUGGGCUUGUCCUCCUGCACUAGCAUAUGCUGCCUGAGGGUCGAUUGGCUGGCUCCUCCAAUCGUACUCCUCCCCAUGGCGUUGAACCAUCUCCUGCCCAUACGAAGCCUGGAGGCAAACAAUAUCAAAUAUAAGUGCAUAACCCCUAUGCCAUUGCAAACAAUAUCAAACACAUAAUAGAGUAUAAAAAACUCACUAGAAUGUCGGUGGCCGUCUGAGUGCAUAACACAUCAGGAUUCUGAGGAUCAGAACCCCUAUGGCCUUGCAUAUACACCUCCACAUCCGUGGGCGUACGGCCGGAUUUGACUUCCUGUACAUAAAAGUUAUAUUGACACAUUUCUAUGUAAUUCAAAGUUACGACAAACUGAGACUUACCAUUCGCUUAGCCAAGCGCACAUGACCAUCACCGCCGUAGUUGUGGAACGACUCAGUUCCACGGUUUCCCCUGUUCCUUUCGGAAAUGGCACGAAAAUCAGGGGAACCCCACCAUCUGCACAAUGCCCGAUAACCGUCUGAUCGGGUGGCCAUCCACGGCACCGACACCUACAUGAAAUUUUUAAAAUAAAGCAAGCAAAUACAUGGCUUCGUGCGAUAUGAGAGGCAACAACCUGUUUACCUCUAGGUAUUGCUCCUCCGUCAAGUAAAUUGAUGACCACUCGGCCUUUGUAUUUGGCAUCGGUCGAUCAUCAGCAUUUGCUCUGUACCAUGCCUUUAUAGCCUAAAUUCGUGCAUAGUACAUUGCAUCUGCAACGACAUCGUUCGCGUUAUACUCAAACACGUAACGAGCGUUCAUAUCAUAUGAUCCAUCGUCCGGCAACUUGUACCGUUUCUGCAAAAACCAUAGUGUUAUCAUAAAAGCAAACAUAUAUGGAAUAACUAAAAUAGUAUAAACAAGUCAUACCCAGAAUGCAUCCCAAACUAGUGCUUGUGUGUUGCCAAACGUUCUACAGACACCAUAGCGAUAAUGCUCCCAAGUGGUGGCGGGGACAGACUCGCCAGUAGGCAAAGUCACAAGACCAGGCCAGUGCAGACGAACAAGAUUACCAAGAACCAUGUUCACCUGCCUGUAGUGUCCUGUGCCUGUGAACGAGUCGUCGAUCCAAGUCCUGCAAACAGAAAUCAAUGUAGAAAUUAAAACAUAACUUUCAAUAACAUUUAAGCAAAGAUAUGUCACUCACUUUCCACUAGGCUUUAUCACAACCCGAGAUUCCGGUGGAAGCUCUGGAGGUGGUCCAACAAAAUGCAGCUUCCUCGUUCUCUUAACUCGAGAAGUUCCAGACCCAGCUGCAGAAUCUCCACCAGCCCCAGAAUCCCCAGCCCCAGAAUCUCCACCAGCGUCGUCUCCAGCAUCAUCUCCCACAUUAUCUCCACCAUCAUCUUCAUCAUCAUCUCUUGCAUGAUCCUCUACCACUGGUUCCUCAAUUUCAGCAUCCUAUGAAACAAAUAACUUACAUCAUACAAUAUUAAGUAACUCAAAUAAUGUAAUUUAACAACUAACUUACAUCUUGUGGAGGCAAAUGUUCUGCCAGCGCUCUCCGUCUGCUCAUGGUAGAACCUGUGCCCUGAAAAACUGAAUCCUCACCCCUCGAGCUGCUCCUCGAGCUACUCCUCGACCCAAGCAAACUACGAGCUAAAGACUUCAUUUUCUUUGACAUCCUAUUUUAACAAAAACAAGUUAGUACAUAAAUCGACAAUAAAAUAAUAAAAUAUGCAAUAAAAUCAUGAUCCAUACUCGUCAAUCGUAAUCGUAAUCAAAAUCAGGAUCUAGUUGCUUUCGUCGAUUUAAUGGACGCCAAGUAGCUUUCUUCUUUCUCGUCACUCGUUUUCUUUUUGGAGGAACCUCUACAUCAUUUUGAUCGCCUAAUAAAGAUUCUUCCAACAUUUCAGUUUGUACAUUAAACGUGCUUGUAAGUUCUUCGUCUUGGAAAAUCUCAGCAGCCCCCACUUCCUGCUCGAUUUGACUUUCAACAUAACCAGCAUCACCAGGAGCAUAUAGUCGUUCACGAGGAUUAACUUUGUACACUACCCUCCAAUCAACCAAACCGUUUUUCUUAGAUGGAUAUGUCAUAUAAUACACCUGCUCGCAUUGGUGGGCAAGGAUUAUAGUGUCGUGGCCUUUUAAUCUAUCGUUGUGUUUGACUUCCACCAUGCCAUAUUGAUUUUCUCGCGUUGUAUUUGGAGAAAACCAAUCACAAUCGAAGAACACCACUUUGAGUUGUUUAUCUCCAAAAAACUUGUACUCGAUUAUAUCAUUAAUGACUCCAUAAUAAUUAGUCACCUUCCCUUCAUCGUCGACAGCUCUAGUUACAACUCCGGAGUUUGUCGUGGCUGCUAGAGGAUGAUCAUCUUCGAACCUUGUGGAACGGAAUCUAAAACCAUUGACAUCAUACCGACCAUAACGUCUGCCAGUUACUGCUCCUAGGGAUAAUUGUCGAAGGUCCGGGUGUAUAUUGUCAUUUUUAUCUACAUAAUCUCGAAACCAACACAAGAAAUUAAGUCCCCCAUCUUUUCCCUCUCGACGAAUCUGGUCACGUUCACAGCCAGAGAUGCAAUUUUGAGAAUCAAAUUCCCUGUUAGUACAAGGAAACAAACCUUUUAGUAUCACAACAAAAAUUCUAGCGGCAAUGACUAAAAUAAAGUUUACACUUACAGGAGAAACUGACUCAUCUCUUCCAUGUUGUUAUACAUGUAGAGUAAAGCAGUCUUCCAUUCGUCGUUGGUGAAACAGUAUGUUGUGCUGGGUCCUACAGUUUUGCCCCUCCAUUGAAAAAUUUCAAUAUCACUAAUAGGGGGCUCGUCGACAUGAUACCGCAACGUAUGGGCAUUGACAUUGUGUUCCUCUGCAAAGUACAGGCCCGUGAACGAUGCUAUCUCUUUGUAUUUGAAUUCUUCAGCGAUGCACCCUUCAACUCGUCUCUUAUUACCAACCAUUGCACGUAGCUUCUUUAGUGUCCUUUCGAUGUGAUACAUCCAUCUAUAUUGCACAGGACCUCCUACCUUAGCUUCGUAUGGUAGGUGAACAAGUAGAUGUUGCAUCGGAUUGAAGAAACCUGGUGGAAAUAUUUUUUCAAGUUUGCAUACCAAAAUCGGUAUUUCUUGCUCAAGCUUCUCCAUCAUCUCUUUCUUUAUUUCUUUGGCACAAAGAUGUCUAUAAAAGUAGCUUAGCUCCGCUAAUGCUUUCCAUACAUCAUUUUUUACAAAACCACGAAACAUAACAGGAAGGAGUCUUUCCAUUAUUAUGUGGUAGUCAUGACUCUUCAACCCAGAAAACUUGCCCGUCUUCAAAUUCACAGACCUUCUAAAGCCCGCGGCGUAACCAUCUGGGAACUUUAAGUUUUUCAACCAUUUCAUCAAUUGUUUCUUCCUUUUAGGUUUAAUACUGAAAGGAGCACGUGGCUUCUUCUGAUUCUCUCCUAUCUCCAUAGUUGGUCUUCUACAGAUUAAGGCCAAGUCUUUCCUUGCCUUAGGGUUGUCUUUUGUUUUGUUGGUGAUAUUCAUGCAAGUGCUGAUAAUGCUUUCACCCAUAUUUCGUUCCUGGUGCAUGACAUCAAUGUUAUGCAUUAGAAUCAAGGCUUUCAUAUAAGGGAGUUCCCAUAGACCACAUUUGUGAGUCCAAUUAUGCUCGGUUCCAUAACCUUCAAAACGAUUUCCAUGUUCGUUUAGUUUCAAAUCAUUAAGUCUCGCGAGAAUCUCUGGACCACUUAGACGCUUGGGUGGUCCCCUCGUCACAAUCGUGUCCUUUUUAAAAGCGUUCCUAUCGAACCUGAACGGGUGAUCCUCUGGCAAAAAACAUCUAUGACAAUCGAAGUAACAUAUCUUUCCACCAAACUUUAGUCGAAAGCAUAAAGUGUCUUCAACGCAUAUAGGACAUGUCAAAAUCCCAUGACAACUCCAUCCAGCAAAGAUACCAUAAGCCAUAAAAUCAUGAAUAGACCAUAAAAACGCGGCUCUCAAGUUGAACUUCUGUUUCUUGUAACAAUCGUACGCCUCGACUCCUUCCCACAAAAUUUUCAAUUCUUCAAUCAGGGGUCUCAUCAUCACAUCGAUCUUUGUUCCAGGAUGAUCCGGACCAGGUAUUAUAAGACACAAGAAAAUAAAUUCAUAUUUCAUGCAAAGAGCUGGUGGAAGGUUGUAUGGAACAGCAAAGACGGGCCAACAUGAGUACGACGUUGCAGUUACAUUGAAUGGCGAGAAACCAUCUGUUGCCAAACCGAAGCGGACAUUCCGCACUUCAUCAGCAAAGCUGGAAUCAAAAGCAUCUAGUGCCUUCCAUGCAUCUGUAUCAGCUGGGUGCACCAUGACAUUUGGAUUCUCACGUACCCCUUCUUUGUGCCACCUCAUGUGUCUGGCUGUAUUCUUGGAGAUGAACAAACGUUUCAACCGAGGUAUGAGAGGCAUGUAACGAAGCUGCUUACGUGCAAUCUUCGUAGUCACGGUCAAACCAUCGUCGUUUUCAACCUCAACGAAUCUACGCUCACCACAUACAGUACACUUCUUCUCACCUGCGGUCUCCUUCCAGAAAAGCAUACAAUUAUUUUCACAGACAUCGAUUUUUUCGUAGUCCAUACCGAGGCCAGAUAACAGUUUUUUAGACUGAUACAUGUCCUUUGGCAUCUUGUGAUUCUCCGGAAGUACAUCACUGAUCAAGUUCAAAAGUUCCUUGUAACAGUUGUUUGAGAAUGCAAACUUAGACUUAAUAGCCAUAAGUCGAGUCACAAAUACAAGGACGGUCACUUUUGUGUGCUCAUGCAACGGCUCUUCGGCAGCUUUAAGGAGCUCGAAGAACUUCUGAACCUCAGGUGUAGCUGGAUCCUCAAACUCAGUGGGUUGACCGGGGUUCUCCGAAUCGACGGUUAGAAACUCAUGGCGUACAUCGUCAAGCAUCUCUUCCAUCCUAUCGUAGUCCUCCUCUUCAUGUGACUGAACUUCCGAUACAAUACGAGGAGGUGGGUCCUCACCGUGGUGCACCCACACCUCAUAGCCUGGCAUAUAACCAUUCUUGCAAAUAUGUAUCGACAUAGUCCUCCUGUCAAGGAAAUUAAUGUUCCGACACUUGCUACAAGGGCACCUAACAUCGGUUCCAGUCUCUGACCGAGCAAAAGCAUGGUCGAGAAAAGCAUCAGUCUUGGCCACCCACUCACUUGAUAGAGCACCUCUUUUCUUCCAACCUUCAUACAUCCAUCGACGAUUCUCCUCCAUACUAGAUACGAGACGUUAACUUAAUUAGAUAAGUAAUGCACGGACCAUCCGUUUUUACGAAGAAAUCACGCCCCUACAUCUGUAGGAAAGGAUAGGUCCUAAACCCACCCAGGAGUGACCGACGAGGCCGUGUUUAUGACAAAACAUGUGGUCGUGCGAAAUUUCGGCAGCAUAACCCCGCUGUUCUCCAAUCGCACGCCUAAAAAUGGUGCAAUUGGAGAACAGAGAGGUUAUGCUGCCGUAACUAAGCAGGAGCACAUGCUUUUGUCAUAAACACGGACUCUGUCGGUCACACCAAGGCUGUCCAAUAAAGGGACAAUUCCGGCCCAACAUACCUCACAUGCGUCGCUUGUAAGGUGUGUUGGGCCGAAACGGGUGACGCCUAGGUUUCGUUUGUUCACACUACGAUACACUAUGAUUAACUAUAAUCAUCGUGCAUUAUUAAAUAAUUAAACUAAUAAACCACAAUACAAUAUUACAUACGAAAUAACAUUGUUAUAAAUGACAAAUCAUAUAAAAUGACCUUAUUUUCGAGGGCAUAAUAAUUACCCUCGGAAAUUAAAAAUUUAAAUUAUCUAAAGUACCACUAAAUAAACUAAAACAAGCUACUUUAAUUACGUAAUCAAAUUUUGGCCGUCGGACAUAACAAACUAAACAAUCAAAUGCAUUCAUACAUACAUUUCUAAUCAAAUACAUUAAUACAAACAUACAAUUCUAAUCAAAUACAUUAAUACAAGCAUACAAUUUUAAUAAACAAAAUUGCUAAUUAAGUAUACUCACUUAGCGGGUGUGGAGAGCCGGCCGGCGAUGGGCGCACGGGCGGGCGGCGGGCGCACGGGGCCGUUGGCCGGAGCACGGGGCGGCGGCGACCGGCGAACGGGGCGGCGGCGGCGGCCGGAGCACGGGGCGGAGCUCGGGGCGGUGGCGGCCGGAGCACGAGCGUGGCGGCGGCACGAGCGUGGCGGUGGUGGCCGGAGCACGGGCGUGGCGGUGGCCGGAGCACGAGCUCGGGGCGGUGGCGGCCGGACCAAGGGGCAGCGGCGGCCGGAGCACGAGCAGUGGGGGCGGGCGGUACGGCGACCGGGCGGGACGGCGACGAGCGUGGCGGCGACGAGCGUGGCGGCGACAGCGCGGCGUGCUCCUCGGACGGCGGCGGCGGCAGAGAUAGAGAGACGCGCGGUCGGGUGAAACUGAAGGCGCGCGGGUCGGAUCCGCGCGUUAAAAAGCCUUAUGUCCGACGGCUCGGUACGAGGCCGUCGGACAUAAGCUUAUGUCCGACGGCCAGGGGGCGGGCCGUCGGACAUAAGGUAAUGUCCGACGGCCAGUCUGACAGCCGUCGGCUGUAUUCUGUUAUUUUCGACGGCCGCUGUUGGCCGUCGGACAUAACCUUAUGUCCGACGGUUGCCUAUGGGGCCGUCGGACAUAAUACGACCGUCGGAAUUUUAUAGUUUUACUGUAGUGUAUGAAAACAAUACAUGAGAGAGUAAUGCUAGGGUACGCUCAUAUGGGACCAGGGUGGUACUUGUGUUGAGUUUCUGUUUUAGAAUACUUUUUUAGUUUGCCAAUCAAUUUAUUGUUAACGUGGCCAUAUUACUAUCUUAUUGUGAGCAUAUCAACAAUAAACAUUAUAGAUUGGUUAAUGAAAAGUAUAAUACUGGCUAUAUCGCAAGUUUAAAAUUUGAAUACAUUUAACAAAUUCAAGCUGAGUGUAUUUUCUGGCUGUCUCUUUUAUUGUAUUGCCUUAUGUGGUCGGCACUUCUGCUUAAUACGGCGCUGUGAUCAGGAGGAGGAUGCCGAAGUAGAGGAUUGAGCGAAUUUUCUUUUGGGAGUAGUAGCCUCAGGUUGCCGCCGGGGCUGUGAAUUGUGAUCAGGAGGAUUCCGAUGUAGACCAUUCACGGUUCCAGUGUGGAUUCCGCAUCGAAUUUAAUGUAUUUCUGAUCCAGGAUCCUGGUCGACUAGUUGUUGUACCUAUGUUUGGAUUUAGGGGUUAUUUGGUUUGUUGUCUAAUUUAUCAUAGUUUAUCAUGUCUAAGGUUAGACAAGUUUGAGGCAUAUGUUGGUUUGAAGCUACAGUUAUAGAAAUACUCGUCAAUAACUAGUAAAAGUGUAACAGGAUUCUUUUAAACGUGCCAAACUAUAGCGCUGAAUUUGAGCGUCUUAAACAAACUUAACACAAAAAAUUAUGGCAAUUUAAUGCACGGGCGCGACCGCGACGGCAUCGCGCGCCGCGGCGCCGGCCGUUCCCAAGCUCCCCGCCUGUUGUGCCCCAUUGGCCCUUGCUCUCGUGUUUAGCGUGGUAUAGAAGCAUAUCCUUUCAAGUUUCAACGAGGUCCUGGCCACGAGGGGCACUGUACUCGCCAGGGUCAGUAAGCCGUCGACAUCGAGCAAGAUAUCGUGUGAUGGUUUUUGGCGUGUGCUACUUGUUCGACCUAUUGUUGCAACGGAGACCGCCGCUAACUACCAUCUCCAAGAGACUCCUACAAUUGAGUCCUAUAAAUCAAAAUAGGACAUGUUUUAAAUUAUUUAAGACCCACCAAUUCGUUUUACUCCAACCGUGAGUCCUAUAAUCACAUUAUUUAGUUAAUUAUCCGCUUCACCGCAGCAAUGUCAUCGUCGCUCUGUCAUCGUCCAUGUUCGCCAGAGACAAUCUUUCACAUGAUCUCGUUGUCCUGCAGAUGGAGUAGUAGGCCUUCACGUGAUCAUGUUGUCCGGUAGAUAGGGUAGCGGGCCAGCGGUUGUUGGUUACUCUUGAAAGGGAAAUGUGCCCUUGGGCCAUUUCUAAGUAUUUUGGUGAUUGAGUGCCAACACAAGUGCUUUUGUGUUGAUCUAUACAAUGUGGUGGACUAAGUGCAAAUCAUGUCAAAAGGUAUGUUUCUAGACUUAGUACAUUAUUUUAUGGACUAAUGUAUUGUGUCUAAGUGCUGGAAACAGGAAAAAUCGAAUUGGAAAUGAGAUGGCUUUGUUCAGCCAAGUCUGCUCAGUCUGGGAGCACCGGACUGUCCGGUGGUGCACCGGACAGUGUCCGGUGCGCCAGGCUGGCUCGAGCGAACUGGCCGCUCUCGGGAAUUCACCGGCGACGUACGGCUAUAAUUCACCGGACUGUCCGGUGUGCACCGGACUGUCCGGUGAGCCAACGGUCGGCCGCGCGAUCUGCGCGGGACACGUGGCCGAGCCAACGGCUAGAAGGAGGCACCGGACUGUCCGGUGUGCACCGGACAUGUCCGGUGCGCCAACGGCUCUCUGGCUGCCAACGGUCGGCUGCGCCAUUUAAGGAAAGAAAUCGGGCACCGGACAGUGUCCGGUGUGCACCGGACUGUCCGGUGCGCCACGCGACAGAAGGCAAGGAUUGCCUUCCCAGAUUGCUCUCAACGGCUCCUAGCUGCCUUGGGGCUAUAAAAGGGACCUCUAGGCGCAUGGAGAAGAACACCAAGCAUCCUUUGAGCAUUCUUGAUCACUCACACUCCACUCUUGCGCACUUGUUCGACAUUCUAGUGAUUUGAGCCCCGUUCUAGUGUGCUAGUCUUGUAAGCUCAAGUCUGGGUCUUGUGUGUGCGUAUUUGCUAUGAUCUUUGUGUCUUGUGUGAGUUGCUCAUCCCUCCCUUACUCUGUGCUUCUUUGUGAACAUCAAAAGUGUAAGGGCGAGAGGCUCCAAGUUGUGGAGAUUCCUCGCGAACGGGAUAAGUGAAAGGGAAUUAGGCUUACACCUAAGUCCUAAAUAAUUUUGGUGGUUAAAUUGCCCAACACAAAUCUUUGGACUAACUAGUUUGCUCUAGUGUAUAAGUUAUACAGGUGCAAAAGGUUCACAUCUAGCCAAUAAAAAGACCAAGUGUUGGAUUCAACAAAGGAGCAAUAAGGCAACCGAGGGCACCUCUGGCUGGAGGCACCGGACUGUCCGGUGUGCACCGGACAGUGUCCGGUGCGCCCGUAGACUUCGUUUUCUACCCUUCGCCAGAGGACUUCGACUUCAACCCUUCGCCCUCGGGAAUUCGCGGAGGCCGGCGCGCUAUAAUUCACCGGACUGUCCGGUGUGCACCGGACAUGUCCGGUGCGCCAACGAACCGCGGCCUCCGGAACUCGUCAUCCUCGGGUUUUCACGACAGCCGCUCCGCUAUAAUUCACCGGACUGUCCGGUGUGCACCGGACUGUCCGGUGUGCCAGCGGAGCAACGGCUCACUGCGGCGCCAACGGCUCCCUGCGCAGCAUUAAAUGCGCGCGCAGCGCGCGCAGACGUCAGGGCUGCCCAUACCGGUGCACCGGACAUCAAACAGUGCAUGUCCGGUGUGCACCGGACACCUCGGCAGGCCCACAAGUCAGAAGCUUCAACGGUCAGAAUCCAACGGCAAUGGUGACGUGGCAGAGGCACCGGACUGUCCGGUGUGCACCGGACUGUCCGGUGCGCCAUCGAAUAGAGGCUGCCAGCAACGGUCACUUUUGGUGGUUGGGGCUAUAAAUACCCCAACCACCCCACCAUUCAUUGCAUCCAAGUUUUCCACUUCUCAACUACUACAAGAGCUCUAGCAUUCAAUUCUAGACACACUAAAGAGAUCAAAUCCUCUCCAAUUCCACACAAAGCCCUAGUGACUAGUGAGAGUGAUUUGCCGUGUUCAUUUGAGCUCUUGCGCUUGGAUUGCUUCUUUUCUUUCUCACUUGUUCUUGUGAUCAAAACUCCAUUGUAAUCAAGGCAAGAGGCACCAAUUGUGUGGUGGCCCUUGCGGGGAAGUUUUGUUCCCGGCUUUGAUUAGCGAAGAGAAGCUCACUCGGUCCGUGGGACCGUUUGAGAGAGGGAAGGGUUGAAAGAGACCCGGCCUUUGUGGCCUCCUCAACGGGGAGUAGGUUUGCAAGAACCGAACCUCGGUAAAACAAAUCUCCGUGUCUCAUUUGCUUAUUCGCUUGGGAUUUGUUUUGCGCCCUCUCUUGCGGACUCAUUUAUUAUUACUAACGCUAACCCCGGCUUGUAGUUGUGUUUAUAUUUGUAAAUUUCAGUUUCGCCCUAUUCACCCCCCUCUAGGCGACUAUCAAUUGGUAUCAGAGCCCGGUGCUUCAUUAGAGCCUAACCGCUCGAAGUGAUGUCGGGAGAUCACGCCAAGAAGGAGAUGGAGACCGGCGAAAAGCCCACUACAAGCUACGGGAGCACUUCAUCGGAAGAGUCCCGCACCAAAAGGAGGGAGAAGAAGAAGAGCUCCUCCAACAAAGGGAAGGAGAAGAAAUCUUCUUCUCACCACAAAGAGAAGAAGGAAAAAUCUUCUUCCCACAAGCCGCAUCGGAAAGGCGACAAGCACAAGAGGAUGAGGAAGGUGGUCUACUACGAGACCGACACUUCAUCAACAUCGACCUCCGACUCCGAUGCGCCCUCCGUCACUUCUAAGCGCCAAGAGCGCAAGAAGUAUAGUAAGAUCCCUCUACGCUACCCUCGCAUUUCCAAACAUACACCUUUACUUUCCGUCCCACUAGGCAAACCACCAACUUUUGAUGGUGAAGAUUACGCUAGGUGGAGCGAUUUAAUGCGAUUUCAUCUAAUCUCGCUCCACAAAAGCAUAUGGGAUGUUGUUGAGUUUGGUGCGCAGGUACCAUCCGUAGGGGAUGAAAACUAUGAUGAGGAUGAGGCGGCCCAAAUCGAGCACUUCAACUCUCAAGCCACAACCAUACUCCUUGCCUCUCUAAGCAAGGAAGAAUACAACAAAGUGCAAGGGUUGAAAAAUGCAAAGGAGAUUUGGGAUGUGCUCAAAACUGCGCACGAGGGAGAUGAGCUCACCAAGAUCACCAAGCGGGAAACGAUCGAGGGGGAGCUCGGUCGGUUCCGGCUUCACAAAGGGGAGGAGCCACAACACAUGUACAACCGGCUCAAGACUUUGGUGAACCAAGUGCGCAACCUCGGGAGCAAGAAGUGGGACGAUCACGAAGUGGUAAAUGUUAUUUUAAGAUAUCUCAUUUUUCUUAAUCCCACUCAAGUUCAAUUGAUUCGUGGUAAUCCUAGAUAUACUAAAAUGACCCCCGAGGAAGUUAUCGGGCAUUUUGUAAGUUUUGAGUGCAUGAUAGAAGGCUCGAGGAAAAUCAACGAGCUUGGCGACUCAUCCGAAGCCCAACCCGUUGCAUUCAAUGCAACGGAGGAGAAGAAGGAGGAGGCUACACCAAGUCGACAACCAAUCGACGCCUCCAAGCUCGACAAUGAGGAAAUGGCGCUCGUCAUCAAGAGCUUCCGCCAAAUCCUCAAACAAAGGAGGGGGAAAGACUACAAGUCCCGCUCCAAGAAGGUUUGCUACAAGUGUGGUAAGCCCGGUCAUUUUAUUGCUAAAUGUCCUAUAUCUAGUGACAGUGACCGAGGCGACGACAAGAAGGGGAGAAGAAAGGAAAAGAAAAGAUACUACAAGAAGAAGGGCGGCGAUGCCCAUGUUUGUCGGGAAUGGGAUUCCGACGAAAGCUCAAGCGACUCCUCCGACGACGAGGACGCCGCCAACAUCGCCGUCACCAAGGGACUCCUCUUCCCCAACGUCGGCCACAAGUGCCUCAUGGCAAAGGACGGCAAAAAGAAGAAGGUUAAAUCCAACUCCUCCACUAAAUAUGAAUCUUCUAGUGAUGAUAAUGCUAGUGAUGAGGAGGAUAAUUUGCGUUCCCUUUUUGCCAACCUCAACAUAGCUCAAAAAGAAAAAUUAAAUGAAUUAGUUAGUGCUAUUCAUGAAAAGGAUGACCUUUUGGACUCCCAAGAGGAUUGUCUAAUUAAAGAAAACAAGAAACAUGUUAAGGUUAAAAAGGCUUAUGCUCUAGAGGUAGAAAAAUGUGAAAAAUUAUCUAGUGAGCUAAGCACUUGCCGUGAGAUGAUUGACAACCUUAGAAAUGAAAAUACUAGUUUAAAUGCUAAGGUUGAUUCUCAUGUUUGUAAUGUUUCAAUUCCCAAUCCUAGAGAUAAUAAUGAUGAUUUGCUUGCUAGGAUUGAAGAAUUAAACAUUUCCCUUGCUAGCCUUAGAUUAGAGAAUGAAAGUUUGAUUGCUAAGGCUAAAGAUUUUGAUGUUUGCAAAGUUACCAUUGCCAAUCUUAGAGAUAAAAAUGAUAUUCUUCAUGCUAAGAUUGUUGAACUUAAUUCUUGCAAACCAUCUACAUCUAUUGUUGAGCAUGUAUCUAUUUGUACUAGAUGUAGAAAUGUUGAUAUUGAUGCUAUUCAUGAUCAUAUGGCUUUAAUUAAACAACAAAAUGAUCAUAUAGCAAAACUAGAUGCUAAAAUUGCCGAGCAUAACUUAGAAAAUGAAAAAUUUAAAUUUGCUAGAAGUAUGCUCUAUAAUGGGAGACGCCCUGGCAUCAAGGAUGGCAUUGGCUUCCAAAGGGGAGACAAUGUCAAACUUAAUGCCCCUCCUAAAAAUUUGUCUAACUUUGUUAAGGGCAAAGCUCCCAUGCCUCAGGAUAACGAGGGUUACAUUUUGUACCCUGCCGGUUAUCCUGAGAGCAAAAUUAGGAGAAUUCACUCUAGGAAGUCUCACUCUGGCCCCAAUCAUGCUUUCAUGUAUAAGGGUGAGACAUCUAGUUCUAGGCAACCAACCCGUACCAAGUUGCCUAAGAAGAAAAUUCCUAAUGCAUCAAAUGAACAUAGCAUUUCAUUUAAGACUUUUGAUGCAUCAUAUGUUUUGACUAACAAAUCCGGCAAGGUCGUUGCCAAGUUUGUUGGGGGCAAACACAAGGGCUCCAAGGCUUGUGUUUGGGUACCCAAAGUUCUUGUAUCUAAUGCCAAAGGACCCAAAACAGUUUGGGUACCUAAAGUCAAGAACUAAAUUUGGUUUGUAGGUUUAUGCAUCCGGGGGCUCAAGUUGGAUACUCGACAGCGGGUGCACAAACCACAUGACCGGGGAGAAAAGGAUGUUCUCCUCAUAUGAGAAAAACAAAGAUCCCCAACGAGCUAUCACAUUCGGGGAUGGAAAUCAAGGGUUGGUCAAAGGUUUGGGUAAAAUUGCUAUUUCACCUGACCAUUCCAUUUCCAAUGUUUUUCUUGUUGAUUCAUUAGAUUACAACUUGCUUUCUGUUUCCCAAUUAUGUCAAAUGGGCUACAACUGUCUUUUUACUGAUAUAGGUGUCACUGUCUUUAGAAGAAGUGAUGAUUCAAUAGCAUUUAAGGGUGUGUUAGAGGGUCAGCUAUACUUAGUGGAUUUUAAUAGAGCUGAACUCGACACAUGCUUAAUUGCUAAGACUAACAUGGGUUGGCUCUGGCAUCGCCGACUAGCCCAUGUUGGGAUGAAGAAUCUUCACAAGCUUCUAAAGGGAGAGCACAUUUUAGGAUUAACAAAUGUUCAUUUUGAGAAAGACAGGAUUUGUAGCGCAUGCCAGGCGGGGAAGCAAGUUGGAGUCCAUCACCCACACAAGAACAUCAUGACGACCGACAGGCCGCUUGAGCUACUCCACAUGGAUCUAUUCGGCCCGAUUGCUUACAUAAGCAUCGGCGGGAGUAAGUAUUGUCUUGUUAUUGUGGAUGAUUAUUCUCGCUUCACUUGGGUAUUCUUUUUACAGGAAAAAUCUCAAACCCAAGAGACCUUAAAGGGAUUCUUGAGACGAGCUCAAAAUGAGUUCGGCUUAAGGAUCAAGAAAAUAAGAAGCGACAACGGGACGGAGUUCAAGAACUCUCAAAUUGAAGGCUUCCUUGAGGAGGAGGGCAUCAAGCAUGAGUUCUCCUCUCCCUACACGCCACAACAAAAUGGUAUAGUGGAGAGGAAGAAUCGAACUCUAUUGGACAUGGCAAGAACCAUGCUUGAUGAGUACAAGACACCGGACCGGUUUUGGGCCGAAGCGGUCAACACCGCCUGCUACGCCAUCAACCGGUUAUAUCUUCACCGAAUCCUCAAGAAGACAUCAUAUGAACUCCUAACCGGUAAAAAGCCCAACAUUUCAUAUUUUAGAGUUUUUGGUAGCAAAUGCUUCAUUCUUAUUAAAAGAGGUAGAAAAUCUAAAUUUGCUCCUAAAACUGUAGAAGGCUUUUUACUUGGUUAUGACUCAAACACAAGGGCAUAUAGGGUCUUUAACAAGUCCACUGGACUAGUUGAAGUCUCUUGUGACGUUGUGUUUGAUGAAACUAACGGCUCUCAAGUAGAGCAAGUUGAUCUUGAUGAGAUAGGUGAAGAACAGGCUCCAUGCAUCGCGCUAAGGAACAUGUCCAUCGGGGAUGUGUGUCCUAAGGAAUCCGAAGAGCCUCCAAGUACACAAGAUCAACCAUCCUCCUCCAUGCAAGCAUCUCCACCAACUCAAAAUGAGGAUGAGGCUCAAAAUGAUGAAGAGCAAAAUCAAGAAGACGAGCCACCUCAAGAUGAUAGCAAUGAUCAAGGGGGAGAUACAAAUGAUCAAGAAAAGGAGGAUGAGGAAGAACCAAGACCGCCACACCCAAGAGUCCACCAAGCAAUCCAACGAGAUCACCCCGUCGACACCAUCCUCGGCGACAUUCAUAAGGGGGUAACUACUCGAUCUCGGGUUGCUCAUUUUUGUGAACAUUACUCUUUUGUUUCCUCUAUUGAGCCACACAGGGUAGAGGAAGCUCUCCAAGAUUCGGAUUGGGUGGUGGCGAUGCAAGAGGAGCUCAACAAUUUCACGAGGAAUGAGGUCUGGCAUUUAGUUCCACGUCCUAACCAAAAUGUUGUAGGAACCAAAUGGGUCUUCCGCAACAAGCAAGAUGAGCAUGGUGUGGUGACAAGGAACAAAGCUCGACUCGUAGCCAAAGGGUAUUCACAAGUCGAAGGUUUGGAUUUCGGCGAAACCUAUGCACCCGUAGCUAGGCUUGAGUCAAUUCGCAUAUUAUUGGCCUAUGCUACUUACCAUGGCUUUAAGCUCUAUCAAAUGGACGUGAAAAGUGCCUUCCUCAAUGGACCGAUCAAGGAAGAGGUCUAUGUUGAGCAACCUCCCGGCUUUGAAGACAGUGAGUAUCCAAAUCAUGUCUAUAGGCUCUCUAAGGCGCUUUAUGGGCUCAAGCAAGCCCCAAGAGCAUGGUAUGAAUGCCUUAGAGAUUUCCUUAUUGCUAAUGGCUUCAAAGUCGGCAAGGCCGAUCCUACACUCUUUACUAAAACUCUUGAAAAUGACUUGUUUGUAUGCCAAAUUUAUGUUGAUGAUAUUAUAUUUGGGUCUACUGACGAGUCUACAUGUGAAGAGUUUAGUAGGAUCAUGACACAGAAAUUCGAGAUGUCGAUGAUGGGGGAGUUGAAGUAUUUUCUAGGAUUCCAAGUCAAGCAACUCCAAGAGGGCACCUUCAUUAGCCAAACGAAGUACACUCAAGACAUUCUUGCUAAGUUUGGGAUGAAGGAUGCCAAACCCAUCAAGACACCCAUGGGAACUAAUGGGCAUCUCGACCUCGACACGGGAGGUAAGUCCGUGGAUCAAAAGGUAUACCGGUCGAUGAUUGGUUCAUUGCUUUAUUUAUGUGCAUCUCGACCGGACAUUAUGCUUUCCGUUUGCAUGUGUGCAAGAUUCCAAUCCGACCCUAAGGAAUCCCACCUUACGGCCGUAAAACGAAUCUUGAGAUAUUUGGCUUAUACCCCUAAGUUUGGGCUUUGGUACCCUCGGGGAUCCACAUUUGAUUUACUUGGUUAUUCGGAUGCCGAUUGGGCGGGGUGCAAAAUCAAUAGGAAGAGCACAUCGGGGACUUGCCAGUUCUUGGGAAGAUCCUUGGUGUCUUGGGCUUCAAAGAAGCAAAAUUCGGUCGCUCUUUCCACCGCCGAAGCCGAGUACAUUGCCGCAGGACAUUGUUGCGCGCAAUUGCUUUGGAUGAGGCAAACCCUGCGGGACUACGGUUACAAAUUAACCAAAGUCCCUUUGCUAUGUGAUAAUGAGAGUGCAAUUAAAAUGGCCGACAAUCCCGUCGAGCAUAGCCGCACUAAGCACAUAGCCAUUCGGUAUCAUUUUCUUAGGGAUCACCAACAAAAGGGGGAUAUCGAGAUUUCUUACAUUAAUACUAAAGAUCAAUUAGCCGACAUCUUUACCAAGCCACUUGAUGAACAAUCUUUUACCAGACUUAGGCAUGAGCUCAAUAUUCUUGAUUCUAGAAAUUUCUUUUGCUAAGCUUGCACACAUAGCUCAUUUGAAUACUUUUGAUCAUAUCUCCUUUAUAUGCUAUGACUAAUGUGUUUUCAAGUCUAUUUCAAACCAAGUCAUAGGUAUAUUGAAAGGGAAUUGGAGUCUUCGGCGAAGACAAAGGCUUCCACUCCGUAACUCAUGCUUCGCCAUCACUCCGAGCAACUCUCUAUUCCUUGGGGAGAAAUGAGCAUCAAAGAAAAGGACUUCAUCCUUGGAGGAGAGAGUAAAAGCUCAAAAGCAAAAGGACCGGAUUUCGUCUUUGGUAUAAUCUUAACUCAUUUACUUAUGACCAAAGGGGAAGAAAUUACUAAGGAGGGCUCUAAUGAUUCCGUUUUUGGCGAUUCAUGCCAAAAAGGGGGAGAAAUGAGCCCAAAGCAAAAGGACCGCACCACCACCACCAAAUUCAAAAACUUAGUGCUUUCCAAAAGUCUUUAUCAUUUGGUAUCCUAUUGUGUUCAAAAGGGGGAGAAAGUAGUAUUUCAAAAAUGGUAUAUCAAAACCCUCUUGAACACUAAGAGGUGGAUCUCUUUUAGGGGGAGUUUUGUUUAGUCAAAGGAAAAGCAUUUGAAAUAGGUGGAGAAAAUUUCAAAUCUUGAAAAUGCUUUACAAACUCUUAUUCAUUUACCUUUGACUAUUUGCAAAAGAUCUUUGAAAUGGAUUUACAAAAAGGAUUUGCAAAAACAAAACAUGUGGUGUAAACGUGGUCCAAAAUGUUACAUAAGAAAGGAACAUUCCAUGCAUAUCUUGUAAGUAGUUAUAUUGGCUCAAUUCCAAGCAACCUUUACACUUACAUUAUGCAAACUAGUUCAAUUAUGCACUUCUAUAUUUGCUUUGGUUUGUGUUGGCAUCAAUCACCAAAAAGGGGGAGAUUGAAAGGGAAUUAGGCUUACACCUAAGUCCUAAAUAAUUUUGGUGGUUAAAUUGCCCAACACAAAUCUUUGGACUAACUAGUUUGCUCUAGUGUAUAAGUUAUACAGGUGCAAAAGGUUCACAUCUAGCCAAUAAAAAGACCAAGUGUUGGAUUCAACAAAGGAGCAAUAAGGCAACCGAGGGCACCUCUGGCUGGAGGCACCGGACUGUCCGGUGUGCACCGGACAGUGUCCGGUGCGCCCGUAGACUUCGUUUUCUACCCUUCGCCAGAGGACUUCGACUUCAACCCUUCGCCCUCGGGAAUUCGCGGAGGCCGGCGCGCUAUAAUUCACCGGACUGUCCGGUGUGCACCGGACAUGUCCGGUGCGCCAACGAACCGCGGCCUCCGGAACUCGUCAUCCUCGGGUUUUCACGACAGCCGCUCCGCUAUAAUUCACCGGACUGUCCGGUGUGCACCGGACUGUCCGGUGUGCCAGCGGAGCAACGGCUCACUGCGGCGCCAACGGCUCCCUGCGCAGCAUUAAAUGCGCGCGCAGCGCGCGCAGACGUCAGGGCUGCCCAUACCGGUGCACCGGACAUCAAACAGUGCAUGUCCGGUGUGCACCGGACACCUCGGCAGGCCCACAAGUCAGAAGCUUCAACGGUCAGAAUCCAACGGCAAUGGUGACGUGGCAGAGGCACCGGACUGUCCGGUGUGCACCGGACUGUCCGGUGCGCCAUCGAACAGAGGCUGCCAGCAACGGUCACUUUUGGUGGUUGGGGCUAUAAAUACCCCAACCACCCCACCAUUCAUUGCAUCCAAGUUUUCCACUUCUCAACUACUACAAGAGCUCUAGCAUUCAAUUCUAGACACACUAAAGAGAUCAAAUCCUCUCCAAUUCCACACAAAGCCCUAGUGACUAGUGAGAGUGAUUUGCCGUGUUCAUUUGAGCUCUUGCGCUUGGAUUGCUUCUUUUCUUUCUCACUUGUUCUUGUGAUCAAAACUCCAUUGUAAUCAAGGCAAGAGGCACCAAUUGUGUGGUGGCCCUUGCGGGGAAGUUUUGUUCCCGGCUUUGAUUAGCGAAGAGAAGCUCACUCGGUCCGUGGGACCGUUUGAGAGAGGGAAGGGUUGAAAGAGACCCGGCCUUUGUGGCCUCCUCAACGGGGAGUAGGUUUGCAAGAACCGAACCUCGGUAAAACAAAUCUCCGUGUCUCAUUUGCUUAUUCGCUUGGGAUUUGUUUUGCGCCCUCUCUUGCGGACUCAUUUAUUAUUACUAACGCUAACCCCGGCUUGUAGUUGUGUUUAUAUUUGUAAAUUUCAGUUUCGCCCUAUUCACCCCCCCUCUAGGCGACUAUCAAUAAGAAAAGAAAAGCAAAACACUGUGGUAUUCAAGUUGAUCAUUGGAUCACUUGAGAGGAGUUGAGUGCAACUCUCGUCCGUUGGGACGCCACAACGUGGAGUAGGCAAGUUUUGUACUUGGCCGAACCACGGGAUAAACCACUGUGUCAUCUCUGUGAUUGAUCUCUUGUGGUUAUUGUGUUUUGUUGAGACUCCUCUCUAGCCACUUGGCAAUUAUUGUGCUAACCUUAACCAAGUUUUGUGGCUUAAGUUUUAUAUUUCACAGGAUCACCUAUUCACCCCCUCUCUAGGUGCUCUCAAUUGGUAUCAGAGCCGUUCUCUUCAAGAAAGGGACUAACCGCCCGAAGAGAUGGAUCCUAAGGGGAAGGGAAUCGUGAUCAACAACAAGGAGAAGGAGUCCUUCGUCAACGAGCCGAAGGAUGACAAGCCUACCGACUCGGGCUCAGGCCACAGACGCAAAGAUGGGAAGAAGAAGAAGACAAGACGCAUCAAGGAGAUCGUCUACUACGACGACAGCGAUGAGUCCACUUCUUCCCAAAAGGACAACGACGACAACGACUGCGAGAGAAGGAAACCGGUUAAUUCAAACUUUUCUUUUGACUACUCUCGUAUUCCGCAAAGUACAAAUGCUCAUUUAUUAUCCAUUCCACUUGGUAAACCUCCUCAUUUUGAUGGAGAAGACUACGGAUUUUGGAGUCACAAAAUGCGUAGUCACUUGUUCUCUCUCCAUCCUAGCAUAUGAGAGAUAGUAGAAAGUGGAAUGCAUUUUGAUAGUAGUGAUAGUCCCAUGUUUAUCAAUGAGCAAAUUCAUAAAAACGCACAAGCUACUACUGUGUUGAAAGGGAAAUGUGCCCUUGGGCCAUUUCUAAGUAUUUUGGUGAUUGAGUGCAAACACAAAGUGCUUAAAUGUGAAUUUAUGCCCAUGGAUGAACAAAGUGCAAAUCACGAGUAAAGGUAUGUUUCUAAGCCUUAGUACAUUGGUUUUGUGUACUAAUAUACUUGUCUAAGUGUUAGAAACAGAAAGAAGAAGAAAAGAAAAGAGGUGUGAAAGGCUUGGCUGUGUACAGCCAAGACUCAGCUCUGUCUGGCACACCGGACUGUCCGGUGGUGCACCGGACAGUGUCCGGUGCGCCAGGCUGACUCGGCGUGAAGUGGCCGCUCUCGGGAAUUCGCCGACGGCGUACGGCUAAAAUUCACCGGACUGUCCGGUGUGCACCGGACUGUCCGGUGAGCCAACGGUCGGCCGGGCCAACGGUCGGCCGGGCCAACGGUCGGCCGCGGAAUCUGCGCGCGACACGUGGUCGGGCCAACGGUCGGAAGGGGGCACCGGACUGUCCGGUGUGCACCGGACAUGUCCGGUGCGCCAAAGGCUCCCAGAUCUGCAAUGGUCGGCCGCGCCAUUUAAGGAAGGAAAUCGGGCACCGGACAGUGUCCGGUGUGCACCGGACUGUCCGGUGCACCCGACGACAGAAGGCAAGAUUGGCCUUCCAGAUUUGCUCUCAACGGCUCCUAGCUGCCUUGGGGCUAUAAAAGGGACCCCUAGGCGCAUGGAGGAGACACCCAAGCAACCUUAGAGCAUUCUUGAUCAUCCACACUCAGUCUUUGCGCAUUCAUUUGUCAUUCUCAGUGAUUCGAGCUCCGUUCUAGUGAGAACUUUGAGAUAGUCUUUUGAGCUCGAUUCUUGGCCGUGUGUGUGCGCAUUUUGCUGUGGAAUUGUGUGUGUUGCUUCCCUUCCUUACUCCGUAUUUCUUUGUGAAUCUCAAGUGUAAGGGCGAGAGGCUCCAAGUUGUGGAGAUUCCUCGCAAACGGGAUAUUGAAAGGCAAAGCAAAACACCGUGGUAUUCAAGUUGGUCUUUGGACCGCUUGAGAGGGGUUGAUUGCAACCCUCGUCCGUUGGGACGCCACAACGUGGAGUAGGCAAGCGUUGGUCUUGGCCGAACCACGGGAUAAACCACUGUGUCAUCUCUGUGUUUGAUCUCUUGUGGUAUUGUGUUUUGUUGAGACUCCUCUCUAGCCACUUGGCAAUUAUUGUGCUAACACUUAACAAGUUUUUGUGGCUAUAAGUUUAAGUUUCACAGGAUCACCUAUUCACCCCCCCUCUAGGUGCUCUCAAUUGGUAUCAGAGCCGUUCUCUUCAAGAAGAGGGACUAACCGCCCGAAGAGAUGGAUCCUAAGGGCAAGGGGAUAGUGAUCAACGAUAAGGAGAAGGAGUCCUUCGUCAACAAGCCCAAAGAUGACAAGCCUACCAACUCCGGCUCGGGUCAUAGACGAAAGGAAGGGAAGAAGAAGAAGACAAGGCGCAUCAAGGAGAUCGUCUACUACGACGACAGCGAUGAGUCUACUUCUUCCCAAAAGGACGACGACCACAACGACUACGAGAGAAGGAAACCGGUUAAUUCGAACUUUUCCUUUGACUACUCUCGUAUUCCGCAAAGUUCAAAUUCACAUUUGCUCUCCAUUCCACUCGGCAAGCCCCCACACUUUGAUGGGGAGGACUAUGGAUUUUGGAGCCACAAAAUGCGUAGUCAUCUAUUCUCUCUCCAUCCUAGUAUAUGGGAGAUUGUAGAUAGUGGAAUGCACUUUGAUAGUUCGGAUAGUCCUAUAUUCAUUAAUGAGCAAAUCCAUAAGAAUGCACAAGCUACUACUGUUCUUCUAGCUUCAUUGUGCAGGGAUGAAUAUAACAAAAUGAGCGGCUUGGAUAACGCCAAGCAGAUCUGGGACACCCUCAAGAUUUCUCAUGAGGGAAAUGACGUUACCUUGCUCACCAAAAUGGAGUUGGUGGAGGGCGAGCUUGGACGGUUCGCGAUGAUAAGGGGCGAGGAGCCAACUCAAACAUACAACCGGCUCAAGACCCUUAUUAACAAAAUAAGGAGCUACGGAAGCACGCGAUGGACGGACCACGACGUCGUUCGACUAAUGCUAAGGUCCUUUACCGUUCUUGAUCCUCAUUUGGUGAAUAAUAUUCGUGAGAAUCCCAGGUACACCAAAAUGUCGCCCGAAGAAGUCCUAGGAAAAUUCGUCAGCGGGCGAAUGAUGAUCAAGGAGGCGAGGUACGUGGACGACGCCUUGAAUGGACCGAUCAACGAGCCGCAACCUCUUGCUCUCAAAGCCACAAGAAGCAAGGAGGCGCUACCUAGCAAGGUGGCACAAAUUGAAGCGGCCGGACUUAAUGAUGAAGAGAUGGCCCUCAUCAUCAAAAGAUUCAAGACGGCGCUUAAGGGUCGCAAGGGACAGCCAAGCAAGACCAAAGCCAAGGGGAAGCGCUCAUGCUUCAAAUGCGGUAAGCUUGGUCAUUUUAUUGCUAAUUGUCCCGACAAUGAUAGUGAUCAGGACCAAGGGAACAAGAGAGAGUAAAAGAAGCAUUACAAGAAGGCCAAGGGCGAGGCACAUAUCGGAAAGGAGUGGGAUUCGGAUUGCUCCUCCUCCGACUCCGACAAUGAAGGACUCGCCGCCACUGCCUUCAACAAGUCAUCCCUCUUCCCCAACGAGCGUCACACUUGCCUCAUGGCAAGGGAGAAGAAAGUAAGCACUCAUGAUACUAGUACUUAUGCUUCUUCAAGUGAGGAUGAGUCUAGUGAUGAUGAUGAGAUAGAUUACUCAUGCUUAUUCAAGGGAUUAGAUAGAUCUAAAAUUAAUAAGAUUAAUGAGUUGAUUGAUGCUUUGAAUGACAAGAAUAGAUUACUAGAAAAACAAGAAGAUCUUUUAUAUGAGGAGCAUGAUAAAUUUGUUAGUGCACAAAAAUCUCUUGCUCUAGAAAUUAAAAGAAAUGAAAUGCUCUCUGGUGAAUUAUCUACUUGUCAUGAAACCAUUUCUACUUUACAAGGUGUUAACAAUGAUUUAAAUACUAAAUUAGAAGUAGCAAAUAAAUCUAAUUCUUGUGUAGAACAUGUUAUAAUUUGUACUAGGUGUAAAGAUUUUGACAUUGAUGCUUGUAGUGAACACCUAGUUUCAAUUUCCAAACUUAAUGAUGAAUUGGCUAGUCUUAAUGCUCAACUUAAGACUAGCAAGAAUGAUUUCGAUAAGCUAAAAUUUGCAAGGGAUGCCUACACGAUUGGUAGACACCCCUCAAUUAAGGAUGGACUUGGCUUCAAGAGGGAAGCCAAGAACUUAACAAGCCAUAAGGCUCCCAUCUCCGCCAAGGAGAAAGGGAAGGCCCCUAUGGCAAGUAGUGCUAAAAAGAACCAUGCUUUCAUGUACCAUGAUAAGAGACAAACUAGAAAUGCUUAUAGGAGUUACAAUGCUUAUGAUGAUUUUGAUUCUCAUGACAUGUUUGCUUCUAGUUCUUUCUGUGUGCAUGAUAGAAAUGUUGGUAGGAAAAAUGUUGUUCACAAUAUGCCUAGGAGAAAUGUUGUUAAUGUUCCUAGGAAAGUUAAUGAACCUUCUACAAUAUAUCAUGCUUUGAGUGCCUCCUUUGCAAUUUGUAGAAAGGAUAGAAAGGUGAUUGCUAGGAAAUUAGGGGCAAAAUGCAAGGGAGAUAAAACUUGCAUUUGGGUCCCUAAGACAAUUGUGACUAACCUUGUAGGACCCAACAAGAGUUGGGUACCUAAGUCCCAAGCCUAAAUUUGCCUUGCAGGUUUAUGCAUCCGGGGGUUCAAGCUAGAUUAUCGACAGCGGAUGCACAAACCAUAUGACGGGGGAGAAGAAGAUGUUCACCUCCUACGUCAAGAAUAAGGAUUCCCAAGAUUCAAUUAUAUUCGGUGAUGGGAAUCAAGGCAAGGUAAAAGGGUUAGGUAAAAUUGCAAUUUCUAAUGAGCACUCUAUCUCUAAUGUGUUUUUAGUAGAGUCUCUUGGAUAUAAUUUGCUAUCGGUUAGUCAAUUAUGCAAUAUGGGAUAUAACUGUCUAUUUACAAAUGUAGAUGUGUCUGUCUUUAGAAGAAGUGAUGGUUCACUAGCUUUUAAGGGUGUAUUAGACGUCAAACUUUAUUUAGUUGAUUUUGCAAAAGAAGAGGCCGGUCUAGAUGCAUGCUUAAUAGCUAAGAGUAGCAUGGGCUGGCUGUGGCAUCGCCGCUUAGCACAUGUGGGGAUGAAGAACCUUCACAAGCUUCUAAAGGGAGAACACGUGAUAGGUUUGACUAACGUGCAAUUCGAAAAAGAUAGACCUUGUGCAGCUUGUCAGGCAGGUAAACAGGUGGGAGGAGCGCAUCACAGCAAGAAUGUGAUGACCACAUCAAGACCCCUGGAGCUGCUACAUAUGGACCUCUUCGGACCCGUCGCCUAUCUAAGCAUAGGAGGAAGUAAGUAUGGUUUAGUUAUUGUUGAUGACUUUUCCCGCUUCACUUGGGUGUUCUUUUUGCAGGAUAAGUCUGAAACCCAAGGGACCCUCAAGCGCUUCCUCAGGAGAGCUCAAAAUGAGUUUGAGCUCAAAGUGAAGAAGAUAAGGAGCGACAACGGGUCCGAGUUCAAGAACCUUCAAGUGGAGGAGUUCCUUGAGGAGGAAGGGAUCAAGCACGAGUUCUCCGCUCCCUACACACCACAGCAAAAUGGUGUGGUAGAGAGGAAGAACAUGACGCUAAUCGAUAUGGCGAGGACGAUGCUAGGAGAAUUCAAGACCCCCGAGCGUUUUUGGUCGGAAGCCGUGAACACGGCUUGCCACGCCAUCAACAGGGUCUACCUUCAUCGCCUCCUCAAGAAGACUUCGUAUGAGCUACUAACCGGUAACAAACCCAAUGUAUCUUACUUUCGUGUAUUUGGGAGCAAGUGCUACAUUCUAGUGAAGAAGGGUAGAAAUUCUAAGUUUGCUCCCAAAGCUGUAGAAGGGUUUUUGUUAGGUUAUGACUCAAAUACAAAGGCGUAUAGAGUCUUCAACAAAUCAUCGGGUUUGGUUGAAGUUUCUAGCGACGUUGUAUUUGAUGAAACUAAUGGCUCUCCUAGAGAGCUAGUGGUUGAUCUUGAUGAUGUAGACGAAGAAGAUGUUCCGACGGCUGCUAUACGAACCAUGGCGAUUGGUAAUGUGCGACCACAGGAACAAGAUGAGCAAGAUCAACCUUCUUCCUCAACUAUGGUGCAUCCCCCAACUCAAGACGAUGAACAGGUUCAUCAACAGGAGGCGUGUGAUCAAGGGGGAGCACAAGAUGAUCAUGUGAUGGAGGAAGAAGCGGAACCGACACCUCCAACCCAAGUUCGAGCGAUGAUUCAAAGGGAUCAUCCCGUAGACCAAAUUCUGGGUCACAUUAGCAAGGGAGUAACUACUCGGUCUCGAUUAGUUAAUUUUUGUGAACAUUACUCCUUUGUCUCUUCUAUUGAGCCUUUCAGGGUAGAAGAGGCCUUGCUAGAUCCGGACUGGGUGUUGGCCAUGCAAGAGGAGCUCAACAACUUCAAGAGGAAUGAAGUUUGGACGCUGGUUCCUCGUUUGCUCAACAACUUCAAAAUGUUGUGGGAACCAAGUGGGUGUUCCGCAACAAACAGGACGAGCACGAGGUGGUGACGAGAAACAAGGCUCGACUUGUGGCAAAAGGUUAUGCCCAAGUCGCAGGUUUGGACUUUGAGGAGACGUUUGCUCCUGUGGCUAGGCUAGAAUCAAUUCGUAUCUUGCUAGCAUAUGCCGCUCACCAUUCUUUCAGGUUGUACCAAAUGGAUGUGAAGAGCGCUUUCCUCAACGGGCCAAUAAAGGAGGAGGUGUACGUGGAGCAACCCCCUGGCUUCGAGGAUGAACGGUACCCCGACCACGUGUGUAAGCUCUCUAAGGCGCUCUAUGGACUUAAGCAAGCCCUAAGAGCAUGGUAUGAAUGCCUUAGAGAUUUCUUAAUCGCUAAUGCUUUCAAGGUUGGGAAAGCCGAUCCAACUCUUUUCACUAAGACAUGUAAUGGUGAUUUGUUUGUGUGCCAAAUUUAUGUCGAUGACAUAAUAUUUGGUUCUACUAAUAAAAAGUCUUGUGAAGAGUUUAGCAGGGUGAUGACGCAGAAAUUCGAGAUGUCAAUGAUGGGCGAGUUGAACUACUUCCUUGGGUUCCAAGUGAAGCAACUCAAGGACGGCACCUUCAUCUCUCAAACGAAGUACACGCAAGACCUGCUGAAGCGGUUUGGGAUGAAGGACGCCAAGCCCGCAAAGACUCCGAUGGGGACCGACGGACACACCGACCUCAACAAAGGAGGUAAGUCUGUUGAUCAAAAAGCAUACCGGUCAAUGAUAGGGUCUUUACUUUAUUUAUGUGCUAGUAGACCGGAUAUUAUGCUUAGCGUAUGCAUGUGUGCUAGAUUUCAAUCCGAUCCUAAGGAGUGUCACUUAGUGGCAGUGAAGCGAAUCCUUAGAUAUUUAGUUGCUACGCCUUGCUUCGGGCUCUGGUAUCCAAAGGGGUCUACCUUUGACUUAAUUGGAUAUUCAGAUUCCGACUAUGCUGGAUGUAAGGUCGAUAGGAAGAGUACAUCGGGGACGUGCCAAUUCUUAGGAAGGUCCCUGGUGUCGUGGAACUCUAAGAAACAAACUUCCGUUGCCCUAUCCACCGCUGAGGUCGAGUAUGUUGCCGCAGGACAGUGUUGCGCGCAACUACUUUGGAUGAGGCAAACCCUCAGGGACUUUGGCUACAAUUUGAGCAAAGUCCCACUCCUAUGUGAUAAUGAGAGUGCUAUCCGCAUGGCGGAAAAUCCUGCUGAGCACAGCCGCACAAAGCACAUAGACAUCCGGCAUCACUUUCUGAGAGACCACCAGCAAAAGGGAGAUAUCGAAGUGUUUCAUGUUAGCACUGAGAACCAGCUAGCCGAUAUCUUUACCAAGCCUCUAGAUGAGAAGACCUUUUGCAGGCUGCGAAGUGAGCUAAAUGUCUUAGAUUCGCGGAACUUGGAUUGAAUUGUUGCUUAUUGUGGUGCUCAAGUUGUACAAACACUCCCUGGACCUCACAAGUCCGUUGCAAAGUGAUGCACAUGUUUAGGGGGAGAUGUGUUACAACUUGACCCUUUGAGACUAACCAUAUGCUUGAGUUUGCUUGAUUUAGUCUCGAAGGAGAAUUGAAAGGGAAAAGGUGAACUUGGACCAUGAAAGACUUCCACUGCACUCCGAUGAGAGGGUAACUUAUUCCAAGUUCAUCUCAUGAACUCUUAUUGCCAUUUGCUCUUAAUUGAAGAUUUUGGUGAGGCAAUGGGGUUAAAGGGCCAAGAUUGAUCCCGUUUUGGUGCUUGAUGCCAAAGGGGGAGAAAAUAAAGGCCAAAGCAAUAAAUGGAUCAGCUACCACUUGAGAAAUUUUGAAAAAUAGUAAAAUAGAGCUUUUUGUUUUGUCAAAACUCUUGCAUUGUCUCUUUUGUCAAAAGUUGGCCUCUUGUGGGGAGAAGUGUUGAUUAUGGGAAAUAGGGGGAGUUUUUGAUCAAUCUCUUUUGGAAUGACUCUCUUUAUGCUUCAACAUGUGUGUUUGACUUAGAGAUAGAGAUUUGAGUCUGAUUUGCAAAAACAAACCAAGUGGUGGCAAAGGAUGAUCCAUAUAUGCCAAAAAUGAAUCAAAAUAAAUUUGAGUUUUAUUUGAAGUGAUAUUGCACUUGUUCCAGUUGCUUUAUGUUGUGUUGGCAUAAAUCACCAAAAAGGGGGAGAUUGAAAGGGAAAUGUGCCCUUGGGCCAUUUCUAAGUAUUUUGGUGAUUGAGUGCAAACACAAAGUGCUUAAAUGUGAAUUUAUGCCCAUGGAUGAACAAAGUGCAAAUCACGAGUAAAGGUAUGUUUCUAAGCCUUAGUACAUUGGUUUUGUGUACUAAUAUACUUGUCUAAGUGUUAGAAACAGAAAGAAGAAGAAAAGAAAAGAGGUGUGAAAGGCUUGGCUGUGUACAGCCAAGACUCAGCUCUGUAUGGCACACUGGACUGUCCGGUGGUGCACCGGACAGUGUCCGGUGCGCCAGGCUGACUCGGCGUGAAGUGGCCGCUCUCGGGAAUUCGCCGACGACGUACGGCUAAAAUUCACCGGACUGUCCGGUGAGCCAACGGUCGGCCGGGCCAACGGUCGGCCGCAGAAUCUGCGCGCGACACGUGGCCGGGCCAACGGUCGGAAGGGGGCACCGGACUGUCCGGUGUGCACCGGACAUGUCCGGUGCGCCAAAGGCUCGCAGAUCUGCAACGGUCGGCCGUGCCAUUUAAGGAAGGAAAUCGGGCACCGGACAGUGUCCGGUGUGCACCGGACUGUCCGGUGCACCCGACGACAGAAGGCAAGAUUGGCCUUCCAGAUUUGCUCUCAACGGCUCCUAGCUGCCUUGGGGCUAUAAAAGGGACCCCUAGGCGCAUGGAGGAGACACCCAAGCAACCUUAGAGCAUUCUUGAUCAUCCACACUCAGUCUUUGCGCAUUCAUUUGUCAUUCUCAAUGAUUCGAGCUCCGUUCUAGUGAGAACUUUGAGAUAGUCUUUUGAGCUCGAUUCUUGGCCGUGUGUGUGCGCAUUUUGCUGUGGAAUUGUGUGUGUUGCUUCCCUUCCUUACUCCAUAUUUCUUUGUGAAUCUCAAGUGUAAGGGCGAGAGGCUCCAAGUUGUGGAGAUUCCUCGCAAACGGGAUAUUGAAAGGCAAAGCAAAACACCAUGGUAUUCAAGUUGGUCUUUGGACCGCUUGUGAGGGGUUGAUUGCAACCCUCGUCCGUUGGGACGCCACAACGUGGAGUAGGCAAGCGUUGGUCUUGGCCGAACCACGGGAUAAACCACUGUGUCAUCUCUGUGUUUGAUCUCUUGUGGUAUUGUGUUUUGUUGAGACUCCUCUCUAGCCACUUGGCAAUUAUUGUGCUAACACUUAACAAUUUUUUGUGGCUAUAAGUUUAAGUUUCACAGGAUCACCUAUUCACCCCCCCUCUAGGUGCUCUCAUGUGUUGCUAGCCUCAUUGUGCAGGGAUGAGUACCACAAAGUGAGCGGCUUGGACAAUGCCAAGCAGAUCUGGGACACCCUCAAGAUCUCACAUGAGGGCAACGAUGUCACCAUGCUCACCAAGAUGGAGUUGGUGGAAGGCGAACUUGGGAGAUUCGCUAUGAUAAGGGGGGAGGAGCCAACCCAAACAUACAACCGGCUAAAGACCCUUGUCAACAAGAUAAGGAGCUACGGAAGCACGCGAUGGACGGACCACGACGUCGUCCGCCUAAUGUUAAGGUCGUUCACUGUCCUUGAUCCUCAUCUUGUGAACAAUAUUCGUGAGAAUCCUAGGUACAUCAAGAUGACGCCCGAGGAGAUACUUGGAAAGUUCGUGAGCGGGCGAAUGAUGAUCAAGGAAGCAAGAUACGUGGAUGACGCAUUGAAUGGUCCAAUCAAUGAGCCUCAACCUCUUGCUCUCAAGGCAACAAGAAGCAAGGAGACGCUACCUAGCAAGGUGGCACAAAUUGAGGCGGCUGGACUUAACGAUGAAGAGAUGGCACUCAUCAUCAAGAGAUUCAAGACGGCGCUAAAAGGUCGCAAGGGGCAGCCAAGCAAGACCAAGACAAAGGGGAAGCGCUCAUGCUUCAAAUGUGGUAAGCUUGGUCAUUUUAUUGCUAACUGUCCCGACAAUGAUAGUGAUCAGGAUCAAGGGAACAAGAGGGAAAAGAAGAAGUACUAUAAGAAGGCAAAGGGCGAGGCUCAUCUAGGCAAGGAGUGGGAUUCGGAUUGCUCCUCUUUCGACUCCGACAAUGAAGGACUCGCCGCCACCGCCUUCAACAAGUCAUCCCUCUUCCCCAACGAGCGUCACACAUGCCUUAUGGCAAGGGAGAAGAAGGUAUGUACUCGAAACACUACUUAUGCUUCUUCAAGUGAGGACGAAUCUAGUGAUGAGAAUGAAAUAGAUUAUUCAUGUUUAUUUAAAGGCUUAGAUAGAUCUAAGGUAGAUAAAAUUAAUGAAUUGAUUGAUGCCUUGAAUGAUAAGAAUAGGCUUUUAGAAAAGCAAGAGGAUUUGUUGUAUGAAGAACAUGACAAAUUUGUAGAAGCACAAAAAUCUCAUGCUCUAGAAGUUAAAAGAAAUGAAAUGCUUUCUUGUGAAUUAUCUUCUUGUCAUGAGACAAUUUCUAACUUAAAAAGCAUUAAUGAUGAUUUGAAUGCUAAGUUAGAAAUAGCUAGUAAAUCAACAUCUUGUGUAGAAAAUGAUGUUAUUUGCAAUAGGUGUAAAGAUCUUGAUAUUGAUGCUUGUAGUGAACACAUAGCCUCUAUUGCAAAAUUAAAUGAUGAAGUUGCUAGUCUUAAUGCCCAACUUAAGACUAGCAAAAGUGAAUUUGACAAAUUAAAAUUUGCAAGGGAUGCCUACACAAUUGGUAGACACCCCUCAAUUAAGGAUGGUCUUGGCUUCAAGAAGGAAGUCAAGAACUUAACAAGCCAUAAGGCUUCCAUCUCCACAAAGGAGAAAGGGAAGGCCCCUAUGGCAAGUAAUGCUAAAAAGAACCAUGCCUUCAUGUACCAUGAUAGAAAAUUUUCUGGAAAUGUUCAUGAUGAUAGGAGUUGUAAUGCUUAUAAUGCUUUUGACUCUCAUGCCAUGUUUGCUUCUAAUUCUUCCUAUAUGCAUGGUAGAAAUGUGUUUAGAAGAAAUACUGUUCAUCAUAUGCCUAGGAGAAAUGUUGUCAAUAUUCCUAGAAAAGUUAAUGAACCUUCUACAAUUUAUCAUGCUUGUGAUGCUUCAUUUGCAAUUUGUAGAAAGGAUAGAAAGGUGAUUGCUAGGAAAUUAGGGGCAAAAUGCAAGGGAGAUAAAACUUGCAUUUGGGUCCCUAAGACAAUUGUGACUAACCUUGUAGGACCCAACAAGAGUUGGGUACCUAAGUCCCAAGCCUAAAUUUUCCUUGCAGGUUUAUGCAUCCGGGGGUUCAAGCUGGAUUAUUGACAGCGGAUGCACAAACCAUAUGACGGGGGAGAAGAAGAUGUUUACCUCCUACGUCAAGAACAAGGAUUCCCAAGAUUCAAUAAUAUUCGGUGAUGGGAACCAAGGCAAGGUAAAAGGGUUAGGUAAAAUUGCAAUCUCAAAUGAGCACUCUAUUUCUAAUGUGUUUUUAGUUGAGUCUCUGGGAUAUAAUUUACUAUAUGUUAGUCAAUUAUGCAAUAUGGGAUAUAACUGUUUAUUCACAAACAUAGAUGUGUCUGUCUUUAGAAGGUGUGAUGGUUCACUAGCUUUUAAGGGUGUACUAGACGGCAAACUUUAUUUAGUUGAUUUUGCAAAAGAGGAGGCCGAUCUAGAUGCAUGCUUAAUUGCUAAGACUUGCAUGGGCUAGCUGUGGCAUCACCGCUUAGCACAUGUGGGGAUGAAGAAUCUUCACAAGCUUUUAAAGGGAGAACAUGUGAUAGGUUUAACUAACGUGCAAUUCGAAAAAGAUAGACCUUGUGCAGCAUGUCAAGCAGGUAAACAGGUGGGAGGAGCACAUCACAGCAAGAAUGUGAUGACCACAUCAAGGCCCCUGGAGCUGCUACAUAUGGACCUCUUCGGACCCGUCGCCUAUCUAAGCAUAGGGGGAAGUAAGUAUGGUUUAGUUAUUGUGGAUGACUUUUCCCGCUACACUUGGGUAUUCUUUUUGCAGGAUAAGUCUGAAACCCAAGGGACCCUCAAGCGCUUCCUAAGGAGAGCUCAAAACGAGUUUGAGCUCAAGGUGAAAAAAACAAGGAGCGACAAUGGGUCCGAGUUCAAGAACCUUCAAGUGGAGGAGUACCUUGAAGAGGAAGGGAUCAAGCACGAGUUCUCCGCUCCCUACACACCACAGCAAAAUGGUGUGGUAGAGAGGAAGAACAGGACGCUAAUCGAUAUGGCGAGGACGAUGCUUGGAGAGUUCAAGACCCCCGAGCGUUUUUGGUCGGAAGCCGUGAACACGGCUUGCCACGCCAUCAACAGGGUCUACCUUCACCGCCUCCUCAAGAAGACGUCGUAUGAGCUUCUAACCGGUAACAAACCCAAUGUAUCUUACUUUCGUGUAUUUGGGAGCAAAUGCUACAUUCUAGUGAAGAAGGGUAGAAAUUCUAAGUUUGCUCCCAAAGCUGUAGAAGGGUUUUUGUUAGGUUAUGACUCAAAUACAAAGGCGUAUAGGGUCUUCAACAAAUCAUCGGGUUUGGUUGAAGUCUCUAGCGACGUUGUAUUUGAUGAGACUAAUGGCUCUCCAAGAGAGCAAGUUGUUGAUCUUGAUGAUGUAGAUGAAGAAGAUGUUCCGACGGCCGCUAUACGAACCAUGGCGAUUGGUGAUGUGCGACCACAGGAACAAGAUGAGCAAGAUCAACCUUCUUCCUCGACUGUGGUGCAUCCCCCAACUCAAGACGAUGAACAGGUUCAUCAACAGGAGGCGUGUGAUCAAGGGGGAGCACAAGAUGAUCAUGUGAUGGAGGAAGAAGCGCAACCGGCACCUCCAACCCAAGUUCGAGCGAUGAUUCAAAGGGAUCAUCCCGUCGAUCAAAUUCUGGGUGAUAUUAGCAAGGGAGUAACUACUCGAUCUCGAUUAGUUAAUUUUUGUGAGCAUUACUCCUUUGUCUCUUCUAUUGAGCCUUUCAGGGUAGAGGAGGCCUUGCUAGAUCCGGACUGGGUGUUGGCCAUGCAAGAGGAGCUCAACAACUUCAAGAGAAAUGAAGUUUGGACGCUGGUGCCUCGUCCUAAGCAAAAUGUUGUGGGAACCAAGUGGGUGUUCCGCAACAAACAAGACGAGCACGGAGUGGUGACGAGGAACAAGGCUCGACUUGUGGCAAAUGGGUAUGCCCAAGUCGCAGGUUUGGACUUUGAGGAGACUUUUGCUCCUGUGGCUAGACUAGAGUCCAUUCGUAUUUUGCUAGCAUAUGCCGCUCACCAUUCUUUCAGGUUGUUCCAAAUGGAUGUGAAGAGCGCUUUCCUCAACGGGCCAAUCAAGGAGGAGGUGUACGUAGAGCAACCCCCUGGCUUCGAGGAUGAACGGUACCCUGACCACGUGUGUAAGCUCUCUAAGGCGCUCUAUAGACUUAAGCAAGCCCCAAGAGCAUGGUAUGAAUGCCUUAGAGACUUUCUAAUUGCUAAUGCUUUCAAGGUUGGGAAAGCCGAUCCAACUCUGUUCACUAAGACUUGUGACGGUGAUCUUUUUGUAAGCCAAAUUUAUGUCGAUGACAUAAUAUUUGGUUCUACUAAUAAAAAGUCUUGUGAAGAGUUUAGCAGGGUAAUGACGCAGAAAUUCGAGAUGUCGAUGAUGGGCGAGUUGAACUACUUCCUUGGGUUCCAAGUGAAGCAACUCAAGGAUGGCACCUUCAUCUCUCAAACGAAGUACACGCAAGACUUGCUGAAGCGGUUUGGGAUGAAGGAUGCCAAGCCCGCAAAGACUCCGAUCGGGACCGACGGACACACCGACCUCAACAAAGGAGGUAAGUCCGUUGAUCAAAAUGCAUACCGGUCAAUGAUAGGGUCUUUACUUUAUUUAUGUGCUAGUAGACCGGAUAUUAUGCUUAGCGUUUGCAUGUGUGCUAGAUUUCAAUCCGAUCCUAAGGAGUGUCACUUAGUGGCAGUGAAGCGAAUCCUUAGAUAUUUAGUUGCUACGCCUUGCUUCGGGCUCUGGUAUCCAAAGGGGUUGUUGGUGACUUGUUCUCAAAUGCUAAGAGUUAAGAACAAGGCAACAUGAAAAGUGUUAAAUGUUAAAGUCCUUCAUCCUUCGAAGGACUUUAUGUCCCUUCGGGAAAUAAUGAGUUUCGGACGAAGGUCAUAAGAGACAUACCUUCGUAAAUAUAGUAGGUAAAAACGAAAGACUCAUAUAAAGCAUGAGAUAUAAUAUAAGCAUCAUCAUGGAAUCAUUUCUAUUUUAUUAACAUGGGAAAAUAGAAAUGAUUUCAAAUUACAGAUGUACCUUCGGUCCUGAGAGAAGGUAAAAAGUACAGGCGUGACGCAAAAGCAAAUGCAAAGUCAGCGUGAACAGUACGGGAGUACUGUUCAUCUAUUUAUAGACGCGGGAUGCAGCCCACGUAAAAUUACAUCCAUGUCCAUUACAUUUGUUAACGGUUUAUGGAAAUCUAUUGAGGACCCCGAAGUCUUUUCAUCUUAAGGUCGGUUCCCCCUUGUGCCAUCGCGCCGAAGCUUCCCUGCGUACAGCUUCGGCUGCCCCCGACCUUCGUCUGGCUCAACCUUCGUCCUGGUCGUGCUCCAUAUCCAUAAUUCUGAAUCCGAAAAUACCUGUUCAUAUAAUUCACUUGGAAAACAUUGUCAAAUCAUGUUUUUGAGGACCUUCGGAGGACGAAGGCCCCCAACAGUAGCCCCUCGCAAUAUUAAUUUGUAAAUAAUAAAUUCAGAUUGCGAUAUGGACGAAGGCCUUGAGCCGAAGGUCCGAAAAAACACCUUCCCUUUGCUAGAAUAGCAACAUUCACUGACAAGCGGGGCCUUUUAACUUUCAACGCCCUAGGCGUAUAAAUAAGAACACAUCGUGAAUUCAUUUGGUACACACGCUUGCCUUUUGCUUCGGCCCACUAAAAAUUUUUAGCUCUUGCUCAUUGAGAUUUGCUGGUCUUUUUGAUUUCGAAGCUUCGGCCUCGGGAACAAAUUUUUAGUGUUUCCGAAGAUGUCUGAAGACAAGAAGAUCCCUGCCGAGACGAAGCUGAGUCUCGAGGAGGAGAAGAAUCUGGGGUUCCUGAUAGCGAUGGCAGAGACUAAUACAGAGAAAAUCACGAAGGAGAUUCUCGAAGGUUUGUCCGAAGAUACUGAUGACAGCGACAGCUAUGAUGUGGAAAGUGAUGGGGAAGAGGCCGAAGAUCGACCGUGGCGACCAAGUCACUCAGUUUUUGGGAAAACAACCAUCAAGCAGAGUCACAUUGAUAAUAUGAGGGGGCGAUACUUCCGAGACAUAUCUAUUGUGAGAGCUGAUGCCGGGGAAAAGACUUCUCCCACCCCUGAAGAAGAUGAAGUUGUAAUUUUCCGAAGCCUCCUCAAGGCUGGGCUUCGAUUCCCCCUGAGCAACUUUGUUGUUGAGGUACUGAAAACAUUCCAAAUCUACCUUCAUCAACUCACUCCCGAAGCUAUUAUAAGAAUGGGGAUUUUUGUCUGGGCUGUGAGAAGCCAAGGUUUGGAGCCAAACGCUAAAAGCUUCUGCAACAUACACGAGUUAUUGUACGAGACGAAGCCCUGGGGAAAGGAGCAAUACCACAACAACUUUGGGUGCUACAGCUUCGGCGCCCGCUCCGGGUCAAGCUACCCUGUGCCAACCUUUCGGAAGAGGUGGCCCGGAGCCUGGAUGUCUGAAUGGUUUUAUGUGAAAAAUGAUCUAACAGCGCAAAAUAAUGUCCAAAGUAUCAUUAUGUACCCAAUUUGGCAACGCUUCGGACUUCGAAGGCCGAAGGUUGAAAUGGAUGAGGCAGCCGAAGAAUGCCAAAGAGCCUUCGGCGCAGUCUGCUCUUUCAUUGGGACAAGGGACUUGGUCCAGGAGCACAUUGCCUUCAGGAUAUGGCCACUUGCAGAAAAGUGGGAAAUGCCGAAAGAAACCAUCAAAGAGUCCGACGAAGGCGGACUAGUCAGAUUAAAAUACACAUUCAAAUAUGCAGAUAAAUUUAUUGAACCUGAUGAUGACUGGCUGAAAAGCAUUGAAACAUUAAGUGAUGAAUUACUUGGGGCAUUCUCGAAGGCUGAAAAUACUGCACUAUCAGCAGCCUUCGGAGGCCGCAAAAAGAAGAGACUGAACCGAGUGUUUGAUGCAAUCGGGUUCUUCUACCCUGAUUAUUGUUAUCCCAUCCGAAGGCAGAAAAGGAAAAGCAUAACCUCUGAAAAAGAAGAAGCUGGAACCGCUCCUAGCGAGCCAGAACCAAAAGGAAAAAGGCUGAAGGUCUUCACACACCGACCACGCCAUAUUGAGCCAGCUUCGGUGCCGGAGUUUACCGGGAAAACUUCUUCAGCCACCGAAGCUGAAAAACCAAACGAGCCGGCCUUGCUGCCAGAGAUCGCAGAAACGGCCGAAGUGCCACCAAAGAUAGAAUCAGAACAAUCAAACAUUUUGUUGUCAGAAACAAAAGAGAAAACCGAAGCGCCGCUCACAGAAAAAAUUGAGAAAGUAAGAGAAGCAACUGAGGGCUUCAAAACAUCAGAAGUUUUGAGUCCUACAGCAAUCAUUGGGACGGCAAAAAAUGAAAAAGUGCCAGCUGCAACUCCGAAGAGAAAGAGAAUGGCUAAUGUGCUAGACGUAUUGGAAACGAUCAAAUCUUCGAGCACACCUCCGAAGAAAGCUGCUAUUACUCCUGAAACAAAAGCUGAAAUCUCUGGUUCUACAGCUCCAGAGGAAGAGAUUGAAGCCGAAGCUGGACCCUCAGAGUCCGCAAAAACUUUGAGAAGUGAGGCAGAGAAAAUAACAAAGCUAACUAUUGAAGAAUCUAGUGUUGCUGCCCCCGAAGCAUCCCCCAAAAUUCGUGAUUAUAUUUUUCGUCAUGCUUCGGGGAAAAAAUUAUCAGAAAAAGAAGAACAAGAGGCCCAGCAUUAUGCCCAAAAACUGAAAUAUCCGAAGGGGGCGUUAAUAUUUAAUGGCAGUGGAGAAGGAGACUUCUUGUACUGUCUUCCCGACAACAAGGAAAUUUCUGUCUGUCGGGAGAUAGGCAGAAGCUUUGGAUUCCCAACUUUAGAAGACGGACUUUCGGUGCUAUCAAAAAACGAUCUGGCUGACAGCCUAGCUUAUAACAGUUUAAAGGUAUGAUAAAUGAAAUCCUUGUAUUUUUCCGUUCAUUUAAACCCUCUGACACACACACAUAUUCCUUUUUGCAGGGCUUGAUACUUAGCAAUGCUCUCAGAGCCCAGAAAGAUACUGAAGACGAAGGGUGUACUAUAGCCCUGAGCAACCUUCGUUCCGAAGUAAUUGAACUGAGGAACGAAGGUCUCGAAAAAGACAAAAUAUUAUACUCAUUGAUAGAUAAAAUAAAGGAGGACGAAGCUGCCUUCAAAAGUCAGGCUGAAGCUCAGAAACGCGAAAUUGAAGACCUUCGGAAACAACUGGCCAGAGCUAAAGAAGAACGUAUACUUGAAGAAACAAAGCGUGAACUCAGCGAUCAAUGGGCAGAACACCUAGAAGUGACUGUUGAAGAGCUUCGUUCAUCCAAAAAGAGAUGCUACAAUAAAUCUAUAGACUGUGUUAAAAAAUUAAAGGCUAGCUUCGCCAAGGUCGGCGCAUUCUCAAGUGAAGAAAAUUUUCUGAGGGGCAAUCCCGAAAGUGUCAUUGAAUGGAUUGACCACGAAGCUGAAGUCUUCGAAGAAAUUUUAAAUAGCCGAGGAGAUAUAUGUGCCUUCUCUGGCGCCAGAGGGAUUGCCACUAUUUUAGAGAAGAAGGGCUGUGAACAUGUGAAAAUUUUAGCACAGUCCGAAGCCACCUUGUCGACUGAAGAUAUAAAAGAUCCUUCAGCCGAAGCUAGCGCGGUUGGAGGAAAAUUUUUUACCGACAUCUGGGACAACGGUGGCCGAGAAAUGGCAAGAGAAAUUAUUCAGAGAAGUGAAAAGGGCAUCCAUGAUGCUAGAGAAGUGGCUAAGGCUGCUGAAAAGAGCACAGAGCCCGAAGGUCAAUUAGGUACUAAAUAAUAGCUUCUACCGUGUUGUAAUCUUUAGGCUUUUAAGAUCUGUUUGCGAUUUGUAAUAGUAAUGUAGUCGUGUCCUGCUUCAGAUCCGACUAAAGCGCCUUCGGGCCCUCAGCCGAAGGGGGACGACGAAAUUAAAAAGAUGGCCGAAGAUAUUAUGGACGAAGUCGUCAAUCGGCUUCUGAAUGAAGCUGCAGGAGUCGUUUUGAGAGAGGAUUAAACAUUUUUGUAAAAAACUUCGGAAAUGUAAUAUAAUGUAACAUUUUUGUAACCCCGAAUGUAAUAUAUCUAUUUUUGCUACUCAAUUCUUUACGAUGCAUGAAACUUUACACACGUACCGUUUUUGAGUUUGGCGAAAAAAACACCUUCCCUUCUUUUCAUGCUUCGUGAAGAAUAUCCAAACUUCGUGAAAAAAUUCUCCGAAGCUAUACUUCCGAAGAUGAAGAUUGAUUCUCUUUACGACCAUGAUUUUCACUCUUUCAAAUCAUACUUUCGAAAAUCAAUAUUGUGUCCCCUUCUUGGGACCACGAUUUUCACUCUUUCAAAUCAUACUUCCGAAGAUCAAUAUUGUGUCCCCUUCUUGGGACCACGAUUUUCACUCUUUCAAAUCAUACUUCCGAAGAUCAAUAUCGUGUCCCCUUCUUGGGCCAUAUGCAACAUGAUGUAUGAUGCUUAUGCUAUGCAAAAUGAUGUAAUGAUGUUAUGCUACGUAGAUGACAUUUGUUCCGAAAGAUACACACAUAUCCCCACACAAUAUUUUUGUAUCAGCACUGAUUCUUCGCUGUAAGCUCUGCAUUCCCUUAGGAACGUCUUUGGAGCUUCUUCGCCUCUUACUUAGGCGGUAUAAGCUCUGCAUUCCCUUAGGAACGUCUUUGGAGCUUCUUCGCCUUUUACUUAGGCGGUAUAAGCUCUGCAUUCCCUUAGGAACGUCUUUGGAGCUUCUUCGCCUUUUACUUAGGCGGUAUCAGCGUUGACUUUUCGCUGUAGGCUCUGCAUUCCUUUAGGAACGACUUCUGAGCAGAAAACUUACACUGCGCUCCCUUUGGAACGGCUUUUUGUGACUUCACAAACUUACUCUGCGUUCCUUAGAACGACUUUUCGUUACUCCGAAGGAUUUUUAAUUCGAAGGUCCUCCUUGGUAACGGAAAAAAUUUUUAAUCUUCAGCAACUUAAGCUUGUGGAGCAAAUAGAUCUUCCUCGUGGAAAACAACGACAUUAUUACAUGAAAACUAUCAAUGUUUUUUGCUUGACAGAAAACAAAACUGAAUAAGAAAGACUGCUAUCAAAGAUAGGAUAUGUGUCAAUAAAUGUGUUUCGACUCUGGCACAGUGCUGUUGACUGUGCGAGCUUCGGACUGCUCUCUGAAGUCCCUCUGCUGUGGAGCGUAUUGACUCCCUUCUGGCUGCUGACCUUGUUGCAACGGAGGUGGAGGCGGAGGCUGUUGCCAGGAAGCUGAAGGCUGACUUGCCGAAGCAGCAGAGACUACAGGAUGAUUGCCCACAUAUUCUGGGAUGUAGGGCGAAUGAUACGAAGCUGUAUGCAUGACCUGCUUCGGCUGGGCUUGUUGUGCUGCUGCUUCAGCUAUUUCCUUUUGCUUCUGUAUAGUAACAUGGCACAUCCUGGUAGUAUGGCCUUUGUUCUCACCACAGAAUAAGCAAAAGAUUCUUCUUGGUUGAUCGCCAAAUCUUCCUCCGAAGCCCCUGGCGCCUCUGCCUCUUGGAGCUGGUGGUCGGAAGGAGCUUUGCUGUUGCCCCGAAGCCUGUGAGGAGUACUGUGGCCUUUGCUGCUGGCUCCCUUUAUCAUCAUUUUGAUUGGAAUUAUGAAUUGAUCUGACAUGCCUCGGAUAGAAUCUUCCUCCGAAGCCCCUGGUCAUCUCAGAAAAUCUGAAGGCCUCCUCCCUUCUUUGGCGAAAAUCAUUGUCAGCUCGAAUAUAUUCAUCCAUCUUCUGGAGCAGCUUCUCCAGCGUUUGAGGAGGCUUCCUGGCGAAGUACUGAGCUGACGGACCUGGCCGAAGCCCCUUGAUCAUGGCCUCAAUGACAAUUUCAUUGGGCACCGUUGGUGCCUGUGCCCUCAAACGCAAAAACCUUCGGACAUAUGCCUGAAGGUAUUCUUCGGGGUCCUGAGUGCACUGGAACAGAGCCUGAGCAGUGACCGGCUUCGUUUGAAAUCCUUGAAAGCUGGUUAACAACAAGUCCUUCAGCUUCUGCCAUGAAGUGAUCGUUCCUGGUCGAAGGGAGGAAUACCAGGUUUGAGCAACACUUCUGACAGCCAUAACAAAAGAUUUGGCCAUGACUGAAGCAUUGCCACCGUACGAAGACACUGUUGCUUCGUAGCUCAUCAAAAACUGCUUCGGAUCAGAAUGGCCAUCAAAUACGGGGAGCUGAGGCGGCUUGUAGGACGGAGGCCAAGGCGUAGCCUGCAACUCAGCGGACAAGGGAGAAGCAUCAUCAAAAACAAAAUUCCCAUGAUGGAAAUUGUCAUACCAGUCAUCUUCGUUGUGAAAGCCCUCCUGAUGAAGGUCUUGAUGCUGAGGCCUUCGGAAUUGCUCAUCCUGAGCAAGAUGACGAACUUCUUCAGAGGCUUCAUCUAUCUGCCUCUGCAGUUCAGCUAGCCUGGCCAUCUUCUCCUUCCUGCGUUGAACCUGUUGCUGAAGGAUUUCCAGAUUCUGAAUUUCCUGAUCUAGAUCAUCCUCCGGAUGUGUUGGACUGGUAGCCUUCCUCUUCUGGCUUCGUGCCUCUCUGAGAGAAAGGACAUCUUGAUUGGGGUCCAGCGGCUGCAGCGUGCCAGCCCCUGGUGCUGGAGCCUUCUUCGGCGGCAUGACGAAGCUGAUGCUUGCCGAAGGUGCCGAAAAACUCAAGAAGUGGAAGUGAGUUCACCGGAGGUGGGCGCCAAUGUUGGUGACUUGUUCUCAAAUGCUAAGAGUUAAGAACAAGGCAACAUGAAAAGUGUUAAAUGUUAAAGUCCUUCAUCCUUCGAAGGACUUUAUGUCCCUUCGGGAAAUAAUGAGUUUCGGACGAAGGUCAUAAGAGACAUACCUUCGUAAAUAUAGUAGGUAAAAACGAAAGACUCAUAUAAAGCAUGAGAUAUAAUAUAAGCAUCAUCAUGGAAUCAUUUCUAUUUUAUUAACAUGGGAAAAUAGAAAUGAUUUCAAAUUACAGAUGUACCUUCGGUCCUGAGAGAAGGUAAAAAGUACAGGCGUGACGCAAAAGCAAAUGCAAAGUCAGCGUGAACAGUACGGGAGUACUGUUCAUCUAUUUAUAGACGCGGGAUGCAGCCCACGUAAAAUUACAUCCAUGUCCAUUACAUUUGUUAACGGUUUAUGGAAAUCUAUUGAGGACCCCGAAGUCUUUUCAUCUUAAGGUCGGUUCCCCCUUGUGCCAUCGCGCCGAAGCUUCCCUGCGUACAGCUUCGGCUGCCCCCGACCUUCGUCUGGCUCAACCUUCGUCCUGGUCGUGCUCCAUAUCCAUAAUUCUGAAUCCGAAAAUACCUGUUCAUAUAAUUCACUUGGAAAACAUUGUCAAAUCAUGUUUUUGAGGACCUUCGGAGGACGAAGGCCCCCAACAGGGGUCUACCUUUGACUUGAUUGGAUAUUCAGAUUCCGACUAUGCUGGAUGUAAGGUCGAUAGGAAGAGUACAUCGGGGACGUGCCAAUUCUUAGGAAGGUCCCUAGUGUCAUGGAACUCUAAGAAACAAACCUCCGUUGCCCUAUCCACCGCUGAGGCCAAGUAUGUUGCCGUAGGAAAGUGUUGCGCAGAACUACUUUGGAUGAGGCAAACCCUCAGGGACUUUGGCUACAAUCUGAGCAAAGUCCCACUCCUAUGUGAUAAUGAGAGUGCUAUCCGCAUGGCGGAAAAUCCUGUUGAACACAGCCGCACAAAGCACAUUGACAUCCGGCAUCACUUUUUGAGAGACCACCAGCAAAAGGGAGAUAUCGAAGUGUUCCAUGUUAGCUCCGAGAACCAGCUAGCCGAUAUCUUUACCAAGCCUUUAGAUGAGCAGACCUUUUGCAGGUUGCGUAGUGAGCUAAAUGUCUUAGAUUCGCGGAACCUGGAUUGAUUUAUAGCAUACAUGUGCUUAUGCCUUUGAUCAUGUUCCCUAUGCAUUUUGUUGCUUAGUUAUGGUGCUCAAGUUGUACAAACACUCCCUGGACCUCACAAGUCCGUUGCAAAAGUGAUGCACAUGUUUAGGGGGAGAUGUGUUACAACUUGACCCUUUGAGACUAACCAUGUGCUUGAGUUUGAUGAUUUAGUCUCGAAGAAGGGUUACAAAUUGAAAGGGAAAAGGUGGACUUGGACCAUGAAAGACUUCCACUGCACUCCGAUGAGAGGGUAACUUAUUCCAAGUUCAUCUCAUGUACUCUUAUUGCCUUUAUAUUCUUAUUGAAGAUUUUGGUGAGGCAAUGGGGUUCUAGGGCCAAGAUUGAUCCCGUUUUGGUGCUUGAUGCCAAAGGGGGAGAAAAUAAAGGCCAAAGCAAUAAAUGGAUCAGCUACCACUUGAGAGAUUUUGAAAAUAGUAGAAUAGAGCUUUUGGUUUGUCAAAACUCUUUUUGUCUCUCUUGUCAAAAGUUGGCUUCUUAUGGGGAGAAGUCUUGAUUAUGGGAAAAAGGGGAGUUUUUUUUGAAAUCUUGGAUCAAUUUCUCUUGGAAUGACUCUCUUUAUGUCUUAACAUGUGUGUUUGACUUAGAGAUAGAAAUUUGAGGUUGAUUUGCAUAAACAAACCAAGUGGUGGCAAAGAGUGAUCCAUAUAUGUCAAAUGUAAAUCAAAACAGUUUGAGUUCUUAUUUGAAUUGAUUUUGCACUUGUUCUACUUGCUUUAUGUUAUGUUGGCAUAAAUCACCAAAAAGGGGGAGAUUGAAAGGGAAAUGUGCCCUUGGGCCAUUUCUAAGUAUUUUGGUGAUUGAGUGCCAACACAAGUGCUUUUGUGUUGAUCUAUGCAAUGUGGUGGACUAAGUGCAAAUCAUGUCAAAAGGUAUGUUUCUAGACUUAGUACAUUAUUUUAUGGACUAAUGUAUUGUGUCUAAGUGCUGGAAACAGGAAAAAUCGAAUUGGAAAUGAGAUGGCUUUGUUCAGCCAAGUCUGCUCAGUCUGGGAGCACCGGACUGUCCGGUGGUGCACCAGACAGUGUCCGGUGCGCCAUGCUGGCUCGAGCGAACUGGCCGCUCUCGGGAAUUCACUGGCGACGUACGGCUAUAAUUCACCGGACUGUCCGGUGUGCACCGGACUGUCCGGUGUGCACCGGACUGUCCGGUGAGCCAACGGUCGGCCGGGCCAACGGUCGGCCGCGCGAUCUGCGCGGGACACGUGGCCGAGCCAACGGCUAGAAGGAGGCACCGGACUGUCCGGUGUGCACCGGACAUGUCCGGUGCGCCAACGGCUCUCUGGCUGCUAACGGUCGGCUGCGCCAUUUAAGGAAAGAAAUCGGGCACCGGACAGUGUCCGGUGUGCACCGGACUGUCCGGUGCGCCACACGACAGAAGGCAAGGAUUGCCUUCCCAGAUUGCUCUCAACGGCUCCUAGCUGCCUUGGGGCUAUAAAAGGGACCCCUAGGCGCAUGGAGAAGAACACCAAGCAUCCUUUGAGCAUUCUUGAUCACUCACACUCCACUCUUGCGCACUUGUUCGAUAUUCUAGUGAUUUGAGCCCCGUUCUAGUGUGCUAGUCUUGUAAGCUCAAGUCUGGGUCUUGUGUGUGCGUAUUUGCUGUGAUCUUUGUGUCUUGUGUGAGUUGCUCAUCCCUCCCUUACUCUGUGAUUCUUUGUGAACAUCAAAAGUGUAAGGGCGAGAGGCUCCAAGUUGUGGAGAUUCCUCGCGAACGGGAUAAGAAAAGAAAAGCAAAACACUGUGGUAUUCAAGUUGAUCAUUGGAUCACUUGAGAGGAGUUGAGUGCAACUCUCGUCCGUUGGGACGCCACAACGUGGAGUAGGCAAGUUUUGUACUUGGCCGAACCACGGGAUAAACCACUGUGUCAUCUCUGUGAUUGAUCUCUUGUGGUUAUUGUGUUUUGUUGAGACUCCUCUCUAGCCACUUGGCAAUUAUUGUGCUAACCUUAACCAAGUUUUGUGGCUUAAGUUUUAAGUUUCACAGGAUCACCUAUUCACCCCCCCCCUCUAGGUGCUCUCAACUCUCCACCAACAAGAGAGAUAGAAAUCUAUUAGAAGCCAGAGCUCCAGCUUGCUAGUUCGAUUUGAUGGCAGCAACUAACACGACAAUGACGCUCAGCAUGAUAUGAAGAUUGCCAUCGAUAGGAAGGCUCAUCACCUGCUGUUCGCGGAGGCGAGAAAGGAUGUGGUCGACUUCUUCUCCCUACUCGUCCUGCUCGUCGGCGCGACCGUCAAACUGCUGGGGAAUAAGGGCAUGGCCGGCAGCACCGACAACCUCUAUGAUAGUGUGGAGGGCCUCGAAUACGCCCACAUCCAGACCAUUGUCGUGCAUCGAGGAAGAUGGACUUGAGACCCACUUAAUGCCUUUCCAUAAUAGUAGCAUUUUCUAUGUGAUUGGAGAUCUCAUGAAGUAGAAUGGUGAAACAAGCUAGAGAAUGACCGAUGGAGAGACUCCUUAAAUAAAAUCUAGGUAAUUUCAUAUGCACAUUUCUCCUUUGAUGUACGAUAGGCUAACUAAAAUCUUAAUAUGAUUUGAGUGACUUAUCUAAGCAGGGAUGUUAUCUUAUAGAACAUCUUAGAAGGAACACACCUAUAUGAGUUUGACUGCUAGUCACAAUCUAUGAUAUGUGGGCAAUAUUUAUAUACUCAUGAAAGGUCUCGAAGUUUGACUUAUAUGCUUCAAACCAAGGGGAUUCUUGUAAUAGUCUAGUACUAGAUAAGAACUUUGGUGAAACUCACUUCAUACAAAACUGUCAAUUCAAUAUAUAGUCUAUUGUUCAGAUGUGAUUGUGUAAUCCCUGUUCUAGAUGGAUGGUCAACUUAACAACCUCCACCAAAACCCUUAUAUAUCAAAGAGUAGUGGAUUUGAAUUUGCCUAAUAUGUAGUUUAUGGGCUUGGCUCAUUUAAAGUAUUUAAUAAUUCUGAAUGACAAGAUUAAACUAACUAUGUAUGAUCCUUUAGCUCCGUACAGAUGGUCGAUGGGAUAGUUACAUGGUUUAUGUAGAUGGACCUAUCUAUAUUCCUUCAGUGGUUGAGAGAAAGGUAAAGGUGUGUCACACUCACGCGUGCGCCGCCUCCGCCGAGACAAGGUGUGGCGUUGCAAGGUGAGGCAUGGUAUGGUGCAGCACGAUCACAGUCAUGGUCGUGGCACGAUGUAGCAUUGUUGUGGAUAGAUAGAUAAACUAUUGUUGUAGUUAGAGCGCGUGAGUUUUUGAAUGCAACACUAGAAUUUUCACAAUUUAACUUAAUUAAGAAGUUAUAUCUUGAUGACACAGAGUUACCUGACCAUUGAUCUCACAUGCCAUUUUAGCUCUCUCGUUCUCUAGUCUCACCCUAACUAUUUAGGUCUCCUGACUCACCAAUAUAAACACCAUCCUAUCAUUUGCUCUCCAAUACUUCUCUGUCACAACUCAACUAUUAGAUGAGUACUCCAUUACAACACUUACGUACACGAGUUCAUGAGAUCAGGCCUCCAAAAUGAAUAUCGGCUAAGUGUUUAUCUACUUAGAUGAAAGACGAUAAUCGUGUUCUUGGGAAAUAUCAGCGACAUAACUCCUUACUUCCUCUGCUUCUUCCUAGUGUUUUUGUUGUUGUGAUUGAGUCGACACAGCAACAACGCUGCACUAUUACAACCAGUACGAUUAUAUCAACUAACAAUGUCUUCCUUAUAUGUUACUAUUUAUUUUGCUCAUAUUCAUUAUGCUUAAAUCACAUGUGCACCUUUCUAUUGACAUCAAAAAUAGUAUCAACUUUCUAGAUUAAAAUGCAACUAAAAGUACCUAAAUUUCUAUCAGUGGGGAUUGAGUGAUUCUUUAAACCGAUUAUUACAUAAGUUAACCACACUAAAAUUAACAUUGGUGAAUCGUGCCAUGAUUUUUUUCUAGUGCAAAAUAGCCAAACCAAGCAACACAUAUGUGGCUAUCGUUACACAUUUGUAAAGGUAUUGCAUCACACCAUUGUCACCCAUGUAUUUGGACAAUAACGAGAGGAAAAACCACUUAUUUAUUGUAUUUUAUCAAGUUUGUCUUGCUUACGUAUAAAUUAUAACCCAACAAAGUAAUCACUAAAUGUCAAAACCAACUAGAUACCAUGUCAUCUCUACCUUAUCUUACUAAUGUUCUUUUUGCAAAAUCCAAAAGUAAUCUUGCACAAGCACAAGGACUGAUAUGUGUAUAAAUAUCUCUUAGAUUAGUAGUUAAUACAUCACUCAUAUUAUUAAGACCAACUAGCAACAUAGAAAGCACAAUAGUGUACCAACAAUGGCAACCAAAAUAUUUUGCUUCCUUAUGCUCCUUGGUCUUUCUGCAAGUGCUGCUACCGCGACCAUUUUCCCGCAAUGCUCACAAGCUCCUAUAGCUUCCCUUCUUCCCCCAUACCUCUCACCAGCGGUGUCUUCAGUAUGUGAAAACCCAAUUCUUCAACCCUACAGGAUCCAACAGGCAAUCGCAGCAGGCAUCUUACCUUUAUCACCCUUGUUCCUCCAACAACCGUCAGCCCUAUUACAGCAGUUACCUUUGGUGCAUUUGUUGGCACAAAACAUCAGGGCACAACAACUACAACAACUUGUGCUAGCAAACCUUGCUGCCUACUCUCAGCAACAGCAGUUUCUUCCAUUCAACCAACUGGCUGCAUUGAACUCUGCUGCUUAUUUGCAACAACAACUACCAUUCAGCCAACUAGCUGUUGUCUACCCCCAGCAAUUUCUUCCAUUCAACCAACUAGCAACAUUGAACUCUGCUGCUUAUUUACAACAGCAACAGCUACCACCAUUCAACCAGCUAGCUAAUGUGAGCCCUGCUGCCUUCUUGACACAACAAUAGUUGUUGUCGUUCUACCUGCACGCUGCGCCUAACGCUGGCACCCUCUUACAACUGCAACAAUUGCUGCCAUUCAACCAACUUGCUUUGACAAACCCAGCAGCGUUCUACCAACAACCCAUCAUUGGUGGUGCCCUCUUUU
rnacentral:lncRNA from 1 species